UAUAUAUACACUAGAAAUUAAGCUCAUGUUCCAAUUUAGCGCGGAUGCAACAAGGUAAAAGUGUUAGUUUCGUACAAUAUUCAUAUAUAUAUAUAUAUAUAUGUAUGUAUGUAUGUAUUUAUGUAUGGAUUUUUAGAGAAAAAUGAGAUUUUUGUACUAGGUUUGGAGAGAUGUGAUUUUUUGUAACGAGUGAAUAUUAAGUUAUAGGUUUGUGUAAUUUUUAGUAAUUAUUUUCUGGCCAAACGUCCCUAAGAGACUCUGUUGGCCUUGGCCUUUUCUCCAUUUUAAGCUUUUGACAAUUCAUGCACAUUUUUUGAGCUUACAUUUAGACCGUCUUGUCACGGGAAAGAAAAUAUCGCUAGCAUGCGAAGACAAGAGAGUACCUGAACACGUGGCACCCAGAGAUAAUCUGAUUAAAAAAACAACGGCUUAGAUCUCUCCCACAAGCUUGGAUGAUAUGGGGAUCAUAUUAAUUUUAGUAGAAUUGAAGAAUGAAUGUAGAAGAAAUUUUUAUUUUUGAUUUUUCAGAUCGUCAAUCUGAAAAAAAAAUACUGUGAUGUUUAAGAAAAUUUCUGAAAUUGAAAUUUCAGUUGCUGUUUUUUUUCAUACACUAGUUAAUGUUAGCUAGUUAUUGUCGUUAAUUAAGGAACAGUAAAAUAAUUUAAGAUUUAUCUUAUUUUAAAUAUAGGAUCAACUGUUUUAUCAUACAUUUGACCUAUGUAUAAUGAACGGCCGAAUGUAUGAGUAUAUUUGCAAAAAUCGAGAGAGAGGAAACUUAAAGGGAUUUUAUGUAAUUAGUUUCAUUAACUAGGAGAUUUAUGUUGUUUACAUUACUUAUAUACCCAACAUCUCUUGUGUUUUGUCAAUGUAAAACUUCUCAUACUAAGUUGGGUGUUACAAUUAGUGGUCCUAAUAAUUAAACAGGGAAGGGACCAUCAAAAAGAGUAAUGCUAAUUUUUGUAAUUUAUGAUGGACAUCAUUAUCUAACCAAAAGAGAGGAAAAUAAUCCUUCUAUUAUAAAACAAUAAAGAACAAGAAGAAGAGUACCGAGAAUAGAGAGAGUGGUUUUUAUUUCUUCUCUUGAGGAUGAUAUACAAUGGAGGAAGCCCUUCUAUUUAUAGGGGGAAUUUGCCCCUAGUUUCACACUAAAAGACAAAUACAUCAAAUCCUGAUAGAUAUCAACUAGAUCUUAUUAGAUCUUGAUAGACAUUUACUAUAAUGUAAAUACAUUUAUAACACUUCCCCUUGAAUGUCUAGAUAGAUAAUGUGCCUCGUUAAAACCUUACUAGAAAAAACCCAGUAGGAAAAAAAUCUAGUGAAGGAAAAAGAGUACACAUUUCUAACAAUACGCAUAUCGGCUAUCUCAUUAAAAACCUUACAAGGAAAAUCGAGUGGGACAAAACCUCGUGAGGGAAAAAGAGUACAACGCGUAUUAACUCCCCCUAAUGAGAACAUCCUUGAACCUUUGCAUCCCGAUCUUGUGCAUCAUCUUCUUAAAAGUUAUAAUUGGAGAAGACUUGGUGAAUAAAUCAGUCACAUUUUCACUUGAACGAAUCUAUUGCACGUUGAUAUUACCAUUCUUUUCUAACUCAUGUAUGUAGAAAAGUUUUGAUGAAGUGUGCUUCGUUCUAUCUCCUUUUAUGAAUUACAUUUAUAACACUUCCCCUUGAAUGUCUAGAUAGAUAAUGUGCCUCGUUAAAACCUUACUAGAAAAAACCCAGUAGGAAAAAAAUCUAGUGAAGGAAAAAGAGUACACAUUUCUAACAAUACGCAUAUCGGCUAUCUCAUUAAAAACCUUACAAGGAAAAUCGAGUGGGACAAAACCUCGUGAGGGAAAAAGAGUACAACGCGUAUUAACUCCCCCUAAUGAGAACAUCCUUGAACCUUUGCAUCCCGAUCUUGUGCAUCAUCUUCUUAAAAGUUAUAAUUGGAGAAGACUUGGUGAAUAAAUCAGUCACAUUUUCACUUGAACGAAUCUAUUGCACGUUGAUAUUACCAUUCUUUUCUAACUCAUGUAUGUAGAAAAGUUUUGAUGAAGUGUGCUUCGUUCUAUCUCCUUUUAUGAAUUCUUCAUUAAGAUGUGUUAUGCAUGAUGCAUUAUCUCCGUAUAAAAUUAUGGGUAGAUUGUCAUAUUUCACACCAUAUUUUUCUCGAAUGAGAUGUAUCAUNNNNNNNNNNNNNNNNNNNNNNNNNNNNNNNNNNNNNNNNNNNNNNNNNNNNNNNNNNNNNNNNNNNNNNNNNNNNNNNNNNNNNNNNNNNNNNNNNNNNNNNNNNNNNNNNNNNNNNNNNNNNNNNNNNNNNNNNNNNGAGCUUUAUGUAGGUCAGAUAAGUACCCAAAGUCAGUAUGACCAAUAAGAUCGGGACUGCAAACUUGCUAACAAAUUAACUAAAAAAAAUAAGGCUAUAUCAGGAAGAUACAUUAGUGCAUUAAUUGCAAUAAGAUAUGAUACUUCAUAACCAAGGAGUUCCUCGUUCUUUUCUUGAGGUCAGAAUGGAUCCUUAUUCAAUUUUUGCAUGUUUCUCAUUUAAGCAAAUACUCUAUUGCUUUUGAAAACUCUCCAAGAGUUUCAAUGAUACUCAAAUCAUCAAAUUAUAUUUUAUGAGGAUAAUAAAAAGUUUUCCAUAAAUUUUAUAUGUUUUAGGAAUUUUGAAUCCUUUAUGGAUUUUCAUAUGGAUGUUUGUCAAGUAACAAUAUCCAAAAUGUCAAUUGUGACAUCUUCAAGUGUUUGGACUGCAAAUCAAAUAAGUUUUACGCUUACCAAAAUGCAUCCUUUCAGGUCACUUGAUAAAUAUUUCUAUGUCAGCAUGCUUAAAUUAACAUAGAAUUCAAAUCAUCAUAAUCUUUUACAAUAUUGCGCCAAUAUUGCAUCAAAGAUAUCAUCGGCGAUAAUAUCAUAUUAUAUCAGUUCACAAUGUGACAUAACAUUUUGAGAUCUCAUCACUUCAUUAUUUUCAGGUACCUGAACCUUUCAUAAGGUUUUAUGAAGUGUUAUGUCGUAGACUCUUCAAAAGCACAUUGCCUUCUUAUUAUGAUUAUUUUCUCCUUAUCUUUUUUAAGAAUUAUUUUAUUUGGAACCGAUUGGUCUACCACGCUUCACGCAUGCAUAGACUUUAUUCUUUAGGAACACAAAAUAGGAGCACUUGCAGCUUAAUAUGAGAUGUUUUCGGCAUUUGACUUGAAUUAUCUUUUGAAUGAGGAUCCGGUGAUAAUUCCUAACAUAUUUCAUAGCUGCUUGUAAUCUCCCCCUUAUGUUAAGAAAGCUAACAUACAUCCUCCAUCUUCUUUGAUGGAUCCAUUUUUGUGCAUCAUGGUACAUUCAUUAAUCGUAUACCGCACAUCAAAAUUAUUAGAUGGAAUAAUUAGUUCCUGGCCUUGAACUAAUUGGGAGGGAAGAAAUAAUCAUAAUUUAUUGGUCUAAUGCAUACAAGUGUUAUUGUAUGCAACAUAUCGUAUUUCAGACCAACACAUGAAGCUUUGUUCUGAUUAACAAUGGUUUAGCUAUUUAUUGAAGGUAUUCAAUGGCAAACCAUCAUCAUCAAGAUAAAUUAUCUUGAUUGCACAAUCUGAAAGUUAUGUUCUUAACUUAAUUUUAUUGCGAAAACAACUUAAUGAAUGUCAAACGCAAGUUGACAAUGAAUGUACAUGUGAUCAUCUUAUUGAUGCAUCUUUUCAACAUAUCACAUAAUAGGUGAACGACUCAUAUUCACCUUUUAUAAUUUUUAGAUUUUAAGGGAUCCAAUCCCAACAUUAGUUGGUCCAACCAACUUAUCAUGAGAACAAGCGACAUAAACAAUUCUCGAAGAAUCUUCUAGUUCUUCAAUACAGGUCUAAUAUUCAAUAUGCACAUCUUCGAGAUGUCACAAUCGUUCAUAUCAAUUUAUGAACUUUUAUUCUAGUAAACUCCAAGUUUACUAUGACAUAUACUUUUUUCUUUAGUAAAUUUCAGAUUUACUACUUUAGAAGUAGAUUUCGAAACAAUUCUUUUCAGUUAUUUUACCUCAUUCGGAGGUGAGUUGUGAUACUAUCACAAUCAAGUGCACCUUUGCAUUAAUAAGUUUCUCAUUCCCCUGGAAUGAAAUAUAAUCAUGCCUUAAGCGUAUCAAAUUAUGAUAGCUGAUUAACAAUGGUUUAGCUAUUUAUUGAAGGUAUUCAAUGGCAAACCAUCAUCAUCAAGAUAAAUUAUCUUGAUUGCACAAUCUGAAAGUUAUGUUCUUAACUUAAUUUUAUUGCGAAAACAACUUAAUGAAUGUCAAACGCAAGUUGACAAUGAAUGUACAUGUGAUCAUCUUAUUGAUGCAUCUUUUCAACAUAUCACAUAAUAGGUGAACGACUCAUAUUCACCUUUUAUAAUUUUUAGAUUUUAAGGGAUCCAAUCCCAACAUUAGUUGGUCCAACCAACUUAUCAUGAGAACAAGCGACAUAAACAAUUCUCGAAGAAUCUUCUAGUUCUUCAAUACAGGUCUAAUAUUCAAUAUGCACAUCUUCGAGAUGUCACAAUCGUUCAUAUCAAUUUAUGAACUUUUAUUCUAGUAAACUCCAAGUUUACUAUGACAUAUACUUUUUUCUUUAGUAAAUUUCAGAUUUACUACUUUAGAAGUAGAUUUCGAAACAAUUCUUUUCAGUUAUUUUACCUCAUUCGGAGGUGAGUUGUGAUACUAUCACAAUCAAGUGCACCUUUGCAUUAAUAAGUUUCUCAUUCCCCUGGAAUGAAAUAUAAUCAUGCCUUAAGCGUAUCAAAUUAUGAUAGCUACUGCAAAAGCAAAUUGAGGAAUGAAAUAUAAUCAUGCCUUAAGCAUAUUAAAUUAUGAUAGCUACUACAAAGGCAAAUUGAGGCAUACAUAUGAUUUAUUGCUACCACAUUCAAUUAGGGAAUAGAGCAUAUCAAUGGGAUAUAUCAUCAAAUACUCAUUAUUUUGCCUUAGCCAUCAUAAUAUCAUCAAUACAUGCAUUGAGAUCCAAUCUCAACGUCCUAUCCCUAUAAAGGCGUCUUAGACAUAAAUUGAUGGGACUUGAACACAACAUACAUCUUAUUUUCAUAGUGCAUCGAGACUCUAAUACGAUGUCUUAUCUUUCCAAUGCGAUGAUGUUUGAAUUCACUAUAUUACCCUCAAUCAAUGAACUAGGACUCACGUAUGAGCCUAUUCCUGCAUAAAGAUUCACUUUUUAACAGCAUCAGUAAAGAUUCCAGCAACUUUUGGCGACAUUCAAUGAUAAAGAAAAGCAUCUUCUUGAGGAAGUUAAAGCAGGAAAGCAAAAUAGGCCCUCAUAUUUUUUUUUGGAUAAACUAUGGUGAAAACAACAUUGUCAUCACUUACCCCAUGGCUGCUAAAACUAAUAAUGAUAAUAUAUUGAGGUUCAAACAAAGAGAAAAAUUAUCAAUAGCAGUGAUUAUAUUACAUAAACUAACCACUGCCUGUGACCAAAUAUUGUUGGCUAACUCUACAGGGACUCAAGUGUACAUACCAAGCUUUGUGAGGUAUUUUGUAGUGAUAUUGUCUCUUUUGAUGGACAUCUUUAAAUAGAUAGUUAUAAUAACAAAAGUAUUGAAAUUAAUGAUAUGCAGCAACAUAGGGUAUAAGUGACAUGGCUGCCUAAUUACCGUCUCUGUCAUUAGAACUUUAAAAAGGAACUUUUAAUAUUGAUAAAAUACAUUAUGCUAUCAUAAAAAUAGUUGAAAUACAAGAAUGUAAAUUUGUGUGCAGUUAUAUUAAUACUACUUAACCUGAUAUGUAAUAUUUAAUUAUUUUAACAUAUGUUACGAUAAUUAUAAAUACAUAUAUUGAAAAAACACGACACACAUAGACAUGUUUUGAUACUAAAAUCGAGUGUUGAUAAAUGUAAAAUCAGAUCAUAAAGCUAAGCCAAACAAUGAUACUUAAUCAUGAAUCCACACACAUAAAUGGAAAACAAUACUCCCUGGAACUUGCAACGCGGGUAAAUUUCAUAACUUUUUCUUAUUAUUCAAACAAUAAAGAACAAGAAGAAGAGUAGAGAGAAUAGAGAGAUUGAUUUUUAUUUCUUCUCUUGAGGAUGAUAUACAAUGAAGGAAGCCCUUGUAUUUAUGGGUGGCAUUUGCCCCUAGUUUCACACUAAAAGACAAAUACAUCAAAUCCUGAUAGAUAUCAACUAGAUCUUAUUAGAUCUUGCUAGCCAUUCACUAUAAUGUAAAUACAUUUAUAACACUUUUCCUUUAAGGGUCAUUUUGUCGAGUUUCUUUGAUAUGACUUUCUCAAAUGUUUAUCCUUAAUCAAAUUUAUACGAAUAAAGAUGAUCACAUAAUUGUAGAAAAAUUAUAUUUCAUAUUUUUCUUUAUUAUAUUAUUCAUAAUUAAAAGAAAUUAAAUCGUUAAUAUUGAUUUUUUUUAAUUUUUAAUUUUUUUCACUUUGUUCACAUCUAUUCAGUUUAAAAUUUCUGAAGCGUAUUAUCUAAUUACUUCAUUGUAUACUUAAAAUUAAUUCAAAAUUCAUUAUUUGAAAUUAAAAUAAAGAUGAACUAUAAAUAAAAAAUUAGUUUUGAAUUUGAUAUUGUUUCUAUUAUAUAUAAUGUAAAAUACUAAAUGAAUAAAAACGAUUUAAAAUAUUAGAAUAGAAAAAAUAUACACGAAAAGAAAAAUAGUCAAAUACACAGGUAAUGAUUAUCCUUCACUUGAAUUCAAUUUCACAACUUUAAAUAGAAUAUAACAUUAUUUGCAUAAUAGAUAAAAUACUAAAUGAGAUACAAAUACAAAUUCAAAUAUCAUCAUGAAAAAUAUGAUGUAUAAAAAAAGGAAUAAAAAUAUUAUAUUAUUUUUUAAGAAAUUGACAUUUCAAAAAUUUGAAAAAUUUGAAAGAUGAGUUAUUGUACUAUUUGAGAAAAAUGUCCUUCUCAUCCCUCUCGGGGGUAGGGAAGAGGGGGGAGUAAAAGAAAUUUUGAAUUAAUUUUAAAAAUACAAUGAAGUAAUUAGAUCAUACACAUAAUAUUAUUUAUAAAUUUUAAAUGGGAGAGAUGAAAGAAUAGUAUAAUAAAAAUUUAAAUAUUUUGACAAUUUCAAAUAUUUAAAUUGCAAACCACACAAUAAAGAAAAAUAAGAAAUAAGACUUUUUUUUUAAUACAUAUUAUUUUAAUCAUAUAAGAUUUGGUUAGAGGUGCGGAAGGAAGGAGGUGGGGUUGGGUAGGUAUUUAAUAAUCUAAUAUAUUUAAAUUAUGAAUAAUAUAAGAAUUUAUGAAACAUAAAAGUUUAUUUUAUAAUUGUAUGAUUGUUUUUCGUAUAGAUUUGACUGGAGGGAGGGGGGAGGUUGUGAUUGGGAUGGAGAUGGAGGUAGAGCUGUAGGUGAGGGUAGGGGGGUGGGGAAUAAUUUUUUUUCUUCAUAUUUUUAUUAAGAAACAAUAUGAUAUUUAACUUUUUUGAAGGUAAUAUUAUUUAAUAUGCUAAAAAACCAUUUCAACAUGAAACGAUUAGAAAUAUUACUUUAAUAUCAUUCAAGCAUCGUGCGGGUACGUAUACUAGUUAUCAUUAGUAGUUAAGUUAUUUUGUGUUAUUUAAGAUUUUCAUAUUAAUAUAUGAUUUCUAUAAGUGUACAGUAAUUAAUACUCCCUUUUGUUCACUUAUCUGUGGUACAUAUUAAAAAUUAAGGGUGUCAAACGGGUCGGGUUGACUGGCCCAGCUCGACCCACUUAUAAAAAUCAGUUCGGUUUGACCCGGUUCGGUAAGUCCUAGGGUUUUAGAGUACCGAUUUUCGGGUCAGUUUUUUUAUUAUUUGGGCCUGGUUAACCCGGCUUGGACCAAGCCCAGUUAGGCCCCAUCGGAUAAUCGACCCGGCCCGGCCCAAUUAACUUUUUUUUUUUUUUUUUGAAAUUGGAUUUAACUAUAACUUUGUUUUAAUAUAUUAUUAAUUUACUAUCAAGUAUUAUUAAUUUAUAUAUGUGUAUAUAUAUCUUCUAUAGACAUAUAUAUAUAUAUAACGUAUACGUGUGUAUAUGCUUUAUAAAUUAAUAUAUAACUAUAUGUAUAAUUAUAUAUUGUAGUAUAUAUAUAUUGUAGUAUAUUUGAUUUAAAGUAGCACAUAUAUAUUGAAUGGUACGUAUAUAUGUGUAUAUAUCUUAUAUAGACGUAUAUAUAUUGUACAGUGUAUAUGUAAUUACGAAGUUGUAGUGUAUAUGUUUUAUAAAUUAGUAUAUAAUUAUAUACAUAGUGUGUGUAAAUAUUGUAGUGUAUAUAUAUUGUAGUAUAUUUUAUUUAAAGUUGUACAUAUAUUGAAUGGUACGUAUAUGUGUGUACUUCUAAAGUAGUAUAUAUUUAGCGUAUACGUGUGUAUAUGUUUUAUAAAUUAAUAUAUAACUAUAUAUAUAGUGUGUGUAUAUAUUGUAGCAUAUUUUAUUUAAAGUAGUACGUAUUUAUUGAAUGGCGUGUAUAUAUGAGUAUAUAUCUUUUAUAGACGUAUAUAUUCAACGUAUACAUGUGUAUAUAUUUUAUAAAUUAGUAUAUAUAACUAUAUAACUAUAUAACUAUAACUAUAACUAUAACUAUAACUAUAUAUAUAUAUAUAUAUAUAUAUAUAUACAUNNNNNNNNNNNNNNNNNNNNNNNNNNNNNNNNNNNNNNNNNNNNNNNNNNNNNNNNNNNNNNNNNNNNNNNNNNNNNNNNNNNNNNNNNNNNNNNNNNNNNNNNNNNNNNNNNNNNNNNNNNNNNNNNNNNNNNNNNNNNNNNNNNNNNNNNNNNNNNNNNNNNNNNNNNNNNNNNNNNNNNNNNNNNNNNNNNNNNNNNNNNNNNNNNNNNNNNNNNNNNNNNNNNNNNNNNNNNNNNNNNNNNNNNNNNNNNNNNNNNNNNNNNNNNNNNNNNNNNNNNNNNNNNNNNNNNNNNNNNNNNNNNNNNNNNNNNNNNNNNNNNNNNNNNNNNNNNNNNNNNNNNNNNNNNNNNNNNNNNNNNNNNNNNNNNNNNNNNNNNNNNNNNNNNNNNNNNNNNNNNNNNNNNNNNNNNNNNNNNNNNNNNNNNNNNNNNNNNNNNNNNNNNNNNNNNNNNNNNNNNNNNNNNNNNNNNNNNNNNNNNNNNNNNNNNNNNNNNNNNNNNNNNNNNNNNNNNNNNNNNNNNNNNNNNNNNNNNNNNNNNNNNNNNNNNNNNNNNNNNNNNNNNNNNNNNNNNNNNNNNNNNNNNNNNNNNNNNNNNNNNNNNNNNNNNNNNNNNNNNNNNNNNNNNNNNNNNNNNNNNNNNNNNNNNNNNNNNNNNNNNNNNNNNNNNNNNNNNNNNNNNNNNNNNNNNNNNNNNNNNNNNNNNNNNNNNNNNNNNNNNNNNNNNNNNNNNNNNNNNNNNNNNNNNNNNNNNNNNNNNNNNNNNNNNNNNNNNNNNNNNNNNNNNNNNNNNNNNNNNNNNNNNNNNNNNNNNNNNNNNNNNNNNNNNNNNNNNNNNNNNNNNNNNNNNNNNNNNNNNNNNNNNNNNNNNNNNNNNNNNNNNNNNNNNNNNNNNNNNNNNNNNNNNNNNNNNNNNNNNNNNNNNNNNNNNNNNNNNNNNNNNNNNNNNNNNNNNNNNNNNNNNNNNNNNNNNNNNNNNNNNNNNNNNNNNNNNNNNNNNNNNNNNNNNNNNNNNNNNNNNNNNNNNNNNNNNNNNNNNNNNNNNNNNNNNNNNNNNNNNNNNNNNNNNNNNNNNNNNNNNNNNNNNNNNNNNNNNNNNNNNNNNNNNNNNNNNNNNNNNNNNNNNNNNNNNNNNNNNNNNNNNNNNNNNNNNNNNNNNNNNNNNNNNNNNNNNNNNNNNNNNNNNNNNNNNNNNNNNNNNNNNNNNNNNNNNNNNNNNNNNNNNNNNNNNNNNNNNNNNNNNNNNNNNNNNNNNNNNNNNNNNNNNNNNNNNNNNNNNNNNNNNNNNNNNNNNNNNNNNNNNNNNNNNNNNNNNNNNNNNNNNNNNNNNNNNNNNNNNNNNNNNNNNNNNNNNNNNNNNNNNNNNNNNNNNNNNNNNNNNNNNNNNNNNNNNNNNNNNNNNNNNNNNNNNNNNNNNNNNNNNNNNNNNNNNNNNNNNNNNNNNNNNNNNNNNNNNNNNNNNNNNNNNNNNNNNNNNNNNNNNNNNNNNNNNNNNNNNNNNNNNNNNNNNNNNNNNNNNNNNNNNNNNNNNNNNNNNNNNNNNNNNNNNNNNNNNNNNNNNNNNNNNNNNNNNNNNNNNNNNNNNNNNNNNNNNNNNNNNNNNNNNNNNNNNNNNNNNNNNNNNNNNNNNNNNNNNNNNNNNNNNNNNNNNNNNNNNNNNNNNNNNNNNNNNNNNNNNNNNNNNNNNNNNNNNNNNNNNNNNNNNNNNNNNNNNNNNNNNNNNNNNNNNNNNNNNNNNNNNNNNNNNNNNNNNNNNNNNNNNNNNNNNNNNNNNNNNNNNNNNNNNNNNNNNNNNNNNNNNNNNNNNNNNNNNNNNNNNNNNNNNNNNNNNNNNNNNNNNNNNNNNNNNNNNNNNNNNNNNNNNNNNNNNNNNNNNNNNNNNNNNNNNNNNNNNNNNNNNNNNNNNNNNNNNNNNNNNNNNNNNNNNNNNNNNNNNNNNNNNNNNNNNNNNNNNNNNNNNNNNNNNNNNNNNNNNNNNNNNNNNNNNNNNNNNNNNNNNNNNNNNNNNNNNNNNNNNNNNNNNNNNNNNNNNNNNNNNNNNNNNNNNNNNNNNNNNNNNNNNNNNNNNNNNNNNNNNNNNNNNNNNNNNNNNNNNNNNNNNNNNNNNNNNNNNNNNNNNNNNNNNNNNNNNNNNNNNAGUAGUGCAUAUAUAUUGAAUGGUGCGUAUAUUUGUGUAUAUAUCUUCUAUAGACAUGUAUAUUUAAUGUAUACAUGUGUAUAUAUUUUAUAAAUUUCUAUAUAACUCUAUAAUAUAUAUAUAUAUAUAUAUAUAUAUAUACUUCUAUCUAUUGUAGUAUAUAUAUGUUGUAGUAUAUGUUUUAUUUAAAGUAGUACGUAUAGUUGUAUAUAUUGAAUGGUGUAUAUAUGUGUAAUUGUGUAUAUGUGUAUAUAUUUUUUAAAUUCUAAUAUAGUAUAUACUAUAUAUAUAGUGUAUAUAUAUUGUUUAACGUGUUUAAAAUGUAUAUAGGUGGAUAUAUAUUGUGUAUAUUGAAAAAAUAUAUUUUUUUAAAUUUUUGAUCGGGUUUGACUGAAUUUUUAAUCGGAUUUGACCGGGUUUAGGUGAAUUUGACCGGAUUGGUUUAAGUGGGCCGGAUUAGGGUGGUUUUUGAAUUUUUUACUGUUGAGUCCGGACCGGCCCGUCCCACUUAACCCUCAACCCGGACCCGGCCUGAACCACAACCCGGCUAAUUUAUAGGGCUAGUUCCGGGUUGGCCCUUCCCAGUCCACUUGACAAGCAUAUUAAAAAUAGAUUUUUCACAAUAGUUUUAUUUUUAAAAACUAAUAUACAAUUAACCAUUAGUUUCCAUUUUUAUUUUACUCAAUAAAUGUGGAGAAAAAUUAAUGUAUUAAAAAAAAUAUAUAUUUGUGAUCAGAGAAUAAAUAAGAACAAUUUGGUUAAAUCUCUUUUUUUAGUUAAUAUUUCCUUGAGAGACAUGAAAAAAAAAAGAUAUGACAAAUAAAAUGAAAUAGAGGAAUUUACUUCAUUUAAUUUAUAUUUAAAUUAAUGUAAAAAGGCAAUAUAUUUUAUGCAUCAUUGUUUUCUUCGUUUAGUUUUACAACAUGUUUGGUCAUAUUAGUAUUGAAUUUACUUAUUUUAAAAAAUGUUUUUCUCAAAAGUAGCUUUGGGAAGUAGCGUAUUAUAUUUGACUAAUUAAUUCAAAAAAUAUUUUGUCAAUAUUAGAAAAGCAAAUUAUGUUUGGCCAAAACUUUAAAAAUACUUUUCAAGAAAAAAUAAUUCUUUUUAAAAUGUGAAAUUAUGUUACUAUUAUUUAAAAUCAUUUGUUUUUUUCUCUAAAAGCUUGAUUAAGCACCUCAAAUCUCUAAAAUGAACAAUUUUUAAAAAUUUAAGAAUAAAAACACUUUUCACUUUUCACAAGUCUUUUCAGCAAGUUUAUAUAUAUAUAUAUAUAUAUAUAUUGUAUCCAAAUUUUGAAUUUGAUACGAUUAAUCAAAAUUCAAAUGUUUACUAUAUUCAGCUCAUAUAUUGAAAUAUCCUCUGUUUUAAACUUGUUUAGGUUUAGUGUCUUUUUAAAAUGUCAUUUUAUAGAAAUUUUGGCAACAUUGUAAUUAUUAUUAAGGAAGUUAAUUUGCGGCUUUGGACUAAAAAAUGUAUUUUUCCGAUGAAACAUUUUGUCUUCCUAAACUUUUACUUUUAGACUAAUAAAAUUUUCCACCCUACUAUUUUCCUUUAAGUGAAAUCAUUUUAGCAUAUGGAUUCUGUCUUCCUAGCUCAAUAAAACUUUGAAUUUUCCACUAGUUUUCCCAGAUGACGUUGUUUAACAACGAUUUAAUUUAACAAUUCGUAUCUUCUAAAUCAUGUCGUUUUUCAUUAAUAAACUCUUAUACAAUAAGAUUACAUGCAUCAUUAAGCUCACAUGCAAAUCAAGUGAAUCAUAUAUAUAAUACAUACGAUAUUAUACGAAACAAGAAUAGAUGGUCUAACACACAUCUAAAGCGCCGCUCCGACAUUCGCUUGUACCUAAUACAACCACAACUUAACUUGCAUGAGAAAUCAUCAAAGCUACCGCGAGAUAUCGUCCUCCUAUUUUAAAUAUAUUACAUAAUACCUAAACAUAGAAAUAUUUCAUCUAAUUAAAUUGAACCAACUAGAUUAAAAGAGAACGUUUUUUUCAUUAGAUUACUUGAAAAAAACAAACUUUGUUUUUUCCUAUUAAAUUUAUCUUCAGAAAUGUCUAUAUAUACAGCCAAAUUAAAAAAGUGAUUUCUUUUUUUUUUUUUAAUCAAAACAACGAUUAAAUAUUAUUAUUAUUGUUUUAAAAUUGAGAUCAGAUAGACUGUAAAAUUGGCUUCAACAAAAGCUCAAAGAAUGCUUUUUGACUAUUUAAAGUGGGUCCUCUGCAUAUGUGAUACUAUGAAUUUAAAUUUUGUGCACAGUAAACUUACAAAAUAUUCUACAGUAAACUUGAUUUGAUAUUGCAAGUUAUUUAAUUUGUUAUAUAAAAUUAAAAAAGAAAAAAAUUGGAUAGCCUAUAAUAGCAGGUCAAAUUUAUUUGAUAGUGUAAAUAUUUUGUAGUUUCCCACAAAACUUAAAUUCGUGGUACUAUGUGUACUGAAUUUGUUGGUUCUUUUUGUUUUUUUUUUUUCCCAUUUUAAUGCAUAAUUUUUAAGAUUAAAUUAUUUAAUUUGAUUAACCACAUAUUGAGAAUAAUUAAUUAUUUUUUGUUGAAAUACUCCGUUGUUAAUAGAGUUUUCAACUUGAAAUCAAUGCUAGGACCUACCUGUAUUCUUGAUCUUCACGAAAAUAUCCAUUUUUGGAAGGAGUAUUUAUUUUCCUUUUUUUGAAAAGUCAACUAAAUUUCCCCGCAGCAAUAAAGCCGACAUAUUAUAUCUCACAUUCAUGCACUACUUAUACUAGCCAAAACACUCUCUCUAUAUAUAUAUAGUUAUAUACACAUAUCAUCAAUUUUCUUAUCACUCUCAAAAGUGUCCAAAAAUAAAGAAAAGUAGAAAAAAGAAAAAAAAAAAACCUCAGUUUCCCUUGCAAUCAAAGAGAUCAUGCAGGGACUAUCCUUAGAUUUUGAACAAAAUUAUCUUGAUAACAUGCAAUAUCUCUUCAAUGAUCCUGACUUUUCCCAAAUCUUAUCAGAAAUCCAAUCACCUAGACAAUAUUCUUCAAUUCCUGACCAUCAAAACGGUAUAUUCCAACAAAAUAUUCAUCAAGAAAAUCAAGAUAGUGUCCCUAUAUCACAAGAGACAACAGAAAAUGUAACACAACCAAUAUUAUUAGAUGAUAGGCCGAAAAAGUACAAAGGAGUGAGAAGAAGGCCAUGGGGAAAAUACGCUGCGGAAAUAAGGGACCCCCAUAGAAGAGGCGCGCGGCUUUGGCUAGGAACAUAUGAGACACCGGAGGAUGCAGCAUUAGCUUAUGAUAGAACCGCGUAUAGGCUACGCGGUACUAGUGCCCUACUGAAUUUUCCUCACUUGAUUGAAUCAAAUGUAACGGAGAUCAAUCGAGUGAGGCCAAGGAGACGUCCCCGUACACCGGAGAUAUGUUCGAGGUGUUCAUCACCACCUCCUUCGAUAGGAGAUAAUAAUCAGAGUAAUAAUAACAAUACUGAUGGGCCGAGUUCGAAGAGGAGGAAUGUUGAGCUAAUUAAUAGCUUAGCUACGGCAAAUAAUUUGGAUAGUCAAAGUAUUAUUAUGGAGAGAUGUUUGACGUCUAACAAUUAUUUGUUUGCAUGAAUGAAUGAAGAUUUAUAAGCACUUACAUGCAACAAAUAAUUUAUGAUCUCUUGUUUGUUGUUGCUGCAAAGGAAACAAAACUAGCUCAUAAGGUCAAGUUUUAAAUUCGUUGUGUUUUUUCUUUCUUGUUUCUUUUAUUUAUUAAAUGCACUUGUGCUCCAAGAAUAUUACUAACAUUUAGUACCAAGUCAUAUACAAUAGGUUGUCUCUGUUUUAUCUUUUUGAAAAGGAUGGUUCCACUUUUUAUGAAUUAUUACUUGUAACUUUCAUUAAGAUUAUGUCUGGUGAUAAAAAUAAUACUAUUGUUAUAUAUAUACUAGAAAUUAAGCUCAUGAUCCAAUUUAGCACGGACGCAACGAGCUAAUUUGUUUCGUACAAUAUACAUUCAUUUAAUUAAUCUCAAGAUAUGGAGGUUUUAAUUAGUACGUAAUUUUUUAGAAAAACACAAUGUUAAAGAGAGCAUGAUAUCAUGAGACUUUGUGUGAUACACUAUUGGGGACUAUUUUCCACUUCCCCAGGAGUAUAUCUGUUAAACAGAAUAAACUAGUCUUGUUGUGUACCUUUUAUUUUUGUAUCAAUAUAAAAAGAUUAACCUUAAUUAUAGUUAGUAGUAAGGAUUUUUUAAUUGUUUAGCUACUUUAUGGUAAGGUUCAUACGUCAAAUUCUCAUUCACCUCACGAGGCUCUAUUAAUAAAAUGUUCAACAUUAAUAUAUAAAAAAUUAAGUACAUCCUCCAGGGCUAUCUGCCUAGUUAUUAUAGUAAGAUAACUUAUAUUUAUAAGAUGGGGUAUGGUCAGUUAGUGGACAGAUAUCAAUAAAUUAAUUAAAAAACUGGACCCUUUUCGGUAUAGUUAAUUAGCUUAAUUAGUUGGAUCAAAUGGCGUGAGAAGGGAGAAGAGGUCUUUACCUAUUGAUCUGAAAGUACUUUUUGUUUGUGUGUGUAGGUAGAAAGGAGAUUUAUUCAUUAAUUAAUAUGCAUGCAUCAUACUUCGAGUUACCCGGAUAUGGACUAGCCGGAGAUUGUUCAGGUCUAUUACUAAUAUUACAAACAUUUGAACAUAUGGGCUUUCCCCUCUACAAAAGCAGCUCCAACCUUGUCUAAUUCCAAUAGCUUUUGAACAAACACUGAUGGAACUAUUUAUUCUUCUAAUAAAAAGGCUCCAACAUUAACUUUUUGCCCUCCUUAGCUAGCUGAUCUGCGACUCUAUUCAUGGAGAAUCCGCGGGUUCCCCAGUUCCUGCAUGCAGUCUGCAGAUCCCUACAAAGACAGAACAUGAUGGGGUCAUCUUCAUUAGUCAUAUUCAUAGGAUCGGAGUGCAUAAUUUAAUAGAAUCAGUAGAUAUAAUCGAAUGUGUAUAGUUUGGUGCUAGAGCUAUUUUUAAGCCUACUUGUAAUGCCAUAGCUUGGGCUUCAAGAGGUGAUUUAAUUACAUUGAUAGAGGCUCUAAACCCUCUUAUCCAUUAUUUUCCCUCAUUGUUUCGAAAGCCUACUUGUAAUUCCAUGACACUGUAAUUGAUCACCGCGCUGCUGCAAGUCAUCAGAGAUCGAUCUUUGGUUAACAAAAAUAGCUCCUACCUCGUUCUGCGUCGAACCGAAAAUGUGCUUGAUGUUCACGGAACCUCCAUCUCUUUCUAAGAUGGAGAAAUUGUGCAUGCAUGCAUGUGAUGGAGAAUUGUAAAACAUGAUAUAUAGUAGUACAAUUUUUAACUGGGGUUAUCAACUUGCUAAUUGAGGUGUGCCUAGUUGCUAUGAUAAGAUUUGAAUUUGGUUUUCUCUCUCUUUGCCCACAUGAUUGAGAUCUAACAAACUUGAUACGCGCAUAUUGGAUCUUCAUGAACUCUUGCAAUGGAGGAAAUGGUAAUAAAUGGCAAGUAAUGGCCCGCCAUUUUUAUUGAAAUUAUGUCACUCGAGUGGCCAAUUGACGUAAUUUUCCUUAUAACAAAUGUAAUAUCCAAACCAAGCUAUUGGAUUGAUCAUGACGUGUAUAUUAGAAAUGGCAAAAAUCACAAUUAACAUACUUAUCCCGUAAAUUAUGAGUUUCAUAGCAAUAAUUUUAUAAUUACAUAAUAUAGCAAGUUGUAUUUUAUAUUUUUGCAAACUGUUGCUACAAAAAUGCAAAUAUAUAUGAUUUUUGCUGCCCUUACGAUCGAUAUGUAUUUUCUAUUUUUGGAAACUGUUGCUGCAAAAAUACAAAUACAUAUGCUACAAAAUGUAAUUUGAUAAAAAUGUUGCUAUUUUUUGUUAUUUAAUACUUAAGUAUGCUACUUUAUGUAUUUUUUUCCUAUUAGAAAUGGUUCAAAAUCCUCCUUCUUCCACCUAUGAGAUCAAGUUUGCCUCUGAAUUAUUUAGGUCAAAAAUAUCCUUAACGUAUUAGAAAUGACUCAAAAAUAUACUUAUUAACAUUAAUUCUUAAAAUUUUCCCUCCACCAACGGCGCAAUUACUCUCUCCAUUUUAAAAUAGUUGGCCCAUUGACUUGACACUGAAAAAAUUUAUGCUUUGAAAAUAUAAAUUUGAGUAUACACACUUUGUUUAGUCAUUUAAUGAUAUGCGUAGUAUAAAAAGACAUAAUAAUGCUCUCUUAAUUUCACAAAAGGGACAACUAAAUUAAAAGAAAUAUUUUUAGAGAAAGGAUCAACUAUUUUGAAAUUAACAGAGGACAUAUAACAUACUCCCUCCAUCCCAUUUUACUCGUCUCAAUUUGACAUUGCACAUUGAUUAAAAAAAAUAAUUAAUAACAUGGCUACUUUACCAUAGUACCCCUAUUAAAUGAUGUUUACAUUUUAAUUUGGAGAAAAAACAAUUAAUACUAAGGGUAAAAAAGAAAAAAAAAUUAUUUUACCUUGAUUAAUGAAAAGAAAUAAUUAAAAUAAAAAAUUAAAUUAAUUGAACGGAUGAUUAGAUAUAAGCACGUCGCUAGCUUUUACAUAUUGGUCUACAUAAAAUUCUGAUCCAAUAGACUCAAUCCAAUAUAAUUGAUAAAAUCAACAGGAUUUUAUGCUAUCGAAGUUUGUAUUUUGUUUAUUGCACAAACUGCAUAUUUACUUUUAUAAAUGUAACACUAACAAGCUGAGGUGGUUGAGUCCUCAUACACUUGUCAAAUGGCUUUUGCAUACUGCUAUGUAGGUGCAACGGAUUCUCUGUCCUAGUCACUAAGAAGUGCUAUUUUAUUCUUCGGAAAACUGGACUCCAUUAACAGGUUCUUUGCAAAUUGUAUUCUGUGUGUUUGCAAAUGUAUUUUUUUCGAUGACACAUUUUGUCUUUUUAACUUUAGAAAUUUUUAUAUUCCUUCACUGUUUUCCUUUAAACAAUUUCAUUUUAGCAUAUGGAUUCUGUCUUCCUCAAUAAGACUUUGAGUUUUCCACUAAUUUUCCUAGAUGACGUUGUUUAACAACAAUCUAGUCUUGCAAUUUUUCUCAAGUAGAAAAAAAAUAUCAAGACACAAGUAGAGUUUGACGUUCGUAUAUUCUAAAUCAUAUCGUUUUUCAUUAAUAAACUCUGAUAGAAUAAGAUUAAGCUCACAUGCAAUUCAAGUGAAUUAUAUUGUAUAUACGAUAUUAAACAAAGUGAAAAUGAUGGUUAACGCACACACAUCUAGAGCGCUGCUUCUAUAUCUGCUCGCAACUAAUACAAUCACAACCUAACUUGUAUGAAACAAUCGAAGCUACUGAUAGCCCCGGCCCCCGAGGCAUCGUCCUCCUAUUCUAAAUGAACUUACUUGUCAAAUAUUUUAAUACGCUAAAAAUAGAAAUAUUUCAUCUAAUCAAGUUGAGCCAACUAGAUUAAACAAACAAACUUUGUUUUUUCCCAAUUAUAUUAAUCUUCAGAAAUGUCUAUAUAUAGUCAAAUUUAAAAAGUGAUUUCUUUUUUGUUUUUUAAUCAAAACAACGAUUGAAUAUUAUUAUUAUUGUUUUAAAAUUGAGAUCAGAUAGACAAUAUAAAAUUAGCUUCAACAAAAGCUCAACGAAUGCUUUUUGACUAUUGAAAGUGGGUCCUAAUUAAAUAAGAGCCCGUUUGGAUAAGUUGAAAAAAAAACGGUUGAAAUGAGCUCAAACAUAUAUGAAGAAAUACAAACAGCUUGAUAUAACAUUUGACAAGUAUAUUUAAUAUAUAGUAUAAUAUUAUGAAUUUGCAGACAUGCAUUAUAUUAUUGAUGGUUUGUGGAAUGAUCAACUGAAAAAACUUCUUGCGUUCUAUUGAAUACAACACACGUCGCAUUCAUUAGCUAUCUAUACUAAUCUCAAAUUGAUAUUAUGUGAUAAUAAUUAAUAAAUUUAUAGUUAAAUAUUUGUAGAUUUUCAGUAAAUUUCUUAAUAGUGGAAGAGCCACAAGUAUUGAGAGGAUGUAAACUUUUACUCAAUCAUACCUAUGUGAUGUAUUGUGUAUAUAUUUUUAUUUUUAUUCUAGUCUUCCGUUUUGUAUAUCUUAUUAGUAUCUUUUUAUUGUUAUUGCUUCUUUUUCGUCUCUUUUUGGGACGAAGAUUUAUCGAAAACAAUCUUUCUACCAUCACAAGAUAGAGAUAAGAUUUGUGUGCAUACUAUCCUUCUCGACUCCACAUAUGUGGAACUAUGAGUUUAAGUUUCGUGUAUCAUCAGUGUACAAAAUAUUCUAUACUAUCAGGUAAGUAGGUUACCAAAUUUUUUACAUAAAAAUUGAAAAAGUCAAAACUAGGUAAUCUACAACAGCAGAUUAAGUUUACCUGAUUGUGUAUAAUAUUUUGUACACUACAAGUGCACAAAACCUUAAAUACGUGGAACUAUAUGUACUGAAUUUGUUGUCCUUUUUUUUUCUUCCCAUUUUAAUGCAUAUUUUUUAAGAUUAAAUUAUUUAAUUUGAUAAACCACAAAUUGAGAACAAUUAAUUAUUUUUUGCUGAAAUACUCCGUUGUUAUUGAGUUUUCAACUUGAAAUCAAUGCUAGGACCUACCUGUAUGCUUGAUCCUUACGAAAAUAUUCCCUUUUUUGGAAAGAGUAUUUAUUUUCCUUUUUUUGAAAAGUCAACUAAAUUUCCUUAUCACUCUCAAAAGUGUCCAAAUCAAGAAAAGAAAAAAACAACAACCUCAAUUUCCCUUACAAAACUAGACCUUUUUCGUAUAGUUAAUUAGCUCAAUUAGGUGGAUCAAAUGGAGUGAGAAGGAAAGAGGUUUUUACCUAUAUAACAAAGGUUUAUAUAGGGAUAAUUUUAGAUAUGUAUAAUAAAGUAAUUAGUUUGUAAUAAAUAUGACCAUGUAUUUUUAAAGAAAAUAGCCAAAAAAUGAAUUAAGCCACAAAAAAGAUGGCUGGAUGUACAUAUAGCGUAUAUAUAAUGUAUCGAUAUUGUAUAAAAGUUAUGUAAUUUGUUUUUAUUAUAUAAAUGGCAUAUAAAUAUGUAUAAAUACUGUAUAAAUGUGUAUCAAUGUUGUAUAAGUAAUUAUGGAAUGUAUCAAUAUUGUAUAAAUGGUGUAUAAAUGUGUAUUUCUUAUUGUAUAAAUGGUGUAUAAACCUGUAUCGAUAUUGUAUAAAUGGUGAAUAAGUGUGCACUAACAUAAUGUAUCGAUAUUGCAUAAAUAGUGUAUAAAUGUGUUCCACUAUAAUGUAUUGAUAUUGUGUAAAAAUCAUGUAAUGUAUCAAUAUUAUAUAAAUGGUAUAUAAACAUGUAUUAAUAUUACAUAAAUAAUUAUGUAAUCCAUAUGUAAUAUAUAUAUAUAUAUAUCCAUUAUGUACAUUUUCAAAUUGAAUCGAACCAAAAGAGAAAAUCUAAACUCAUAUCCAAAACUUGUAGAGAAACACUAGAUGAUCACUGCAUGAGCUUAAAGAGGAUUUCAACUAUCAACUACGUGACAUUGUAAUUAACCAGAAUCUUUGGUUAACAAAGCAAGUUUAUUCCCUUCUGAGUGAACAAUAUUGAGAUUGAGAUCUAACAAACUUGAUACACACAUGGAUCUUUAUGAACACUUGCAACAAAAAUGGUAAUAAAUGGCAAGUAAUGGCCAGCCAUUUUUAUUGAAUUUAUUAUGUCAGUCUCGAGUCCAUUUAAUCUGACGUAAUUUUUAUUGAAGCUGGUAUUUUGUUUAUUGCACAAACUGCAUAUUUACUUUUAUAAAUGUAACACUAGCAAGCUAAGGUAGUUGAGUCCUCAUACACUUGUCAAAUGGCUUUUGCAUACUGCUAUGUAGGUGCAACGGAUUCUCUGCACCUAGUCACUAAGAAGUGCUAUUUUAUUCUUGGAAGCCUGGACUCCAUCAACAGGUUCUUUGCAAAUUGCAUGCUGUGUGUUUGUUUCAAGCUACUCAUGAACAUUAUUUUCUUCUUUAAUGUUCUAUCAACUAUUUGCCUUACGACGACAAAAAAUAAUUCAAAAUGGUUGGUGAAUAUAACGUUAAGGAAAAUUUGAUCCAAUAAGUGAUAUAAAAAGAUAUUUUUUUGAGUCAUUUCUAAUAUGUUAAGUAUAUUUUUGAGCCAAAAAUAUAGAAGAAAGGAUUUUUAAAAGUUAUUUAGAAUACAUUUUUGACCCCUUUUAAUUAAUUUGAUUAAUGAAUAAUGUAGGAUCUUCAAUGUCUGGACAAAUCUAGCCUUCUUUCAAAUACAAUUAAUACAUAGGUUUUGUCAUGUUGUUGGAAAUUAGAAGCUUAAACCUUUUCCUCAAAACAGUGGUGGUGGGGUUCAAUUCUUAAUUAAGCCUCCAACGGUGAAUUGACUCAUUUCAGUAGUAGUAAUAUAUUGCUUUAAAACUGAAAUAAUAUAGGCUUAUAAUAUUCACAAUAAUAUAAUAUAAUGAUAAGAACUGAUGAAUGUAUACAUUUUAUUUUCUGAUCUGGUCUGGUCUUAAUUAGUCGUCUAUCUGGUGCAUCUACCAACAUCAAGUGGAUAUUCCAUACAGUUCAAAUAUAUAGGCUCCUUAAAGUUUCCAAAUCACUUCUCUAUUGUCGACCCUCCACUUGGUAAAUUUUUUGGAGGCUAAUGUAUAUUUAAAGGGUAGAUAUUAUAUCGCUUUGAAGAGACAUUUCAAAAUCCUAUAUAUUCCUGAGAUAUUUAUAGAGAAAUCAAGAUGUGAGCAAAUUUUUUUUGAAAAUCAAAUACUUCAAGAAGAUCCGCCAACUUUCCUUUUAAAGAGACUAAAACUUAAUCAUCUUAAGUUCGAGAAAUACGCUACUAACUGUCCUUGAAUUACGGAGAAAAGAAAAUCAAGAGAAAAAUAAAGGGAGGAAAAUAAUUAUACCCAUAUUGUUUAUCAAUAAAUAUUCUUAUUUCUUCAUAUUUCGCUUGUGGUUGAAGUCUAUUUUUCAUGAAUUAAAAUUUAUUGCAAGCAAACGCGUCUAAAAUUUCAAGAAGAUGAACAUACUAAACAAAAAGAUAUAUGCAGGAUUGCAUUAUAUAAUUUGAAGAGUUUAUUAACGCUUAUUAUCGUUCUAGACUAAUGCACAUUACAAUGAAGAGGUGGUUCAGAAUAUAAAUUCGACAGAUUCAAUUUUUAAUAUAUAUAUAUACUAGAUGUUCACCAACCCAUGUUAGCACGGGCCCAAUAUAUAUUAUCUUUUUAUCUCAAUUUAUGUACUAUAAAUAAAAUUUAGAUAAUCAAUUAUAUUUUUAAUAUGCUUUUAGAUAAUUUAAGUUGUUAACUAUUGCAAUUUAUAAUACUUUUUUGGCAUUGUACCGUAAUUUACUAUUUUAAGUUGUUAGCUAUUGUAAUCUAUAAUACUAUCCUUAUCAAAAAUUUUGUGGCACUAAUAGUCAAUUAUAUUUAUAAAAUAGUUUAAGUUUUUUAACUAUUGUGAUUUAUAAUACGUAUUUUUCUAUUCUAAUUUAAGUGACACAGAGAUAAUUUUGAAAGUCAAUCAUAUGCCACGAUUGAAGUAAUGAAGCAGACAUGUCUUAAAUGACUUAUAAUAACUAAUUUGAAGUGAUAUAGCAAAAUUGCUACAAAAAUACUUGUGAAAAAUUUAAGUGAGUCUCAUAUAAGAUGUCAAUUUAAUUUGAAACAACAAGAGUUAAUUUAUGUCUAUUUUUAUUUUCUUUUUUUAAUUUAAUAAUAUCAAAGUUUUAAUACUUAGAUGAGUUAUAAUAAUUAAUUAGGGGUGAUAUGAUAAAAUUACGAUUGAAGCAGCUGAAACAGACAUGCCAUAAAUGUCUAAUUUACCUUUUUUUUUAUUAAACAUGAUUAAUUUCAUAAUACGUAAAAUCCAACCAAAUAUCACGAUGUGGUGAAUCAGGCAUGUAUUAAAUGAGUCAUAAUAACUAAUUAGAAGCGAUAUAAUAAAAUUGCUAUAAUAAUAUUUGUAAAAAUAAAUUAAAUGGGCCACAUAUAAGAUGUCAAGUAAUUUAAAACAUUAAGAGUCAAUUUAUUAUUUUAUUUUAAUUUUAUUUUUUAAUAAAUAUUAUUAAUUUUUUAAUAAUUAGAUGACUUAUAAUAAUUAAUUAAGGAUAAUAUAAUAAAAUUAUGAUUGAAACAGCUAAAAUAGAUAUGUCAUAAAUGUCUAUUUUAUUUUUUAUUAAAUAUUAUUAAUUUCGAAAUACGUAAAUCACAUAUAAUAAUAAUUGAAUAUGCAUGUUAAAUUUGAUUUGAUUAGAUAAACUGUUACAUUGACAAAAGAGAAUAGAAUUUCACCGUAUGUCAUAAGUGAAAAUUUGAAAGAAUAAAUCAAAGAAUGAAUGAGUGUAGUCUUCUCAUUGUCAAAUUUGAAUUCGAGGAAUCAAAACAUAUUAGUAUUAAUUUGAAGAAAUACUAACUCAAGCAAAGACUUGCAUCCUAAUAUUUUUAAAUAAAAUAUAUAUAUAUAUAUAUAUAUCACAAUCAUAUAAUUUAAUUUUUAUUUGGGAAUCACCAGCUAUUAUUUGGACCGUUGAAGAAAAUUCUACCAGACUCUAGGUUUGAUGGACAAAAUGUUUAAGGGAAAAGGAUAAAAAUAAUACAUAAAACUAAAAUAAUAUCAUAAAAAUAGCACUCACAAUUAAAUACCCGCAAAAUAGUCACUAUCAGUAUAAGCCAUGUACCAUUUUCACAAUCACCGCUUUAUAAAAUCCCCCUUCUUCUUCACUCCAUUUUCUUCACUCUCUUAAAUGGUCUAACCUACAAAAUACACUCUCAAACCACUAACCCAAAACAUAGUUGAUAUCAAACUACAGAGUAAAAAUAUACUUACCGUUUCUAUUUUUUUUUUAAAUUGUUAUAUGUCUUAACUGGGCGGUUAAUAGAAAAUAACUAUUGUAUAUGCUCGCAAAGACUGUAUGGAUAUAUGGACACUGCAUAUGCAUGCAUAGAUUCCCCUUCUAUCUUGUUAUAGAUGUAUAUUAAUGUGGUAUAAAAGAGUAUCUAUUGGGUAUAUGAUCCCCUCUUUCUUUUUAAAAAAAUGUAUCAAUGUAAUAUAAAAGUGUAUCAAUGUGAUAUAAAGUGUAUCAAUCUAAUAUAGAAGAGUAUCAAUUGGAUAUAUGGACACUGCAUAUGUAUAGAUUUCCCUUCUAUCUUGUUAUAAAAGUAUAUCAAUGUGGUAUAAAAGAGCAUCAAUUGGGUAUAGGAUCCCCUCUUUCUUUUUUUAAAAGUAUAUCAAUGUAGUAUAAAAGUGUAUCAAUAUGGUAUAAAAGUGUAUCAACUGGGAAUAGAAACUGCAUGUGGCCGACUGGGUAAAUGGCUAAAAGAGGAAAAUAAAUUGGGAAAAAUACAUAUGUUAGCAUACCUAAGUACUAAAUUACAAAAAAUAAUAACACUUUUUUCUAAUUACCUUGUGUAACAUUAUUUUAAGGGGGACCACAAUUACCGCAUCUUAAAAGCAGGUUCCAUUACUUACGCUUAAAACUUUCUCUUUCCUUUAGUUGCUUUAUACUUUAGCAUUUUUCAUGCUUCUUAUUAGAUUUUCUCUUUCAAAAUUUUUCCUUCUUAAUGUCUUUUCCACGAUUAUUGUUCCACAAUUUCAGGUAAAUAAUUAAUUCAAUUAUUGCACGUUAUCAAUUUCUCAAUAUAUNNNNNNNNNNNNNNNNNNNNNNNNNNNNNNNNNNNNNNNNNNNNNNNNNNNNNNNNNNNNNNNNNNNNNNNNNNNNNNNNNNNNNNNNNNNNNNNNNNNNNNNNNNNNNNNNNNNNNNNNNNNNNNNNNNNNNNNNNNNNNNNNNNNNNNNNNNNNNNNNNNNNNNNNNNNNNNNNNNNNNNNNNNNNNNNNNNNNNNNNNNNNNNNNNNNNNNNNNNNNNNNNNNNNNNNNNNNNNNNNNNNNNNNNNNNNNNNNNNNNNNNNNNNNNNNNNNNNNNNNNNNNNNNNNNNNNNNNNNNNNNNNNNNNNNNNNNNNNNNNNNNNNNNNNNNNNNNNNNNNNNNNNNNNNNNNNNNNNNNNNNNNNNNNNNNNNNNNNNNNNNNNNNNNNNNNNNNNNNNNNNNNNNNNNNNNNNNNNNNNNNNNNNNNNNNNNNNNNNNNNNNNNNNNNNNNNNNNNNNNNNNNNNNNNNNNNNNNNNNNNNNNNNNUUGGUUGUAUUUUGUUGAUUUAUACAGUUUAAGGUGUAGUUUUAAUGUGUUUUGUUGUUUUCUUUUACAAUUUUACAAGAUUUUUUUUUUGUUAAAUUUGAGAAACAUCAUUGGGUUCUCGCAGUUUUAUCAUUCUCCGAGAGGUGCAUAUUCUUAUAUAAUUCAUAUGAAUUCUCUGGUCACUAUACAGUUGUUCUGGCUGAGAUACAAAAAUUAGCUGAGAUUAUCUCAUUGUGUCCCAAGCUUGUAAUUUCUACGAAAAGAAAGGUAUUGAUCUUCAUAACCAUCCAAUAUACAAAGAUAAAAAUUUGUCAGAUCUUUUUGAUGUGUUAUUUGUAGAUGAAUUGGUUCAACAAUCCAGUGAAAGCUUGUAAGUACUUUAAUAUACAUUUACCAAUAUAGUUUGUAGAAAUUAAAUUUUAUUAUUCCAUUUUUUUUGUAGGGACUGUGGUUGUAUAUGGUAACAUACGCAGAGUGUCUUUCUUAUGGUAAAAGAGUUCCUUUGAUUGAGUUCAACCCCAACACACUUCGUGCAUGUUAUGCUGCACUAUUGUGGGACUAUAUAUGACAUGAGAAAACAAGAAGAAAAUGCUCAUAGUGAUGUCGAAGCACCCUUGAGGCCUGGCAGGCAAAGCCGAAUAACUAGUGUUACUGAAGUUUUAGAAUUAUGAUGAUUGUUGAAUUUAUUACAUUAGAUAGUCGACAAACUGGUGUAUGGAUGUUAUUUUUUUUUGUACAAACUUAUUUCAUGUUUUGAAGUGUUUAAAUGUUACUUAUUUUGAAGUGAAUGAAAGUAAUUCAUUUCUGUUGUAUAAGUUGAAUAUGUUUUCAAUAAUUUUGUACUAUGUGUUUUACUCCAGUNNNNNNNNNNNNNNNNNNNNNNNNNNNNNNNNNNNNNNNNNNNNNNNNNNNNNNNNNNNNNNNNNNNNNNNNNNNNNNNNNNNNNNNNNNNNNNNNNNNNNGUUUGUGAAUUGAAUGAAAGAAAUUCAUUUAAGUAUUUUAUGCAGUUUUAUUUUUUUUUGGUUGUGAGAUUUAGAGAUCAAAAAUACAUAUACAGUGUUCAGAUUUUGCAUUAAAUAAAUACAUAUGCAGAAUAUAUCAUAUGUAUUUAUCCUUUGUUCAAUAGUUUCAAAAUAAAUAUGAGGUGAUUCAAACUAACUAAUUUAGAAAAAUGCAUGAAAUUAAUUUAUUUUAAAAUUUUAUUAAAAUCAUAUGAAACUGCAUUAAAAAUACAUAUGCAAUAUACAUCAUAUUUAUUUUAAUUUUUCUUCAUUCUAAAGCUAACAUUCAUAUGAGGUUAACCAAAGUUACUAAAUUUGUACUAAAAAUACAUAUCAGUAUUCAAAAUACAUAUGAUAUGUAGAUUCAAAAUACAUAAGCAGUGUUCAGAUUUUGCAUUAUAUACAAAUGCAACAUUCAUAUUAAACAAUGCUUAGAUCGCAAAUGCUAAAUAAAUGUUUAGAACCAUAAAAAUGAGUUCAUUAUUAUAAAAAGAGCAGAAGAAAGUAUUAAAAAAUAAUACAGAAGAAAAAAUGUAUCAUUUAUGAUAUUUCCUACAAGAAUGUCUGUUGUGACCCUUAGCCCCACAUCUAGUGCAUGAGUUGAUGUUCUUCUUUCCAAACAUAUCUCGACCCGAUUUUCCACGAUUCUUCUUUGCAGGAGGUCUUCUAGGAGGGCGUUUGUACUUUGGUGGCAGUACAAUUUUUAUAGACGUCUUAUUCAUCUGGGAGCAUACCUAAUUUGUAGUUUGAUAUGGGUCAAUAGAAUUUCAUCACAUUCAACAACUGAAUUCGAUCAUUCAUUGAUCUAGAAUAUCAAAAAAUAAUUGAAUAAAAUUCAAAUAGAAUUUUUUUAAAAUUAUGUUCAUAACUGAAAUUCUACAAAGCUUCACAAUUUGUUCAAUAAAUACAUUAAAAUAAAAUUUAUUUAAAGUAAAAUACAAGCACAACAAAAGUUUUCAACCAAAUACAGAAACUACUGAAUCGAACAGAAGUAAAACACGUAUAACAUAUAUUUUCACAUAUACAAUUAUAUUCUCAAAUUCCGACAAACAAACCAAAAAUACAUAUGCAGUGUUAACACUAAGCAUAGCAAAAAUACAUAUGCAGUUUUAACAUUAAACACAAAAAAAAUACAUCUGGGAGCAUACCUAAUUUGUAUUUUGAUAUGUGUCAAUAGAAUUUCAUCACAUUCAAUAGCUGAAUUCGAUCAUUCAUUGAUCUAGGAUUUCAGAAAAUAAUUGAAUAAAAUUCAAAUCAAAAUUUAUUUAAAUUAUGUUCAUAAUCGAAAUUCUAGAAAGGUUCACAAUUUGUUCAAUUGUUAAAUCGAUCAAAAUAACAACAAACGAUCAUCAAAUAAAUAGCCGAACAGUGAAAUUUUAAUACCUGAAACAACUUCUAAACUGAAAUUUGGCAACAAAUAGUUGAAUUCUGAAGGUUUUUGUUAUAUAUGUUGAAUUUACUCCUUCAUUGCUUAUAAUUCGAAAUUCAUUUAGAAAUUAUUCAUACAAAGUUUAACGGCGACAAUAAAAAACUAGAUAGGAGCAUCAGUAAAUAAAUCUACGAUGCAUCACAAAUUGAGUAAUUGAAAAAAACGGUCGGCAAAAAUAAAAUAUACUAAAAAAAAAUACGGUAAUACCUGAAACAACACUUAAGCACUAAUUCGUAGAAGAUAAUUGAAUUCCAAAGUGUUAUCGAGAACAAGGUAAUGUUGAUUGUUGAACUUUAUGAAUUUUUUUUUGAAUAUCAACAAGUACAAUUGAAUUUGAUUGUUCAAUUACAGCGAAUUUGAAGCUUCAACAAAAAUUUGAAUUGAUUUUUUAUUUUUUGAAGAAGAAUCACGCAUAUAGAGAGUGAAUAAUAUAAUUUUUUUUUUUUGAAUUUGAAAAGGGUUGUUGGAAGGUAACGGAAAAAGGGUGAUUAGUGAGCUUUUAAUGGGUUGUAAUCUUUAAUUGUUAAUUUAUGUAAUUAUUACCAUAUUUAGAUCAGAUAAUUAAUGCAGUAAAAAUAAUUGCAUUUAUAUUUUUAUAGCAACACUUUGCAAAAAUACAUAUCAAAAGUUGCUAUAAUAUCCAAUUAUGAAAGUGUUGCUAUGAAUCUCAUAAUUAAAGGAUUAAGUAUGCUAUUUCUGAAUUUUGCCCAAAUAAAUUUAGCCGACUGGCUAAAGUUGUCCACCCUUUUAAAUUGUAGGCCAUUUUUUCUUAAAAUGGUCAGCCCAUGCCUUUUCCCUCCUAAUUUGUUAUCUUUUGUCAUUACUUGAAUUAUUAUACUUUUAACAGAUUUUUCUAUAUAAUAGAAGAUGUGGUUUCGACCACCUCUUCAUUUACUAUAUUACCCCAAAUCAUUUACUAUAUUACAUCUUAAUUGCUCCGUAAUUUAUUAUAUUAUUCCUAAUUAAUUAUUAUAAAUCAUUUAUAUAUUANNNNNNNNNNNNNNNNNNNNNNNNNNNNNNNNNNNNNNNNNNNNNNNNNNNNNNNNNNNNNNNNNNNNNNNNNNNNNNNNNNNNNNNNNNNNNNNNNNNNNNNNNNNNNNNNNNNNNNNNNNNNNNNNNNNNNNNNNNNNNNNNNNNNNNNNNNNNNNNNNNNNNNNNNNNNNNNNNNNNNNAUUUUUUAUUUAUUACCCCUAAUUAAUUAUUAUAAGUUAUUUAUAUAUUAGAGUUAAUAAUAUUUAAUUAAAAAAAUUUAUGUUUAUAACGUUUAUUUCAGCUGCUUUAACCAUAAUUUUAUCAUAUCAUUCCUAAUUAAUUAUUAUAAGUUAUUUAUGUAUUAAAAAAUAAUAAUAUUUAAUUCAAAAAAUAGAUUACUAUAUUACCCCCUAUCAUUUACUAUAUUUACUAUACUACCCCCAAUCAUUUACUAUAUUACACCCUAAUUGCUCCGUAAUUUACUAUAUUAUACCUAAUUAAUUGUUUCAAGUCAUUUAUAUAUUAGAAUUAAUAAUAUUUUUUUAUUAUAUUUUCCUUAAUUAAUUAUUAUAAUUCAUUUAUAUAUUAGAGUUAAUAAUAGUUAAUUAAAUCAAUGUAUAUUUAUGUUUGUAUCUCAUAAAUAUCAAAUUUUAGUGCUAAAAAAUAUUUAUAGUGUCGGGCCCGUGCUGACACGGGCCAUGCACCUCUAAAUUCUAGAAGGAAGAAAAUUAGAAGAGUAGAAUGGUCAAUUUACUCCAAAUAAAGCAAGUUACAAAUUCAAAAAUGAUGGCCUAAGCCCCAACUUCUGCAUCUGGGCUGGCUCAACUCUUUAGACAAUUUUUUCACGAAAUUACAUGCCCCCCUGACUGAUUUUAAUUUUUUGUCCAUCGUAAGAAAAGUUUUUAAUUUUUUUUUUAUGUAUAAAAUAUAUCAUAAAUCAAGAAACUAUGUCACAGUAUCAACUUUUACUCAUGGGGCGUAACUCGUUGUUUAAAAGGAAUUGGAGAAAAGAAAAAUAAUAAAAAUUGCGAAAAAAGUAAAAAAUGAACAAAAACAAAAAACAAAAAUCAAAGAAAUAAAAAAGGAAAGAAAAAGACAGGUUGAAAAAAUAAUAAUAGACAAAAUAAAAAUAAAGGCCAAGAAACAUUUUAAAAAAUAAAAAAACAAAGUCAUCGAUUAUGAAGGUCAUUUAUUUAGUUUACCCAAAUUUUUUGGUGAAAAAAUCACUCAAAUAAAAGCCCAUUUAAAUUUUAAGUAAAAAUUACAUAUAUAACGACAUGUUUACUAGUAUUUACUAAAAAUCCCAAUUAUUUUCAAAAUUUCAUUGAAUCCCAACAUUUAGCCUUUGAAGAUACAUAUAAGUUAAGUUAGAUAUGUCCUACAGAUACAUGUAUUAGUUAAACUAAUUAGCAUGUUUUAAGAAAUUAGUUAAACUAAUUAGCAUGUUUUAAGGGAUGUAACAGCUAAACUAGCAUUAAUAUAGCAAUUAACCUAACUAAUUAUGGUAAAAAUUAAAUAAUAUCCACGAUAUAUGGUAAUUAGUUUGUUAUUCCACCAUUUUAAACAAGAACCUUUUCAUAAUCAGUUUUCAGGUUGCAAAAAGUUCAUACAUUCCAUCAAAAUAAAUUCAUAUGACCUCAUUUUUUUUUAUUUGUUGAUUUUUUUUCAUUAAAAAAUUCAUAGGAUCGUUUUUUUUUGUUUUGUUGAUUUUCUUUCAUUGAUUGCAGUGAAUAUUUCAGUGUUCAUAUGUCGUUCCGACGUUUGAAUUAAUGAUAUUAUACCAUAAUCACCCAAACCCCUUUCGUUGUCGUUGUUCGAUAUGAAGGGAAACAAGAUCAUUACAGAUUGCAAAAAUAGUGAAGUUAAGGUUGGAUAAAUCUACAAGGACAAGUGUAAUGUUAUUUCAGUUAUGACAUGGUAUGCCAUUGAGCAUUCCUUGCAAUUGAUCUGACAAAAAAGAUAUGUAUCUUGUUUAUGUGAAAAAAGAUCUGACAAAUUUUUUUUAUCUUGUUUAACGUUUCAAAAGUAGUUAUUUGUCUCUUGUUUAUUCAAUUAUGCAUUUAACGUAAAAUUGAUUGUUGUUUUACGUAGAGAUACAUAUUUGGUCUAACUAGAUACAUUUGUCCAUCAUCUUGAAUCUCUGGUUCGGGUUAUGUAUAUAUAUGUAUCUUUUGGUGUUUUAGUUUUAGUGAUAUCAGCAUACCAAAAAUACAUAUUAGUAGUGUUAAAGAUACAUAUUGUGUGCGAUUGUGUAUAUAUAUAUAUCUCCCAUUAAUUUUUUCUGUACGAUAAAAUACAUCUUAAUAUUUUAACAUAUUGCCGUUGAACAUACAUAUAACUAACCUGAGAUACAUCGUACAAAUUCUUUUAUGUGAUUUUUCCUUAAUAUUAUUCUCGUUUAGAAAAAAAAGGGAAAGACAAAUAUUGAAUAGAUACAAACAGACGCUAAAUUUCAUGUACUAUUUUUAGUUGUUUUCGACCUAUGAACAAAUAGAUGAGUGACAUCAAGAAUCUCAAUAAAGACACUAACCAAAUAACUCUUUUCUGCCUUCAUUGGUGAUAUACUUUAUGUAACGAGAAUGUAACGUAGGUGUUUGAGUGAAUGUCUAUUUGUAUAUAGUUGUUUAUUAUUAGGACUUUACUUGAAUGAGUGGUGCAAUUGUUCUAAAUUAGGAAUCCUUAGCAGUAAUGACUUUGGAGUCUUAUUCUCCAAAACACUUCUGUAUAUAUAUAUUGAUGUAACAAAACACUUUUGUAUAUAAAUUAGGUGUAUAUAAAUGUAUCUCUUGUUAUUCCACAUUUUUAAACAAAAAUUCUUCCAUAUUUUCCAGUUAUAAAAGAUUCCUACGAUCUUUUUGGAUUAAUGAUAGGGCUAUAAGAGCGGUGAAAUCGUUGUUAGCGAUGGACAAGUAUACUCUUAUUUCAGUUAUGACAUGGUAUGCCAUUGAGCAUUCCUUCAAUUUCUAUGCGAAAAGAUACAAAAAAAGAUUUGCAUGUUGUUUAACGUUUCAAAAGUAAUUAUUUUUCUUUUGACUAUUCAAUUAUGCAUUUAACGUAAAAUUGAUUGUUAUUUUACGUAAUUUUGUUUUUGUUAUUUUUAGUAGGUCGAGAUACAUAUUUGGUCUAAUUAGAUACAUUUUUUCUUCAUCUUGUAUCUCUGAUUCGGAUUUUUUUAUAUAUAUGUAUCUCUUGAUGUUUUAGUUUUAGUGAUAUAAACAUACCAAAGAUACAUAUUAGUAGUGUUAAAUAUACAUAAUGUGCAUGAUAGUACAUAUAUGUGUCUCUCGUUAAUUUUUUCUGUACGAUAAAAUACAUCUUAAAUUUUUAACAUAUUGUCGUUGAAGAUACAUAUAACUAACGUGAGAUGCAUCAUACAGAUAUAUUUAAUAAUUAAACUAAUUUGCAUAAUUUAAGGAUUGUAACGGUUAAAGAUCCUUUAAUUUAGCAAUUAACCUAACUAAUAAUGGUAAAAGCUAAACAAAAUCCCACGAAAAUAGGUAAUUUGUUUGUUAUUUCAUAUUUUUAAAUAAAAUUUCUUUCCUAUUUGGUUUUCAGUUAUAAACGAUUCCUACGACCUUUUUAUUAUUUUUUUUUUAUUUUGUUUGAAGUAAUUGCAAUGAUAAUUUUAGUGUUGUUACGUUAUUCCGGCAUUUGAAUUAACAAUUUAACGUAUGAGGGCUAAAUAAUUGAAUUAAAAAAAAUAUUGAAUUAAAAAAAAGGCGAGAUACAUAUAACAUACCCCUCAUACACUAUAUGUAUCUUUAAGCUUACUAACAUGUAUCUUUAAUAUGCUGAUUUUACUAAAACUUUAAGAGUUAAACAGAUAGCUAUAGAUACAAAAUAUUGAAAAAAGUAUCAAGUAUGUGUAAAAAUGUAUCUAAGCGUGAAAUUAUUCAGAUCUAAAAUAACAAGGAUACAUAAAUGCACAAUAACAUAAAAUCAGAUAUAUAAAAAGCUUAAAAUGUAUAUGUUGUUUUACAGAUUAUGUAUCUUUAGUAUAAAUAUUUGAAUUAAAACAAAAAAUAGUGCAAGAUACAUACAAAACAAACUCGUACACAAUAUAUAUCUUUAAGUUUACUAACAUGUAUCUUAAAUAUGUCUAUUUCACUAAUGUCACACCCCUAUUUUUCACCGCAUCCAAUUCCGCUAGGAAGUUGGUUUUAGAGAAAACGAGUUUUUCCAAAUAAAGUGACGUUUUGAGUAGAGAUUAUUUUAUUUACAGAGUCGCCACUUGAAAUUGAGUUUGGGUGUUCCAAGUCACCUUAUUGAAUCCCUAUUCAAAAGAAAAUGACUCUUUAUUUUUGGUCUGCGAACUAGAAAUCCAGAUAAGGAAUUCUGUUGAUCAAGGGGAAGGUGUUAGGCAUCCCUCGAGUCCCGUGGUUCUAGCACAGUCGCUUUAAUGACUUAUAUCUGCCUUAAUUUAAUCUUUUGGAUAUAGAGGAUUUGUUAGCCUAAAAGUUAUUUACAUCCUACUUUGAAUUUAUUUCAAAUUAUUUAAUUAUAUUAAUGCGUGGCUUGCCAGUAGCAGUACUUUCUGAUCAUACCACAAGUUUUGAUACAUUUCUCGUGCCUUUGAGGCAUUUAUGAGUCGUCCACAUUUUCCUAGUCUAAAUAAGCACUUAAUAGGUUUGAAAUCCAUCCAACCCAAUUCAAUCGGCUUCAAAUGAUAGAUUAAUUUUAUUAUAACGAAUGGUUGGUAGCAGGGCUUUCCAACUCUAUCGUUAAGUUUCACUAGUAUGUUAAACUUUUGAUUUUUCUGAUCAAGAACCUAAAUUUAUUCUUUUAUGAAUUCGCUUCAUCACAAUGAGUUUUACCUCUCUCUGUUUUUUUUCAUGCAAUAGAAUUUAGAAUAAAUAUUAAACAUGUAUCCCAUCUCACUCGUUCUCACCUUAAUAAAAGGGUCUUAACGUAAGUGUAGGUCUAACUAAAUUCUAACAAAAACGAGCAUGUUAAUCCCAUAAUCAUUACAAGACUCUAUCAUAAUAUAAUUAUAUUUCAAGUAGUACAAUUUAUAUGUUAAGGGGAGAAAAAAAAAUAGAAAACUUUGCCAUGCACAUAUAAAAUGCAUUUUUUUUAGAAACUAAUAAAGAUCGACUAAAUUUAACUCAAUAGUCUAAUCUUUAUAGUAUCACUAUUGUCUUUUCAACUUCACGUAUUUAUUCCAUUUCUUAUUUUUCUAAUAUAAUCAAAUAGUGACUCAAAGGAAACUCAACUCCUAGCUCCGGCUAAACAACUACAUAGAUCUGUAAUAUAUAUACAUCUUUCAAUUUUUGCUAACCAUAAUCCUUAUAAACCCUAAUUUCACCGAAGAAUUUAUUCGUUAACUUAAACUCCAACGCUAGCUUGUGUGUUAAAGUAUUUAACCUCAAAAUGGUAUUAUAAACUUCCUUUGCGGAGGCAUUGACAUUGAUUAUAAAAAUAAUAUCACAAUGAAAGACAUUGACAAUUUGACAUGCUAAACCUAUUACAAAUGCAUGCAAAUAUUAUUUUAGAAAAAAAAAUACGUAACUAAGUUUUGCUACAUUAUGCACACUUAUCUACACAAUUUUCCCCAGCUUAUAGUUAACCAUUUUGUGUAUAAGUAUCAUUUCACAAUAGUGGCAACUACAAUAUCUUGCCCACAGAACUACCACGGUCCGAGAAGGAAUUAUUUAACUCGAACCCUUAGUUCCACUAGGUCUAAUACUAGAUGUGAAGUUCCGGCUAAUAAUAUUUCUAAGCAUUAACACCUAUUUUAAGUUGGACUAAUUAAAAAAAGAGGGAAAAGUACAAAAUGUGAUGAUCUCAUAUAACACCUUAAAAUUGCACCUUUGUAUAGUCUAACUAGAAAUCAAUUCUAUGAUAUUAUUUGUAUUUCUAUCAUCCCUGUGCAGGUUUCAACUUCUCCCAUCUCUAUUGCCCCUUUUUUUUAUGAACUCUCCAUGCAUAUUUCAAGCAAUACGUCAAUGAAAACUAUAGUAGUAAAAACGAACCUCAAGGAGACAAAACUAACAAAAAACUAGAGGCCAAAUUAACAAAUCAUUAGACUCAUUUCCAGUAACCAAGAGCACAGAGUAAGGGAAUGAAUUAACCCACCAUUAACUAACGAUAUUCAAGAGAAAACGAAAGUAUUAAACCGAAUACAAAUCUGACUAAACGAAAACUGAAAGAAAAGGACGAACAGAAUCACCGUUGGAAUACAAACAACACAUCCUUCAUUUGACACAUUAUUAUGCUACAAUUACCUCUUGUGAAAAUAAAUUUCUAACGAGUUCUGCUACAAUCUUGUAAUUCACAAAGUUAAUAGUAGCUAACUUUUGAAGCUACGAACUCGAACCGAAAACUCUAAACGGAGACUCAACCCUAAACUUUAACUCUUUUCCUUUCCUAUCUUUCUCUCAACUCGCUUUCUUUCUUUUGACCUUUUUCAUGCUUCUCUUCUAAGAGUUUUUUUUUCUUUUGUUUUUCUUUUCAAUCUUCUUCUGUUUCUUUUCUCUAAUUGUCUUUUUCCCAUGUAAAAAUCCUUCUUAAGUGUUGAUGACUUUGUAUUCAUAUAGGUGUAGGUGUGUUUGUAGUGCAGUAGUGAGGGACGUGUGUGUGUGGUUGGGUAAUGGGGAAGUUAGGCUUGGGAGAUAAUGGGGAAGUUAGGUUUCUUUUUUUUAAAUGUUCUAAAUAAAAUAAAAAUAAAAAUAAUAAAAUGUAUUUGAAACUAACAAAAUACAAAUAAGUUAAAUAGCUAGUCUUAGAAAUAUGAUUAAAAAAUAUUAAUAUCACUAGAUUCUUUAUUAAAAGUUAAAAAAAUAAAACAAACAUAAUUUAGAAUUUUUUUUUAACAAAAAUAAAUAAUAAAAAUAAAAUAAAAACUUACUUAAAAAUGUGACUCUAUUUUUGUAGUUUUCAAAACUUUUAAAACAAAAUUUGUAAAAACAAGAUAAAAUUGAAAUAUCUAAUUUAGACCAAAAAAUAAAAUACAUAUAUAUAUAUAUAUUAAACACUAAAAAUGACGUAAAACAUUAGGUUUUGGUCCAAAAUUAGGAGUUUACAACUAAAACUUAAAAAACAAGAGGUACAUGUAACAACAAAUAUAGAGAACAACAUAUACAAGAAAUUGCUUUGAAAGUCUCCAUCAAGCUUGAAUUUUUGUUUUGAGAUAAUGAUGCACAUUUUUUUUCCCAGUAACUUGAUAAUUAGAGUGUAUUUUCAAGAUAAAUAUAGUUGAAUUUUUUCUUCCUCGGUGUUGACACCUAAUUUUUGCCCUCUACAACCCAAUUUAAUUUCGAGUUUCUUCAAUAAAGUCACAACAAUUAUUUUAUAGCAAUAAAUGCAAUUUAAAAUAUUUAUUUGAGUUAAUUUUGUCAUUUAAUUAAUGAUUAUACAUUUUUUGUAUUUUUAUACAAGAAUGUAUAAAUUUUGUUAUUUAAAUGAAUAUUUUAUUUAUUUAUUAAAAUUAGGCUUUUAUUGAUUAAAUUUGAGAAUUAAUCCAAUUGACAAAGUCUUGAUUUUUAAAUCAAAUAAUUUAUCUGGAUAUAUAUUUGUUUGAUUUUAUUAAAUUAAGAAUCUCGGGAUUACAUGACGAAUUAAUUCAUAUCAAAUUUCAAUCUAAUUUGGCCAUCCUAUUAAAUUUGAUCAUAAGAAAAGUUAAAUUGACCACAAUUGCGAUGUAAUUGGCCAAUUAAAUUUCAGUUUGAUCGAAGAUUAAAUUGAAUAGGCUAAAUUAGAAUUGAAAUUACUUUCUUGAAUAACCCCAAAUUUAAUUGGGGUUAUUUCCUAAAUGAUGCAUAAAAUUACCCAACAAUCUAACCCAAUUACAAACCUCCCCACCCUUUUUCCCUUUUAAAUCGCCCAGGCCCAAUGAACGGCCGACCCGGCCCGAUCCCCAUUUUCCCUUCCCCUUUAAUCUCCCUCAAACAAACAACCCUCAAGAAGAGCAAGAAACUGAUCCCCAAAUCGCUCAACAUUGCAUACCAAUAACAAUCUCGCGAAAACUCGAUCUUCCAACUCAAUCAACAACUCCAAUUCAUCCAAAUCAACCCGAAUCCGGUGAAACCCGAUCCAAAUAUCGCAUACAGCUUCAACCGAUUAAGACCCGAUUUCAACGGUUCAAGGAUCUUCCAGAAACACACUUAUGUGUCUCAUCUAAAGUUCAAAUUCCAAAAUUUUCUAUUGGUUCGUGAAGGAAUUUCAUCCCUUCAAAUCCAUUGGCUGGAGAAUUUUGGAUUUCAGGAAGAAAAUUCCAAAAUCCGUACGAGUUUGUUGGUGGAAAACGUUUCUAAGUUUAAAUUUUGAAUUCCUUUUUGAAAUAAAAUCCCAAAAUUACCCCCAGGAGACCCCAUUUUUUUUCCAUCGGAUUAAAGUCCUAGAAAACCCUAGUUGUUCUCUAUAAAAAGGGAGCUUUAGAAGUCUCGAGGGGGGAGGGGGGAGGGGAGGGUUCAAAAACUUUAGAGAGGUUCUCUGGAGGUUAGAAAUUCAAGGGUUGGGAAAUUUCUUUUAAGAGAGAGGUGUUCAAAAGGAGAAAAAAAACUGAGGGAGGCGGAAGAAAAUUUUGACAAUAGGCGAUUCUUUUGGUAGAAAUUUUCUCGUUUCUCUUCUUCUUCUUUUGAAAGUUGGUAGUUUAAUCAUAAGCCUUAAAGGUUCGUCGUCUGGUUGGUUUUUGAGUUGACAACGACGUCAGUCUCCGGUGGUAAUCGAGAUUCCAUCAAGAGCUUGAGUCCUGUUUUGUUGCUCCAAAAUAGGUAACCUUUCAUCACUUUUAGUUUUGAAAUGUUUUUUUUUCCUUUCUUUCAUUCUACUAGGCGAUUCUUCUCUUAGCAUUUUAGUCAUAUAAUCAUGUCAUUCACAAGCGUAGUUGCUGGGUUUGUUAGUUGUAGAGGUCUUAAAGACCAUAGAUUUUUUUUAUGUUAAAGUUUCGUGCUUUUGAUUUUUGUUUGGAGUAGCUAGUGGCCUGUUGAGGUUGUUUUCAACGUUUAAAGUUUCAUGCUUUUGAAGUUUCGGGCUAUUGGAACUUUGUUUAUCUGAUUUUUUUGUGGUUAAAGUUUGUGUUUCAAUUUUGUUUAAUACGUUUUAAGCUACUGAAUAUUAUUCACCUGAUAUCCGUGUUCCAUUUGUUGCGGAAUUGCAAGUUUGAAUUUUUUUUUUACUUUUUGAGUUUGUUUCAUGUCGGUAUUUCAUUUGUUUGAUCCCCAAAGAAAUACGUUGGUUUUAUUAUAAAAGGGAAUGGAUAGGGUCUCUUUGAUGUCAAAAUCAGUACAUGGGGUGCAUUUUCUUUGAGUUGGGUCGUGUGGUUAUGUUUGGCCAGUUCUCUAAAUAGCUUGCAACUAUUUUCUUUCGUCUUUAGAAACAUGAGAAUGACAUAUGGUUUGGGUGUUGAUUGGUUUACCUGAAAUCAACGCCGCUAUAUUCAUUAGUGUUGGGAAAUGAUGAUAGUUUUCUUAGUUUAAGUGAAACCUCCUUUGCCUUCAUUGAUUGGACUGACUUGUAUCCCGUAUAAUAUUAGAGGAGAGAAGUGAAACAAAUUUAUCUUGGUCCAUAUGUAGCGUAAACUGAUUUAUCCCUUUCAGAAGUUUUCUUCAACUUUUUUUUUAGUGAGAUACCAAGGUAACAGAGGUCAUCAACCUGUUCUUGUGAUGUCCUUGUGAUGCUCUUUUCUUUUUAAUUAUUUCCUAGUUUCUGUGAAUUUCUUUCCAUUACUUAAAGCUAUCUAAUUGUCACAAAGGGAGUUGAUUGAGACUUACUAUUAAUGUACGGUCCUUUAACAAAUUUUGUAGCAUCCUUAUACUGUGACUAAUAAAACCGUUUUUAUAUCCAAUGCUUUCAUUUAAUGAUCAUUACAUUAGGUUAGGAAAAUUGAAGCCCUUCACUGGAAUUGUUUCAUAUAUAUGCACAUUUCCAUGCAAAAAUUACUAGGGUGUGAUAUAUUGUGCUCUCUUUGAUCCCUAUAUUAAGGGUACAAAAUCAGUUACAUGUCGUAAGUUCAUUAAUCUUGUAGCUAAUUUAUCCUUCAUGCUUGAUUAUCGAAGUAGUGACUUUGUAAAGCUUUGAAUUUUCUUUGUUAUCAAAAUACCGUAUUUUAUGAACGCUUAUUAAUUCAUAUAUUUUUCUUUUCUUCGCAUGAAUUCGCCUGGAGUCCAAACAGACCCUUUUCCUUUGCAUUCCUUAAUAGGCCAAUGAGGCCCAUCUCAGAGUCAAGCCCGAAGUUCUAAGUUUAAAAGCGAUCCCGUCACACACCGAAUGCAAGAAAUUGAGAGAAGAAGAUUGGAUCGGAAUCCAUCUUCGAAGCGGCUAAGAGACUCAAAAGUCUCAUUUGUUAUUUUAUUCAUUUACUUCUUGUUGUCUUUAUUUAUUUUAUUUAUUUCUUCAUUUCAUUAUUCAUGUAUUUUGAGCCUCGAAGCCAAAGUUGUACUUAAUACAGGUGGAGCGAGACUCGAGCCACAGGCUCGAAAACUAGAUUAGGAUAGGUGAAAUGGGUCGAACUCCCUAUUAGAUUAGGACAGGUCUCAUUGAUUUGGGACGAUGGGCUAAAUCCCUUACUUCCUCCCUUUCCCAGUGUUCUUUAUGAUUGUUUUCCUUAUGUGCUUGACAAACCUAGUUAAAUCUUUAGUUAAGUCCCUAAAAAACUAGUUUUGCAUAAACACCAAAAUAUUUUCAAAAUCGCCUUCUUUCCAAAAAAUCAAUCACUUUUCGACAAAAUUAAUCUUUUCGAAGUUAAUCAGAAGAUGAUUUUCAAACGGUCCGGAUAAUCGCAAGUUAGUGGACGUUUUAGGUGCCUAACACCUUCCUAAAAUGUUAAUAGGAACCGCUUAUCGAGAAUCUCUAACUUAAAACGAUUUUUCUGUUUUGAAUCGUUUGAAGUAAUUCUCUAAGGUUUCUUAAUUCCUUUUCAAAAUUAAGUGGCAACUCUCUAAAAGUCAAAGUUUCCGCAAAACAGAAAUUGCGACUCUGUUGGGGAUUUAAAUAGGUUCUAACCAAAUGUUUGAUUUUGUCUUUUGAUUAACUAUUUUUGAGUUUGUGUUUUGAUUUUGUAAAGUUUAAUUAUCGCAUCUCAUGGCAUAUUCCUACAUUAUUUAAACUGUUUUGGGAUUUCGUGGAUGUCCCGACCCCUAUUGUUCAAUUCCACUAAUGUGUUGGAAAUACGAACGGCUUUUUAGCACGUGAGUCGUCUGAUGACUGUUUGUAUUUUCAAACUAAAGUUGUCCGCUAGAGAACCAGUGUUCAAACCCACUCUAGACACCGAGGAUAGAACAAAACCAAAACCCUAUUUUAGGAAUGAGCCUAGGAUGACCCAAUACCCGAGUGGGGUAUUGGGCCCAUUAGAAAACUCGCGCUACGUCUAUUGACCCCGAGUCAAUUACAGACGAAUCAUAUUUAUGUGUUGAAAAAAAUAUAUGCUUGUUUAAUUCAAUUCAUUACCCUUUGGGGUUGGGGGAAGGCUUAUCUUUGUCUGCUUUCGUGUAGGAUAUGGCUCAACUACAUUCCCACAAAUAGUUUAAGAUGGUUACUAAACCUGAUGAUUUCUUGAAACUAUGGUGGGAUCACAUGAGCGCAGAAGAGAGAAAAAUUAUUAGAACACACAUCGGGCAUCUCCCUUCUUUGAUCGAGAUGGAUGCUUGGCCCGAAAUGAUCUAUGUACUGUUAAAUUUUUGGGAUGAUCAAAAUAUGGUAUUUUGCUUUGGGGAUGUUGAAUUGACUCCUACCAUUGAAGAGGUAUUGACUUGUUACGAGAGUACAAAAAUUGUUUUAAGAGAAAGGAGACACCUGAUAAGAACAUUUUAGUCUCGUUUGUGUGGGAUCGACAAAAGAUUAAGGAGGUAUUUUUUACUGAUGACGACACCUGUCUAGGAGAACGUGAUGGAGCAAAUAUCACUUUUCGUGAGUUGUAUUGUCGAUUCGAAAGAUUCAAUGCUUUUCACAAAUUUGAACAUAAAUUUGAGUCAGAAGCAAAAUGGAAGGAGAUGAGAGCCUUUGCAUUUGCGGUAGGCCUACUUGGAACCAUGGUAUUCCCAUAGGGGGAAAAUGGCACAAUUCAUCCAAGGGUUGUCUCAAUGACACAUACACUCUUCUUUGGAAUGGAGUACAAUUCUAAAUAGGUAUUCCAUAACUUAGCUCCCAUGAUUGUUGCCGAUAUAUAUCGAACUUUGGGAAGAUAUCAAGUCGAGAAUCAUUUCUUUGAAGUCUGCAACCUUAUAUUACAAUGGUGGAUGAUGAUGCAUUUGGUGAAAAAUCCUAGAACGGCACAACCUGAUCACAAAAUAAGAAGGAAUCUGCUAGAAUUGCACGACAUGUGGUUGUUUUUACACAAGUUCAAAAGGGAAGCAUCUCAUGAAUUUUGGUUUAAGACUCUUAGAAAAUUAAGAGAUGACGAUGUCCAAUGGUCCAUUAACUAUCUUCGUUCAGGGAAAUACAUUAUUUGAGGUGGCGAGUGGCCUUUUCUAGUUCUUCCGGGUUUCAAGGGAACCCGUCCCUACAAUCUUGGAAGAGUUCUUAGGCAAUUCGAGAUCAAGCAGGAGAUGCCUCAAAUCAAUUUUAUGCUCAGAUUCUUUACCGAAUAUGAUGAAAGCGAGCCCCCGCUCAAAGACUACAUGAUAAACUGAUGGAGAGGAAGAAGGUGGACAAAAGUCUCUUUCCGUAUAAGGUAUGACCCUGAAGUCAGCAACACUUACAAGGAGUGGUUAAAAAAGAGCCUCGUCGGAGCAUUAACUCUGGGGCCGAACGUGCCCACUCGGGUCAUGGAUGUAGAAUCAGAGCAUUAGAUCCGACUCCACAGGCUUCAGGAUGAGUUUCAGAGAAGUGAAAUCGCACACCGACAGAUGCAUGUUGAAAAUGCUUUAACAAUACGUAUGUUGAUGGAAGAGUUGAAAAGAGCUAGGUAAGAGGCUGAUGAUUCUAGGCAGUGUUUAAGCGAUUUAGAUGAUAGCAUGGCCUCUCAACUCUAUAGUAUAGGAAAAAUGACUCACAACAGCAAGGUACAAUUAUGCAGGAGUCAUCUGAUCAUCAAUAGGUAUCAAAUAGCACAGGAGGUGAACAAGGCAAAGAAGGAAAAGACAGACGAAGGAGCCUCAGGUAGCUAGUUUUUCUAUUUUCCCUGCGUGGGAACUUAUCUUCUUUCAUGUUAUUUUCUUUUUUCCCUAUAGAUUGUAUCCCUCUUUUGUUAUCUUUUGUAGGCAUUUAUGCCCUUUUCGUGUCUAUAUAAGUUGGGGGAUAAUGGAUUGACUUUAAGAAAGCAUAUAUUUUCUUCAAAUCGUUAGGCCUGAACCCUUGGCUCAAAAAGGGUCACCCCAGUUAGGAUACGCAUUAUUAUAAUAUUUUGUAUAAUAUAAUUGUCUUAUGUGCUUGUGCGUGUUUGUUUGGAUCAAAGGCAAGUUUAUCCGCUAUGCUCCUAUGGAUGAAUUUGGCUAUGAAUCAAACAACUCUGCGUGAUUAUUUCUUGUCAAAUAUUUUGCAUUACUUAUCACAUACAGAAAGUAACACAUCUGCCUUUGAGUUGUUUUACUUUACAGAUAAUAAAAACUAAUCCGUGUUGAUAUAAGCUGGUAGAACAUACCUACUUCACCCAGUCAAAAGCGCACAAAAUCCCAUCCUCUGAUCAUCAUUCAAUAAUGACUGGAAAUGAUAAAGAAAACACAUUGACCAUCAGGAACAAUGUAAUAGCGGAACAGAGUGAGAUGAUUGCGGAACUCGCAAGAAAGCUUGAAAUGCUUCAGGUGGAAAUAAAUCAUACUUGAUAUUUGGAUCACCUGGCCAUCACUGUUAAUGCUCUCGCUCCAGGAGGACACGGGACUCCACUCCAAAUCCCUUCGCUCUGUACGCCUAUUCUGAGGGAUCAGCCAAAUAACAUAUCGUCUUUUUCUGCCCCUCCACUUGUCCAAAAUACCAAUCAUGAUAAUAACCUAGAUGCUUACCAUCCAUAAAAUCCAUCUCUAACCCCACAAAACCCAUCUCCGAAUCCAUCCCCAAAUCACCAGAACUAUUUGCAAAUCAACAAAAUUCGUGCCCAAAUUCACAAGAUUCACUCCCAAAUCUAUAAAAUCCAUCCCUGAAUCUUCCAUUGAAUCUAUCCCUGAAUCCACCAAAUUCAUUUCUAAAUGCGCAAAAUCCUUCUCAGAUGCCACCAAACUACUUGUAAAUUUCACAAAACCUUUCCCAAUUUCAAAACGUCCUCCCCACCUACCAACCAACUUUCUUUCAUUCGCAAAAUCAAGCCUCCCUUCCAAAUCAUACUUAUUCCAUCAUAUCCCCCGACAUUUAUAAUCUCCUUCCUAAUCCUGAGAUGGACCAUUACAAAAAGAAGGAGAAAAAGUGAAGGACCGAGCAUGAGAUGAAGUUGCUAGCUAUGAAUGAAGAGAUCAUGAGGAUCAAGGAAUCUCAUGGAGCGAGGAACCAUGAUGGUUUAGGGUACGAUGACUUAUGUGUUCAUCCUGGAGUAGAUCUACCAGAAGGGUACAAGGUCCCCAAGUUUGAUGUGUUCAACGGUAUCAAAAUCCCAAUGUCCCAUCUGAGAAGAUAUUGUGAUCAAAUGGUCGGGGUAGGGAAAAAUAAAGCAUUAUUGAUGCGUUUUUUCAGUCGGAGUUUAAGCGGCGAAGCCUUAGAAUGGUUUAUGUCUCAGGAAUUGAAAAGAUGGACUAGUUGGAGAGCAUUGGCCAAGGGUUUCCUUGACAGGUUCGCAUUUAACAUUGAAAUAGUCCAUGACCGAUAUUCACUAGAUUGGAUCAAAUAGAGAAGUGAUGAGUGUUUUUGGGACUAUGCUUUUCAUUGGAGGAAAGAAGCUACCAAAGUGCAACCCUCCAUGUCUGAGGAAGAAAUGGUAUCUGUGUUCUCUCGUACUCAAGAAGGAGAAUAUUAUACCAGGAUGGUGUCCGCUGUCAGGGCCACUUUUAAAGAUUUGAUAAAAAUAGGCGAAUCACUGGAAGAAGGUAUUCGUACAGGAAAAAUUGCCAAGACCCCAACAUCGUCCGAAAUUGGUAUGUUGUCGAUGAAGAAAAAAGAAGAUGUAGGCACGGUUUCUGCUGAUUCUAUUGCAAAAAUGAAAAAGAGGUUCAACUCUAGGAAUAUUUUCUCUUCUCCGCCAUCAACAAACUUUUAGCAUGUAUUCUACACCCAACCCCAAUACCAAACUCCACUUCCAAAUAGCUAACUCCAGUACCAAGCUCCACUCCCAAAUAGCCAACCCAGUACCAAGCUCCACUCCCAAAUGUCCAAUCCCAAUUCCAAGUUCCAUAGCUAAAUAUUUUUCCCUAAUAUCGAGUUCUAUCGCUGAAUGACCAUCCUCAUGUCUAAUCCACUCUUCCAAAUAACUGAACAAACAUUCAAGCACCUCCUAAUUAUCAUCAAGUACGUCAUCCUGCAAAUCAGAAUCAUUAUUACCCUCCGCAUCCAAAUAUUGAAAAGAAACCUCCCCAAAACUUCACGCUGUUGGCUAAAAGUCGCACCCAACUAUUUGAAAGAUUGAAGAAUGCCGAUCAUUUGCAAUCGAUCCAGCCAAAGCCUGUCAAUCCCAACUCCUAAUUUUAUCAUCUUGAUCAAGAUUGUGCCUAUCAUUCAAGAGCAACAGGGCACAGUACCGAGGACUGUAUUACCUUGAAACAUAAGAUCCAUGAUCUAAUUGAUCAAAAGGUCAUCAUGCUUCAGUCAUCGAUGCCAAAAGGGAUUCAGAAAAGUGUAAAAGGGAGGAAGAGGUAGAAAAGAUAGAGAGAGCUGUGGCUGCCUUAAGUGUUAAUAAGAAAGCCCCAUUUAUAGUGAUGAAGGCCCCGAUCCAAGUGUACACUCCCCCACCAAGGAAGGAAUUUAUUGUACAGACCACUGCUGCCCAAGGGAGGACGUAAUUGGGACGAUGCUACAUUCCUGAAGAAUUGAUCAACGAAAAAAAUUCAUAGAAAAGGCCAAUCACUGAAGGGAAGGCUGAGGAAUUUUGGACGCGUAUGCAACCAAAAGACUAUUCAAUUUUCAAACAUUUAGAGAAGACUCCAGCCCAAAUUUCCGUUUUGGCAUUAUUAAUGAGUUCGCAAUACCAUCAACAAGCUCUAUUAAAGUUCUUGGAUGAGACGUAUGUUCCCACAGGAAUGAGUGUUGAGAACCUGGCUUCGAUGAUAGGAAAUAUUAUGGGGAAUCAUCGUAUAUUAUUCAGUGAUGAAGAGUUGCUGUUUGAGGUAGCGAUGCACAACAAAGCUUUGCACGUCACUGUCAUUUGCUGAGACUAUGCGAUUAAUCGGGUAUUGAUAGAUGACGAAUCUGGUAUGAACAAUUGUCCUCUCUCUACUUUGGUUCAAAUGGGCUAUGAUUUGGGAAAAAUUCGUCAAAGCUACGUAAAUGUGAGGCCGUUUGAAGGAGGAAAGAGAGAAACCAUAGGAGAAAUUAAUUUGUAUAUCCAAAUGGGAAGACCAUGGAUACAUGGUGCAAAGGCCGUUUCAUCACCCCUUUAUCAACUAUUGAAGUUCAUUUGGGAGGGUCAUGAAGUAGUCAUCCAAGGGGAAGAAAGCCAAGCGGAUCAUACCAAUGUUUAUGUGCCGGUGAUUAAAGAUAUUCCAAAGGGUAGUAGUUUCUAUAUGGUGGAAAUUGUAAAAGCUAUGAAGAAGGAUUUGACGCUCAAAGCGCCAAUGUCUUCUAUCUACAAAAUAAUUGUGAUGGUGAUGUUAAGAAAUGGAUUCGAGCCUGGUCGGGGUUUGGGUAAAAGUCUGCAAGGAAUUAUUGAGCCUAUUAUGAUCUCAGAGAAGGCCUCUAAGUAUGGGUUAGGAUAUCGGCCUACAAAGGAGGAUGAGAUUAAGAAUACGUCAGAGGCGAGUCUGUUUAGGCCCUUACCGCUCCUGUAGCAGUCAUUUCUCAUGCGUGAGAUGUUGAACGAUGAUGGUCUUGGGGAUGAGAUAGGAAAUCUGUUCGAGGGAUGCAAUACUGUACCAAAAGAUUUUCCAAAGUCUAGUGGGGUGAAUAAGAUUGCACCAGGGGAGGCCUUGCAAAAUUGGACCUCCACUCCAUUCAUAACCUGUCACCCAUCGUGGUAGAUUAAAGGGCAAUUACUAAUAGUUUUUUAAAAUUGGUGAUGAUUCGGAUGAGGCCCCGCGAUCCACCCUUUACAUCUCAAAUUUCCUUUUCGUAUUUUACUGCUUUCAAAAGGCAUGAUCUAAUAUUUACGCGAGUCAUGAGCCAUAGUUUGUAAUUAUCUCUCAAAUUUUAAUGAAAAGUCCUUUCCUUAUUUUGAAAAAAAAUAAAAAAAUAUAAUAAUAAUUAAUUAAAUUAUUUUUUUGAAACACCACUAUUCGUACAUUUUAUUAUUAUCUUGUUCUCAUAUAACUUGGUUUGUUUGUUUAUUACAGUAACAAUAACUCAAAACCUACCAAUGUCAUGUCAUGUUAAAGCUUAGACGAACAAAAUGGGGGUAAUGAUGAUGAUUGGAAGGGAGGUGAUGAGAAAUGAUUAGUUAAAGAUGUAGAAGAUUUUGAGAACCAGGAGAAGGCCAACCUAGAGGAAACUGAAACAGUCAACCUCGGAGAUCAUGAUGAAAUCAAAGAAACAAGUGUCAGUGUUCACCUGGUGGAAGCACAAAAGAGAGAGCUCAUUCACCUGUUGUGGGAAUACAUUGACGUAUUUGCUUGGUCCUAUGAUGAUAUGCCGGGAUUGGGCACCAACAUUCUGUUGCAUAAGUUACCGAUAAAUCUAGAGUUUGAUCCAGUCAAGCAAAAAAUGUGGAAAUUCAAACCAGAUUUAAGUCUAAAAAUUAAGGAAGAAGUGAUAAAACAAAUCCAGUCUAAGGUUGUGGAGGUGGCAAAAUAUCUGACGUGGCUAUCCAACAUUUUCCCAGUGCCGAAGAAAGACGGCAAGAUUUGAAUUUGUGUUUACUAUAGAUACUUGAAUAGAGCCAGUCCUAAAGAUAAUUUUUCGUUGCCCAACAUCCACAUCCUCAUUGAUAACUGUGCAAAGCAUGAAAUGCAGUCAUUCAUUGAUUGUUUCGUCGGGUAUCAUCAGAUAUUGAUGGAUGAGGAAGAUGCAGAAAAAAUGAAUUUUAUUACACCCUGGGGUGUUUAUCAUUACAGGGUAAUGCCAUUUGUUCUCAAAAAUGUAGGUGCAACAUAUAUGAGGGCUAUGACGAUGAUUUUUUAUGAUAUGAUCCAUAAAGAGAUUGAGGCAUUUGUGGAUGAUAUAAUUAUCAAAUCCCGCGGGAGUUCGGAUCAUCUGACCUAUCUGGAGAAAUUCUUCAAUAGAUUAAAAAAGUACAGUUUAAUGUUAAAUCCUGCUUAGUGUGAUUUUGGUGUGCCAUCAGGGAAGUUACUGGGGUUCAUAGUCAACAGAAGAGGCAUCGAGCUAGACCCAUCCAAAAUCAAGACAAUUCAGGACCUGCCACCGCCAAGGAACAAGAAGGAAGUUAUGAGUUUCAUGGGUCGUUUGAAUUAUAUUAGCAGGUUCAUUACUCAGUCGACAGUCAUAUGCGAGCCAAUUCUCAAGAUGUUGAAGCAAAAUGCAUUGAAUGUGUGGACAGAAGAAUGUCAGAGAGCUUUUGACCGCAUCAAGAAAUAUCUGUCUGCAUCGCCGGUUUUGGUUCCGCCAAGAGAAGGAAUACCAUUAUUGCUUUAUCUGUCAGUCUCAAUAAAUGCUUUUGGAUGUGUCCUCGGGCAACAUGAUGAGACCGGUAGGAAAGAGAAAGCCAUUUACUACUUGAGUAAAAAGUUUACACCAUAUGAAGCCCGUUACACUCUUAUAGAAAGGACAUGUUGUGAUUUGACUUGGGCCGCACAAAAGUUGAGGCAUUAUCUGUCGUCAUACACAACAUACCUCAUCUCGAGAAUGAAUCCAUUGAACUAUAUAUUCCAGAAGGCCAUGCUCAUGGGAAAGCUAGCAAAAUGGAAAAUAUUGCUGAGCGAGUUUGACAUCGUUUAUGUAACUCAAAAGGCAAUCAAGGGGCAAUCUUUGACAGAUCAUUUGGCAGAGAAUCUAGUUGAUGAUGAAUAUGAGCCACUUUGAACUUACUUUUCAGAUGAUGAAAUUCUAUUCGUGGGAGAAGACAUUACAGAAAUUUACCCUGGAUGGAAGUUAUUCUUUGAUGGAGCAUUCAACUUCAAAGGUUCAGAAAUCGGAGCAGUGUUGGUGUCAGAAACUGGCCAACACUAUCCGGUAAUAGCUAAGUUGCGUUUCCCGUGCACCAAUAACAUGGCCGAAUAUGAGGUUUUGCAUCCUAGGUCUCAAACUGGCACUUGAUAUAGGUGUUCGUGAAUUGAUAGUCAUCGGGGAUUCAGAUUUACUGAUUCACCAGGUACGAGGAGAAUGAGCGGUAAAAAAUUCCAAAAUUACUCCUUAUGUGGAGUUGGUGCAUAAAUUAUAUGAAAAAUUCAAAGGAGUUGAUUUUAGACAUAUUCUAAGGAUACAAAAUGAGUUUGCUGACGCUUUGGCCACUAUAUCUUCCAUGAUUCAGUAUCCAAAUCAGUGUUACAUUGAUCCUUUGGAGAUAAGCUUGAAGGAGCAACCCGCGCAUUGUGUCUUUGUUGAAGAGGAUCCUGAUGGAAAGCCAUGGUACUAUGAUAUUAAAAGGUAUUUAGAAUCUGGAAUAUAUCCUGAAGAGGCCAGUAACAACCAAAAGAAGACAAUCCAACGCUUGGCGAAGAACUAUUUUCCAAGUGGGGAAAUCCUUUUUAGGAGGACUUCAAAGUUGGGAUUCUUAAGAUGCAUCGAUGCUGCGGAAGCCAAUAAAUUGAUAAAAUAAGUACACGCUGGAGUUUGCUGGCCCCACAUGAACGGGUUCUCCCUUUCUAGAAAGAUCAUGAGAACCGGUUACUUCUGGAUAACUAUGGAAAAUAAUUGUAGCAGGUAUGUGCAGAAGUGCCCAAAAUGUAAGAUACAUGAAAAUUUGAUUCGAAUGCCUCCACAUGAGCUUCAUGCGAUGAAUUUACCUUGGCCUUUCGUAGCUUGGGGCAUGGAUGUUAUCGGACCAAUAGAGCCACCGGCAUCGAAUGGGCAUAGAUUUAUUUUGGUUGCUAUUGACUACUUUACUAAGUGGGUCGAAGCUGCUUCAUAUAGAGCCAUCACCAAGAAAGUGGUUUUAGAUUUCGUCAGGAAUAACUUGAUUUGCUGAUUUGGAGUGCCAGAAUUGAUCAUUAAUGAUAAUGGGGAAAACUUGAACAGUCACUUGAUGAAUGAUAUUUGUGACCAAUUUAAAAUAGUUCAUCGCAACUUGACCGCAUAUCGUCCACAGAUGAAUGGAGCCAUGGAAGUUGCCAAUAAAAACAUCAAGAAGAUCUUGAGAAAGAUAAUUGAAAAUGAUAGGUCAUGGCAUGAGAUAUUGCCUUACCCGUUGCUUGGGUAUCGCACGACAGUUCGAACCUCCACCGGGGAGACUUCUUAUCUAUUGGUUUAUGGGAAUAAAGCUGUGAUACCUGCUGAGGUUGAAAUACCUUCCCUAACCAGUGCCGAAGAAAGACGGCAAGAUUUGAAUUUGUGUUUACUAUAGAUACUUGAAUAGAGCCAGUCCUAAAGAUAAUUUUUCGUUGCCCAACAUCCACAUCCUCAUUGAUAACUGUGCAAAGCAUGAAAUGCAGUCAUUCAUUGAUUGUUUCGUCGGGUAUCAUCAGAUAUUGAUGGAUGAGGAAGAUGCAGAAAAAAUGAAUUUUAUUACACCCUGGGGUGUUUAUCAUUACAGGGUAAUGCCAUUUGUUCUCAAAAAUGUAGGUGCAACAUAUAUGAGGGCUAUGACGAUGAUUUUUUAUGAUAUGAUCCAUAAAGAGAUUGAGGCAUUUGUGGAUGAUAUAAUUAUCAAAUCCCGCGGGAGUUCGGAUCAUCUGACCUAUCUGGAGAAAUUCUUCAAUAGAUUAAAAAAGUACAGUUUAAUGUUAAAUCCUGCUUAGUGUGAUUUUGGUGUGCCAUCAGGGAAGUUACUGGGGUUCAUAGUCAACAGAAGAGGCAUCGAGCUAGACCCCUCCAAAAUCAAGACAAUUCAGGACCUGCCACCGCCAAGGAACAAGAAGGAAGUUAUGAGUUUCAUGGGUCGUUUGAAUUAUAUUAGCAGGUUCAUUACUCAGUCGACAGUCAUAUGCGAGCCAAUUCUCAAGAUGUUGAAGCAAAAUGCAUUGAAUGUGUGGACAGAAGAAUGUCAGAGAGCUUUUGACCGCAUCAAGAAAUAUCUGUCUGCAUCGCCGGUUUUGGUUCCGCCAAGAGAAGGAAUACCAUUAUUGCUUUAUCUGUCAGUCUCAAUAAAUGCUUUUGGAUGUGUCCUCGGGCAACAUGAUGAGACCGGUAGGAAAGAGAAAGCCAUUUACUACUUGAGUAAAAAGUUUACACCAUAUGAAGCCCGUUACACUCUUAUAGAAAGGACAUGUUGUGAUUUGACUUGGGCCGCACAAAAGUUGAGGCAUUAUCUGUCGUCAUACACAACAUACCUCAUCUCGAGAAUGAAUCCAUUGAACUAUAUAUUCCAGAAGGCCAUGCUCAUGGGAAAGCUAGCAAAAUGGAAAAUAUUGCUGAGCGAGUUUGACAUCGUUUAUGUAACUCAAAAGGCAAUCAAGGGGCAAUCUUUGACAGAUCAUUUGGCAGAGAAUCUAGUUGAUGAUGAAUAUGAGCCACUUUGAACUUACUUUUCAGAUGAUGAAAUUCUAUUCGUGGGAGAAGACAUUACAGAAAUUUACCCUGGAUGGAAGUUAUUCUUUGAUGGAGCAUUCAACUUCAAAGGUUCAGAAAUCGGAGCAGUGUUGGUGUCAGAAACUGGCCAACACUAUCCGGUAAUAGCUAAGUUGCGUUUCCCGUGCACCAAUAACAUGGCCGAAUAUGAGGUUUUGCAUCCUAGGUCUCAAACUGGCACUUGAUAUAGGUGUUCGUGAAUUGAUAGUCAUCGGGGAUUCAGAUUUACUGAUUCACCAGGUACGAGGAGAAUGAGCGGUAAAAAAUUCCAAAAUUACUCCUUAUGUGGAGUUGGUGCAUAAAUUAUAUGAAAAAUUCAAAGGAGUUGAUUUUAGACAUAUUCUAAGGAUACAAAAUGAGUUUGCUGACGCUUUGGCCACUAUAUCUUCCAUGAUUCAGUAUCCAAAUCAGUGUUACAUUGAUCCUUUGGAGAUAAGCUUGAAGGAGCAACCCGCGCAUUGUGUCUUUGUUGAAGAGGAUCCUGAUGGAAAGCCAUGGUACUAUGAUAUUAAAAGGUAUUUAGAAUCUGGAAUAUAUCCUGAAGAGGCCAGUAACAACCAAAAGAAGACAAUCCAACGCUUGGCGAAGAACUAUUUUCCAAGUGGGGAAAUCCUUUUUAGGAGGACUUCAAAGUUGGGAUUCUUAAGAUGCAUCGAUGCUGCGGAAGCCAAUAAAUUGAUAAAAUAAGUACACGCUGGAGUUUGCUGGCCCCACAUGAACGGGUUCUCCCUUUCUAGAAAGAUCAUGAGAACCGGUUACUUCUGGAUAACUAUGGAAAAUAAUUGUAGCAGGUAUGUGCAGAAGUGCCCAAAAUGUAAGAUACAUGAAAAUUUGAUUCGAAUGCCUCCACAUGAGCUUCAUGCGAUGAAUUUACCUUGGCCUUUCGUAGCUUGGGGCAUGGAUGUUAUCGGACCAAUAGAGCCACCGGCAUCGAAUGGGCAUAGAUUUAUUUUGGUUGCUAUUGACUACUUUACUAAGUGGGUCGAAGCUGCUUCAUAUAGAGCCAUCACCAAGAAAGUGGUUUUAGAUUUCGUCAGGAAUAACUUGAUUUGCUGAUUUGGAGUGCCAGAAUUGAUCAUUAAUGAUAAUGGGGAAAACUUGAACAGUCACUUGAUGAAUGAUAUUUGUGACCAAUUUAAAAUAGUUCAUCGCAACUUGACCGCAUAUCGUCCACAGAUGAAUGGAGCCAUGGAAGUUGCCAAUAAAAACAUCAAGAAGAUCUUGAGAAAGAUAAUUGAAAAUGAUAGGUCAUGGCAUGAGAUAUUGCCUUACCCGUUGCUUGGGUAUCGCACGACAGUUCGAACCUCCACCGGGGAGACUUCUUAUCUAUUGGUUUAUGGGAAUAAAGCUGUGAUACCUGCUGAGGUUGAAAUACCUUCCCUAAAGAUUAUUCAGAAAGCCGGACUAAGCAAUGAAGAAUGGGUUCGCGCUCGCUACGAACAACUCACGUUGAUUGAUGAAAAAAGAAUGGUUGUUGUAUGUCAUGGUCAGUUGUAUCAGCACAGGAUGGUUCGUGCCUUUAACAAGAAAUAAAGAACUCGAACAUUCGAAGUUGGGCAAUUGGUUCUCAAAUGUAUAUUUCCUCACCAAGAGGAGUACAAGGGUAAGUUCUCUCCAAAUUAGCAAGGGCCAUACAUACUUCGCAAGGUACUAUCUGGUGCGGCUCUGAUUUUGUCUGAGAUGGAUGGUCAAGAGUGGACCAAACCAAUCAAUUCUGAUGCAGUAAAAAUAUAUUAUGUUUGAAAAAUGUGCUAAUUUUUGCGUUCCUUAGUUUACUCGUAAUCGCCUUUGUAGUAAUGUUGUUUUAUAAUGCGUAAUUGCCUAGAACCCUUUUCCCUUUAUAUACGAACUAUGUUUGACCUGAAUUCCCAAAGAGGGAUACGUAGGUGGCCUAUAUCGGCUUCGGUCAACUCCUUAGGAAAAUUUAUCCUUUCCCUUUAUGUAUGAACUACGUGAUGACCUGAAUUCUCAAGAAUGAGAUACGUAGACAGCCUAUGACGGCUUUGGUCAAUCCAUUAGAUUUUUCUAUAUCCUUAGCGUAGUUUUGAACUAAGUUUGACCUGAUUCCUGCUUCAACGGGAUAUGUAGGCGCCCCAACGGCUCGGUCAUAUAACCCCAGGAAGUGGAAAUUGGGGCAGAAUUUUUGAGAAGGAAUCUCGAAAAUUCAUAAAAGAAGAUCAACAUCCAACAAAGAAAAUGAAGAUCAACAAAAACUUUAAAUUCACUCGAGUUGAUAUCAUCUCAAACUACUUUAAACUGGGGCAAAAAUUUUGAGGAAGGCCUCAAAAUUUCCACCAAGUACUGGAAUAUAUUUCAAUUCCCCAGCAGUAAGAGGUCAAAGUUGAGAUUUGAGAAUCACCACCUUCGAUAAAGUCUAGGAAGAUUGAAUCUCCACCUUUGAUAAAACUUCUGAUAGAGAGCCUCGACAAUGCUGAAUCCCUAGCGAUCCUCUGUCAAAUGUUGGACAUUGUUAGAAUCAAGAGAAAGAUGGUCGUUGAGCUAGCACAUGACAUGACUGGCAGAGAUUUUCUAAAGUUUUGCAGGAGUUUCUGAAACUAUUUUCUAAAAAUUAAGACUACUUUCAAAAAUCUAUAUAAAUCUUUUACUUAGUGAUUACCCAAACAUCAAUUAGGAUGGGGGAGUCAGGGGUGGAAGUCCCAACAUGACGGAGUACCUAAAAGAUGGUGUAGAGCAAAUGGAGAAUCGAAGAAGGUCAACACGAAGUAGUUUUACUCAAACUAAUCAUUUUUCUGUGGAUACAGGGACCAAUACACAAAAAUGAGAGUCUCUUUCAAAAACUCCCGAGUAAAAUGGGAGCCACACCAGAGCACUAAUGCUCAAGAGGGGUAAUUUUGGAUAGCCUUAAAAAUGGGUUUAAUACCCAUUUAUUGAGGAGCUUUUGAAUUUUCCAUCUCAUUUCUUGAGAUCAUGAAAGACAAACAAAUGUGUCUUAUCUUCUUUACAAAUAUUGUAUUUAGAAUUUUUCUAAAAAAUAGUCGAUAGCAAAAAUGGAUUUGUGUCUACAAAUCGUCUACCUUGAGUAUAGGUACAUGUAGAAAGCAAGACCCUGACAAAUGAUUUCAGGUGCAAUUAUUUUUAAUUUACCAGAAAAACCAAUGCAUAUCAUUGCGAAGAGGGUCAUUUCAUAUCAUUGCCAAGAGAGCCAUUGUAUAUCAUUUCCAAGAGGGCCAUUUCAUAUCAUUGCCAAGAGAUCUAUUUCAUAUCAUUGCCAAGAGGGCCAUUUCAUACUAUUGACAAGAGGGCCCAUUCCAUAUCAUUGCCAAGGGGGCCAUUUUAUUUCAUUGCUAAGAGGGCUAUUUUAUAUCAUUGCCAAGAGGGCCAUUGCAUAUCAUUGCCAAGAGGGCCAUUUCAUAUCAUUGCCAAGAGGGCUAUUUUAUAUCAUUGCCAAGAGGGCCACUUCAUAUCAUUGCCAAGAGGGCCAUUUCAUAUAAUUGCCAAGAGUGCCAUUUUAUAUCAUUUCCAAGAGGGCCAUUGCAUAUCAUUGACAAGAUGGCAAUUUCAUAUCAUUGCCAAGAGGGCCAUUUCAUAUCAUUGCUGAGAGGGACAUUUUAUAUCUGUUGACACGCAAUACAUAAACGCUGGCAUCGAGAAUAUCAUCAGCAUUUCAUAUCUGUUGACACACAAGACAUAAACACUGACAUCGAGGAUACCAUCAGUAUUUUAUAUCUAUUGACACGCGAUACAUAAAUACUGGCGUCGAGGAUAUCUCAUCAUUUUAUGUAUCAGUAUCUGAAUGUAUCAAUAGCACACGAUUUGAAUGGACGCCUUUAAGUCACUAUCUAAGGAUGAAUGAUAUAUAAGAUUUCCUAGAAAUUGACAAUCUGAGGGUCAUCUAUAAGAUAUAUUAUUUGAAAUAGGAUAGUGUGCAAGAUCACCUAUGAGUUGAUAUCCUGUAGGUCAUCCGUAAGUCACAACAACAUUCUAACCGGCUAGUGUGCAAGAUCGCCCAAAAAUUGAUAGUCUGAAGGUUAUCUAUAAGUCGCAACUAAAUCCUUACCGGAGAAUAUGCGAGAUUAUCAAAUUGAUACGCCCAAGGGUUCUCUAUAAGCAGCGUCAUAUCCAUGAUCGAUUAUGUGCAGGAUUACCCAAGGACUAGCAAUUUGAGUGAUAUCUAUAGGUCAUAUUGUAUCCAAGGUCGGAUGAUGUGCAGGAACACCUAAAAGCUAGCGAUUGGAGGGAUAUCAGUAAGCCAUCUCUUAUCCAAGGUUGGAUAAAGUGCAGUAUUACCUAAAAUCUAGCAAUCCAAAGGAUAUCUGUAAGUCGCCUUGUAUCCAACAUCAAAUAAUGCGCAAGCUUAUCCAAAAAUUGACAAUUUAAGGGAAAUUUAUAAAUCAAUCAUCGGCUAUAAUCGGAGAGGUUAUUAUUCCACAUACAACAUGUGAUAUAGGUAACCAAAAGGGUUUCCACACCAGCACAAUAUUACACGGUUACAGGGACCGUUCUGCAUAAAGUGCCGUCGGUGUCCAAAAGGGCCACCCCACUUUGAAGACAUAUUCAACCGACAAAUGUCAUAAUUAUACAACAACCAAGAUGGUUGUUGUGUUUGUUGUUGCCAAUUAUUUCAUUCCAAAUAGGUAUAUGGAAGGAUGACUUCGCUUCUUAGGAAACAACUCACGUGGAGAUAUGAUAAAAAAUUAUAUGCCUCUUUCAUGAAAUAUGUUUAGCACUAACAACUUUUUUGGGAUAUUGUCGAGAGAAUCCGAGAGGAUGAAAAUCUCAAAUCAAACCCACAGGUGCAGACAACUUCAAAAAGAAUGCAGCACAAUGUGGAACUCUUUCUUAGCAGCAACGGGACGUAGUCUAGAGAGGGACGUCAAACUCUUUGGACGCGAGCUAAAGGAUGAUCGCCACCACCAUCUAACCACACCUCUAUUACAAGGCAUGUGGGUACUUUGGGAUAUUUUGAUUUUAGCUUCACCUCUGGGAUAUUUUCUUAACUCAUACCGAGGGUAACCUUCUCUUUCUUUCAAAUUCAGGUGACGACAUACUUAGAGGUUUGGAAGUUAUACCCAGCUAAGUUCUUACCUAUGGAUAUGAAGAUCUCCACAUUCAUAGUUAAGAGGUUACAAGCCUCUUUUUCAAAACUCGAUCAACUUGUCACUUAUCCUGAGCCAAAGAUCGUCUGAAAUAAAGGCUAUGUUUUCUACCGAUCGAGUCGAACUACAAACAGUCUGAUUCCCUGAAAUCUUGGGGAUAUGUAGGCCAGGAUUUAUGUAGAAAACUCGUCUGCAUUCCAACCUCCCCCAAAUCCCUUUAUUCCCCAACUUCUCGGUUUAACCAAAAACUCUAAAACCGUGAGAGUUGGUGAAUUUUCUUAAAAAUCAUGCUUAAAAUCAAGAUUUAUGAAAUACAAGUGGCCUGAAUUCUCAUGAAACCUGAGAUAUGUAGGAAAUCUGACACCGAGGUUCGGCUAUAACUCUAUGAAACUCGUGCGAAAGACAACUUCUUCCAGAUUCGAAUUUGUGAUCGGACAAAAAAUAGGAACCUCAACUUCCCUUUGCCCAGGAUUACUUGCAUCCAUCCUACUGAGUUUCUUCAAUAAAGUCACAACAAUUAUUUUAUUCUAAUAAAUGAUAGUUAAAAUAUUUAUUUGAGUUAAUUUUGUCAUUUAAUUAAUGAUUGUACAUUUUUUAUAUUUUUAUACCAGAAUUUAUAAAUUUUUUUAUUUAAAUGAACAUUUUUUUUAUUUAUUAAAAUUAGACUUUUAUUGAUUAAAUUUGAGAAUUAAUCCAAAUGCACAAAGUCUUGAUUUUUAAAUCAAAUAAUUUAUUUGGAUAUAUAUUUGUUUGAUUUUAUUAAAUUAAGAACCUCGGGAUUAAAUGACAAAUUAAUUCAUAUCAAAUUUCAAUCUAAUUUGGCCAUCAUAUUAAAUUUGAUCAUAAGAAAAUUUAAAUCGGCCACAAUUGCGAUGUAAUUGGCCAAUUGACUUUCAAUUUGAUCGAAAAUUAAAUAGAAUAGGCUAAAUUAGAAUUGAAAUUACUUUCUUGAAUAACCCCAAAUGGGGUUAUUUCCUAAAUGAUACCUAAAUUUACCCAACAAUCUAACCCAAUUACAAACCUCCCCACCCCUUUUCCCUUUUAGAUUGCCCAGGCCCAAUGAACAGCCGACCCGGCCCAAUCCCCAUUUUCCCUUUCCCUUUAAUCUCCCUUAAACAAACAACCCUCAAGAAGACCAAGAAACUGAUCCCCAAAUCGCUCAACAUUGCAUACCAAUAAUAAUCUCGCGAAAACUCAAUCCUCCAACUCAAUCAAUAGCUCCAAUUCAUCCAAAUCAACCCAAAUCUGGUGAAACCCAACCCAAAUAUCGCGUGCAACAUCAACCGGUUAAGACCUAGUUUCAACGGUCCAAGGAUCUUCCAGAAACACGCUUAUGUGUCUCAUCUACAGUUCAAAUCCUGAAAUUUUUGGGUUUACUGGUACGAAUUCGUACACACCUACUGAAUUUCUGUUGGUUCGUGAAGGAAUUUCAUCCCUUCAAAUCCAUUGGCCGGAGAAUUUUGGAUUUCAUAAAGAAAAUUCCAAAAUUCAUACGAGUUUGUUGGCAAAAAACGUUUCUAGGUUUAAAUUUUGAAUUCUUUUUUGAAAGAAAAUCCCAAAAUUACCCCUAGGAGACCCCAUUCUUUCCCAUCGGAUUGAAGUCCUAGAAAACCCUAGUUGUUCUCUAUAAAAAGGGAGUUUUAGAAGUCUCGAGGGGGGGUUCAAAAAUUUUAGAGAGGUUCUCUGGAGGUUAGAAAUUUGAGGGUUGGGAAAUUUCUUCUAAGAGAGAGGUAUUCAAAAGGAGAAAAAAAUAACUGAGGGAGACGGAAGAAAAUUUUGAGAAUAAGCGAUUCUUUUGGUAGAAAUUUUCUCGUUUCUCUUUUUCUUCUUUUGAAAGUUGGUCGUUUAAUCGUAAGCCUUGAAGGUUCGUCGACUGGUUGGUUUUUGAGUUGACAACGACGUCAGUCUCUGGUGGUAAUCGAGAUUCCAUCAAGAGCUCAAGUCCAGUUUUGCUGCUCCAAAACAGGUAACCUUUCAUCAUUUUUAGUUUCAAAAUAUUUUUUUUCCUUUCUUUCAUUCUGCCAGGCGAUUCUGCUCUUAGCAUUUUAGUCGUAUAAUCAUGUCAUUCGCAAUCGUAGUUGCUGGGUUUGUUAGCUAUAGAGGUCUUAAAGACCAUAGAUUUUUUAAUGUUAAAGUUUCGUGCUUUUGAUUUUUGUUGGAGUAGCUAGUGUCCUGUUAAGGUUGGCUUCAAUGUUUAAAGUUUCAUUCUUUUGAAGUUUCGGGCUGUUGGAACUUUGUUUAUCUGAUUUUUUUGCGGUUAAAGUUUGUGUUUCAAUUUUGUUUAAUACGUUUUGAGCUGCUGAAUAUUGUUCACCUGAUAUCCGUGUUCCAUUUGUUGCGGAAUUACAAGUUUGAAUCUUUCAUUUCCUUUUUGAGUUUGUUUCAAGUCAGUAUUUCGUUUGUUUGAUCCCCAAAGAAAUGCAUUGAUUUUAUUAUAAAAGGGAAUGGAAAGGGUCUCUUUGAUGUCAAAAUCAGUACAUGGGGUGCAUUCUCUUUGAGUUGGGUCAUGUGGUUUUGUUUGGGCAUGAAGUUCUUGAAAUUGCUUGCAACUAUUUUCUUUCGUCUUUAGAAACAUGAGAAUGGCAUAUGGUUUGGGUGUUGAUUGGUUUACCUGAAAUACCCGACGCUAUCUUGAUUUUAGGGUUGGGGAAUGAUGAUAGUUUUCUUAGUUUAAGUGAAACCUCCCUUGCCUAUUUUAAUAUAUUGCAAUGGUUACAAACUGUUGCAAUAGAUACUGUUGCAACAAAGUUGAACCGUUGCAAUAUCAUCUAUUGCGACGACAUUAAACCGUUGCAAUAACAUCUAUUGCGACACAUUUGUACUAUUGCAACACUUUUUGAGUACCUAUUGUAAUGCUUUAUUAAUCUAUUGCAACAAUGAUUGCCAUGUGUUAUUAAAUUGAAACGAUUUAUAUAAAUAGUUGUAUUAAUGUAAAUUUUUAUUACAUAAUAAAUUUUAACACAAUAUAUAAACAUUACAAAACAAAAUCAUUCAUUAAUAAUCUCAAAAUUCAAAAUAUACAGCAAGCUAGUAAUUUCAACCCAAAAGUAAAAUGUAAUCAAGUCCAAAUGAUUAGUUAAGUUUUUACAUACUAGCAAGUUCAAGUUGCGAUAAGUUUCAAAAAAUUCAACACAAAACUAUUGAUGUUAGAGCAUUUAUCCACAACCCAAAAAUCUUCUUAAGGACGGUCAAUGUUUUCAUCAUUUUCUUCAUCUUCUCUUUCUUCAUUUUGAACAUCUAUAAAAAGAGAACAAAUAAUAUAAAUUAGCACUUAAAUAACAACAUAAAAAGGACUAUUCCACAACAAAAUAAGCACAUAAACCAUGUAUAAGUUAGCUAGUAAAGAGGCAAAUCCUCUCGACUGUCUAGCUCGUUGAAACAGCAAACUCCCCAAAGUGGUAGGCUUGUAUCUUUUCUUCUAGUGUAUCUGAAUUUACUCUUCCACCAAAAAUUGUAGCUUACUCUUUUCUGUAACUACAUGUUUAUUAAGCUUUUGCAGCUUUUAAGUUGGACCGCGCUAUUGAUGUUCAAAUUGUCUAACUUGAUUUUUUGUUUCAGGCAGGAGAGAUAGUAUCCUGCCACCAAGAAAACAGAAAGGAAGCCUCUAUGUCCCUUAUACACCUAGAACUGAAUCAACACAGAUGCAAAAGGCUCUUUGAAAUCCAUAAAGUGUGAUUCUCAAAUCCACAUAAUUUCACUAUAAUGCAAUGUUCAGAACUUGGAAUCUUUGCAAGGUUUCCAUAAAGUGUGAUUCUCAAAUCCACAUAAUUUCACUAGGUACCAAGCCAAAUAAAUUCACUUUCAAAAGUACUAAUUAGGACUUGGUUUCUGCGUCCAGAAAUGGUUCGUAACUGAACAAGCCUGGUACUUCAUCUAUCACUAAUAUCUACACGUUAAUAUAAGACAGAACUGCACCAAUAUGCUUUGCCAAAGAGGAUUCCCACUGAAGAAAUAACCAUUCCUUAUUUUAAUACACCAAAAAAAACAAACUAAAUGCCUACAUAAUAGCAACAACUGACUGAAGGCAACACUAGUAAAUUUAGAGCCGUAUACAUAAGCGCAUAGGAGAGAUCAAGCUGAUGAAACAACAAACUUUGUAUUGAAAGGACCAAGUGAAAAAUUAGCAGCCAAACACAAUCAUAUCCUAAUUUCCUGGAGGGAAGUCACAAGUUCAUAUUAUAGAGGACGAACAUUACAAUUCUCCAAGCGCAUUUCAUGCUCCAUAUCCUUCCAUAGAGAUAUACACUAUAAACCACAUUUUUAAGCACCAUUUUCCCAAUUUCUUAAAUUUUCCUACAAUAUAACUUAGGAGAAAAAGAACAAACGUGUAUAUAGGCAAUGAUACAAAUAGAUCUACAAUUUAAUAAAAGGAACAUAUAUGUUUGAAAACAAAAGAUCUAAGAAUGCUUACAGUUCGUCUACCCAAGACUAUAAGAACAAGGGAAAUGGAUCAUAAGCUACAGUCAGAUGAUGAAGCUCCCAGCACAAAUUCAGAAACCAAAAAUAUUACUGAAAUUUGAAUUCUGUAUUGCUUCCCAUUAAGGAAAAGGAGAUGGAGGGUGGGGGGUGGGGGGUGGAGGGGAAUACUAAAAAAAACACUUCCCUCUUUAAUCUGCUGGUGACUCAAAAAUAGGUCAAAAUUUCCAAUUGGAGUACAAUGACAGAACUAUCUGUCAUGUCGAAAAAAGGAGAUACCAAGAACCAGAGCUGACUGGGAAAUGAAUCCAGGUUGAAAUUGGUUUUGAACACAUUGGGUAAUUGAGACCGGGACUAUAAGAAAAAGAACAAGAACCUCCCUGUGAAAGAGCAACACGAAAGGACAAAUUAAUGGACCCCAACUGCUGCUCUUCAAGAGUGUAUCUAAAAAUCUUGCCAUCUAACAGGAAACUAACUCUUCCAUCGAUGAUCUUUCCAUGCAGAAGUAUUCUAACUUUUCAAAAUACUUUCGCAACUACAAAAUUUAAAUGUACAAAACUAGCAAGAGAGCCAAUCAUAUACCAAAAAAAGGCCAAAGGAACAAAAUAGCCUACCAAAAGGUUAAAAAAUUAAUAUAAUAACAGAUGAGAACCUGGAAUGGACUAAUGGAGGUGGGAUUAAUGGAAUAAUUACUUGGUUAACUCCAAUUAACUGUUAAAGAGAUUUUACAAGAACACAACAAAAAAGGCCACUCCUAAUCCAGCUCUACAUUCCAAUUUGACAUGAAUACCUGAAGUUCAGGUAAUUCAUCAGACCUAUCAAUCACAAGGCAAAGUUUCAGAGGUAUCUCUGUCUAGCAGCCCAGAAUUGGAGCCAUAACGUGCAAAUGCAGCACAUGAUUUAUGGGUAACACACUAUUAUUAUACCAGUUAACAUGUAGAGUACUGACAUAACUCCAAAAAUUUGAUAUGUAUAGUAUAGCAUCUACCUUUUAAAUACAAAAGGUAUAUCAACCACCGCUUAGAGAAACUUCUCAGCUGGCCUAAGCUUAAAGAGGGGGGAUCAUCUUUAUAUUCUUUCAGGACAGAAUACCAAACUAAUAAUACCAGGACACAAUACCAAAAUACUAAUACCAAACUUUCUCCAGCUAAUCAGCAACAGACACACAUCAAAAGCAAUAGAAGUUCUACCAACAGAUUGUUACUACUAACAAAUCAAGAAAUGGAAAUUGACCUUGAUUGUUACUACCAAUAGAUGGACAAUUUAUUGGUUGAUUUGCAAGCGCUUUAUCUGACGAAUGAACAUUGAAUCCUAACAUAUUAGGAUCAAGUGUUAAUCCUGGAUUUAGAAGCCGAAGUUGUGCAAUGAUGUUCAUUGUAACUUCUCUCUCAAUAGCAUCUCUUUGAACAUUAAUUCUUUGUUGCAUCCUCUCUUCUAGCUCAUCCAAACUCUUCUCCACUAGUUCAUCAGCUUUUGAAGAGGAUCCAGAAUCAUUUGUUUUCUAUUUUAAAAGAGUCUUGGUAACCUCGCAUCCGAGUAGUCUUACUCGACCAGGAUGAUCAGGCCCUAUAACUGUUGUGAAUGGAUCAGUUGAUUGAGUGCCAUCUUCACUUUCUUGAGUCUCUAUUCUCUCCAUUUCAACCUACACAUUAGAUCCACGAGCAAGUAAAUUUAGUUGAUUCAACAAUUAAGAAAACAAUGAUCUUAAUCAAUUUUGAAAUAGAAAAUUUCAUACUAUUUUAUUUGCAAUCUCUUUAGAUGUGUCCUUAUAUACUCGAUCAGGUUUCCUCCUUCUAGUAGCCACAAAGAAGUCCUUAUUCGACAUAGCAUCAGAAUUUUUCUUCUUUUUUCCUAGUUACAUGCAAGUAAGCAUUAAAAUAUUAUCAAGUAAACUCAACAAAUUCAUAGUAACAAUAUGAGAAAACACCAACCUCGCCGAUUAAAGCAAAACUUAUUUUGCCCAUAGUAUGCGGAUACUUAAACUUUUUCAUAUUUUCUUUGUUAUUCUUGGAAGUAUCCUGCAAGUCAGUAUUUAUGAAUAGGUUUUUAAUAAAAAUAUCGAAGUAGUGAAGGUUUAAACACACAGAAUUUAAUGCGUUAUAUCAAAAGAAAGAACAACGUAAAAAGGAAGAUCAGGUGUGAUAAAUUCAAUAAUAAAUGCAAGCUAACAAUAAUAUAACUGUUGUCCAUAUUGAUAUCAUACCUUUGCUUCUUUUGAAUUCCAAUACUCAAGGAGAUCUUCAAAUACACGUUCUGGAACAGAGGUAGGCCUUUUUGCCCUUCGAAUUUCAUCAUUGGUGUACGCAUAAAAGUGAUAUUUCUUGAAUCCGGACUUACCCUCUAAAUGCAGCAUCAAUUGAUCUCAUAACCCAUUCUUUCCCAUUGUUGGGAAAGUCAUAUUUUUCCUAUAAUUUGGUUGAAUUGGGUUAGUGUAAAAAUUGUAAAAACUAUUCAAGUAGAAAUCAAAAUAUUGAGAACUUAGAAACUGAAUAUAGCUCCACAUAUCAUCGUGUGUCUUCAACUUUGUCCAACUGAGAUUAAGAGGACAAAAUGUCCCGUUCCUUGCCAAUGUGCCAAGAAAGCUAGAAAAUUCAGCGACCACUGGUUUAGUUGGACCAAUAGACUGGUUCAACUCAUUUAGCAGUAUUUGUUGACGGUUAGUCUGUCCAUGUACUGCUUGCAUUUGUGUAACGCCUCUUUUUCUUUUAUUAGUUGAAGGGCCUACAAUAAGAUCAACAAUAAAAUUACUAAAAUGCAUACAAUUUUUGAAAUAGUAUAUAUAUGUAUGUAUGUAUGUAUGUAUACGUAUUCUUUCCUUCUCUAGAUUGUUCAUUUGCUUGUAAAUUUGGAAGUUGUGACUGAUCUUGCUAGACUCGUUCAACUGUGGGUUGUGAUGCACGAAUGGUGGAGUUUGGCAAUUCUUGUCGCACUUGCUCCUCUACUGGUGCUGGUGGUGCAAAAGAGGUGAAAUACGGACACACCUGUUGCACUUUUUGUGAUACCUGAGAUAUAGUGGCACUUGUUGCACUUGUUCUAGUACUUGAGAUAUAGGUGGAAUGAUGUUUGCCUUCUCCUUUCACUUUUGAUUUUUUUCCUUUGCAUUUAUGCAUCUUGUGUUCUUCUUCUUCUUGUGUUCUAGUAUUUGUUUAUUUCGUAGAGCUGUUAGUGAUCCAGCUGAAAGAAAGUUUUUAGCUUUCUGAUGAUUUCUCGAACACCCUUGCUGAUUCAUGAUUCUUUAAGUCUAUGUAAGAUCAAGAGCAAAAAUGUAAUGUCAAGCUAGUUACCAAAUUACCUUCCAUAUUCAAAAAUUAGACCUAGAUUAAUGUACCAGUAAUUCCACCAAGAACUGCCCUUUACAUGACAAAUUUUAAGACAUAACAGUGUCUUUUUUGGUUAAUCAUAGUAAGAGUAAAUUUUCUUCACAAGCAAUGUGGCAUAUAUUCAUUGACAAGCUAUCAAAUUUAGAAGCAUAUCAAAAACUACCAAAGGGCUUGCUAAUAGUGAUAUUGGAAUAGUGAUUGUAACAGGCCAAUAACUAUCAUGGGAAUAUAAUGCUAUUGUCUCGGCUUAGGUGUUAAAGAUCUCAGAACUAAUAAUGUAUUAAUGACCAUACAUAUAAUUGGAAUGUCCAUUAAGACGUGAGAAGAAGCCAUUUUUCCCUGAAUAUGCCAUUUCUCCUGAAUCCACAACCAUAACUGACCCGAACAAACCCGUAGUCAUACUAAUCCACAGCUUCGCUGCUAAGGGAAUUAUCACAUGGCAAUUUCAAAUAGGUGCAUUAACUAAAAAAUACUCUUUUGUACCUGACUUACCUUUAUUCGGGGGUUCAAUAACCGAUAAGUCAGACCGAUCAUCGGGAUUUCAAGCGGAGUAUUUGGGAAAAGGAUUAAGGAAAUUAAGAGUGGAGAAGUGCAUAGUGGUUGCGUUCAGUUAUGAAGGAAUGGUCGCAUUUAAGAUGGCAGAAAUGUUUCCAGAUUUAGUGGAAGCACUAGUUGUAUAUGGUUCCAUUUUGGCAAUGACUGAUUCGAUUAGUACUACGACGCUUAAUAUUGCUUAAAAAAAGGAAACAAAAAGAAAUGACCCUUACAAGUAUGUAUUGACCAAUCCAGCCAAAAAGAGAAGAAUUUCUGUACACUGUACAAACGACUGCAAAAGUUAUGCAGAAUGGAAAAACAGCCAAAGUAAGAUAUGAGACUACAACAAAAAAUGGGUACUUUAAUGAAUGACUCUCCGGUACGGUUAAACCACCUGAAAAAGUAAAAAAAGCACCUGAAACAAUUAGAUAUUCAUCGUGUAACAGAACUUCCAAUAGUGUUCUCAGAAGCAGAACUUCAAAUACCGAAUCUAAAUUCUAAUUGAAUUAUGGGUGUUCUCAGUGACCAAUACUUUUAUAUAUGGGUACAAAUGUCGAGGCUGUGCUAUUCACAUAGGAUUGGAUUAGCAUAAGAAAAUAAUGUUGCAUAUCAUAUCCUGUAUACACAUCAUAGAAGAAGUAACAUUUUCAACAUUGUCCCUCCUAAUACGGGUCACAUAAAAUUAUGAAAAUUAUAUUCUAAAUAACUUUCUCACCUGAGCAGGAAAGCAAGAUUCACAAGGGUUCUUGUCCAGGCAGACAGACCAAUGUUUGAGCCACCAAAGCUAGCAACCUAUAGCAGUUUAAGCAUUAGCUCGGUGAAUCAAAAAGGAGAACAGUGUGAUAGUAGUAAUACAAAAUUCAUCCAUUUACAUUCAACCAUGUAAUGCAAAUAGUGUAGAGAUACAGACCUCAAAAACUCCGUGAAACUGAUAAGUUGAGUAGUUGUACAAGAAAAGAGACAAUCCAGGUGUGAUUUUCCUAAUGAAGUCACUGUAACGUGGUGGCAAGCCUGAAAUAUAAUCGUAGUGAUAGACAUUAGACAAAAGCACCAAUCUUGAAAGAACAAAGAGCGUAAAAUUUCACUUAUCCAAUGUAUUAAACAGAAGCAUAAAUCCCAAAACUCAGGUUGAUUAUAUAAAUCUUUUGCAUUAAUUCUACUCUAUUCAGAUACAACUCAUCCAAAACCAAUAUUUUCAAACCAAACAACCCCUAAAGUAUCAUCAGAUUACCCAAUUCCUCUUGGAACUUGUACAAAUUUUGCCAUUUCAGUACACAGAAACUGAAUAAAAAUACCAUCCAACUGAAAACAACAAAAUCUAACUACAAACAACACAAUAACACAAAUCAAGACAAAAAAAUCUUACUACAAACAACAAAUUGUCAAAAAGCAAAGAUUAAAGUAGGAUAUUGAGAUGUGAUGUUCUCUGUAUAUUGAGAAUUAAAGUGAUCAACUUUCUAAACAAGAAUGGAUAUAAAAUACAUACGAAAAGAAAAUUUAACACUCACAAAAAAAAUGAAACUAAUGAUGAGCAUAUAUUCAAAAGAACUUUCUUGUUUAAUCAUCUGCCUCCAUCCAAUCCCAAACAGUAACGUCAAACUCAUCCUCGUCUUCCGAUGUUUCCACAACUAUAUCUUCUGAAUUUUCUUCAGUAGAUGGAAUAUCAACAAUAAUAAUGGCUCCAUCUUUUCUUGCCCAUCUAAAGUCACCCUCAUCUAAUCUAGUUGAGGAAUCAAUGUCAUCAUUAGGCUCCCUCCAAAAUGUUUCUCCUAUAUUAGGGCAAUUCUCUUCCUCCAGAUAAUACAAAUCAACAGGGACUUUAUUCCUUGCAUAAUAAACAUCUUUCUCAAUUGGAUCCGCAACAUAAGAAACUUGAUAAACUUGUGAUGCCAACACAAAAAGAUCAUCUUGACUGCAUAACUUGUUGAAGUAUACCCGAGUUAACCCAUACUCAUCUACUUCAUUCUAAUGCCAAUCACAUUUAAACAACACAACACUAAAACAACCAUAAUAAUCAAUCUCAAUGAUAUCUCGAAUGACUCUAUAAUAAAUCACCACUCCAUCUAUGGAAUUUUGGUCCCUAGCACUAGCAAAACUAUCAGUUGUUGCUGAUAAAGUCACUCUACUAUUUUGAGUCUUGUGUGGGGCAUCCCAAUCUUUUGUAUGAAAUUGAUAUCCAUUGAUGAAAUAUGCUCUAUAUCUCUUGGCCACCAUAUUAGGCCCCUUAGAUAGCCAUUUUAAAUGAUGGGAUACUUCAACAUUUUUAACUUUUUGUUUAAACCAACUGCUGAAUUCACAACUAUGAUUCGUUGCUCUUACCCAUGCAUUAGAUCUAGUAUGACUACUCAAUGAGGUUUUAUGUUCCCUGCAAUCAAGAAUAUUGAAAAUAUUAUUACUAGGUCGUUAUAAAUAGAUGUUUAUGUACCUUAUCAUAAACAAGCGAAUGAAGUUUAAUGGGUAAAUAUCUUACUCAAUGAGCUUUUUCACUUCUUCAUCUCCUGUGUUAAAAAGGACAUAUCGAUGUGCUUCAUAACGUAACUUUACAUCCAUAAAAAAAGUGUAAUUUUUUUUCUUCUCACUUCCAAUUGGAUGACCAUUCUUAGGGAAUAUAGGGGACAAAUUCAGAAUGGAUUCCUCAUCUUCAGUUUGGUACCUGCUAAAUUGCAUCUUCACACCAUCAUGUAGGUAUCUUGAACAAAAAAUCAAGCACUCUCCAACCAAGUAACCUUCUGCUAUUGAUACUUCUAGGCAUGAUCGAUUACGAACGAGCCCCUUAAGGUUACAUAGGGCCCUCUCAAUGGAAUACAUCCAGUAAAGAUGAAUAGGACCCCCAAGCUUAAUUUUAUUUACUAAAUAAACAGGAAAAUGUAGCAUUAUAUCAAAAAAUGCUAUAUGAAAAAUCAUUUCAAGGUUAGAUGUAAUUCACCAAUUUCAGACUCCAGUUUUUCAAGAUCUCUAGGCCUAAUUACCUUACUACAUAUGGCUCUAAAAAAAUUGCACAACCUAAUCAAUGUCAAUGCAACAUUCUUAGGUAACGCUUUUCUAACAGUAACCUGUAGCACGUGAUGCAUUAUAAAAUGAGCAUCAUGACUCUUGUACCCGGAUAUCUUCAUCUCCUUCAUAUUCACGCGAUCUGAUAUAUUUGAAGCACACCCUUUAGGUAAUUUGACAUUUUUCAAGACACUGCAAAAUAAUUUUUUCUGUUACGGUUCCAUGGAGAAUGAAGAUUGAGCCAAACGCUGCAAAACAGUUUUUUCUAUUCUGGUUCCAUGGAGAAUGGAGAUUGUGCCAAACAUACAUUUCCAUUACUAUCUUUUAUCGGUUGUAGCUCCUCCCGUAUUCCCAUUUCUUGUAAGUCAUAUCGAGAAUUUACAUGAUCCUUUGACUUUUCAUCUAUCUCCAAUAAAGUCCCAAGCAAACUAUCACAUAUAUUCUUUUCUAUGUGCAUUGGAUCAAGAUUGUUCCUCAAUUUAUUAUCUGGCCAAUAUGACAAUUAAAAAAAGAUAGAUAUUUUCUUCCAAGGACCUUUAUUAUCUCAAGACCUUUUCUUUUUGCCCUUUCCAAAACAUUGUUGAAUUCGCGCAACUCUUCAAGCACUUCUAUACCCGACAAAGAAAUUGGUGCACGUCUAUGUUCCUCCUUACCAUCAAAUAACUAUUUAUCUUUUCACAGUGGAUGAUCAAACAGCAAAAAUCUUCGAUGACCCAAAUAACACAUCUUUCGACUAUGUUUGAGAUAUUGAGAGCAUGUGUUAUGAUUGCAAUUAGGGCAUGCCAAUUUUCCCUUAGUGCUCCAUCCUGAAAGCAUUGCUAAUGCUAGAAAAUCACUAACUGUCCACAUUAAGGUUGCACGCAUUUUGAAUGUUUGUUUGGUUUCAGCAUCAUAAGUAUCUAUUCCAGAUUCCUAUAGUUUAUUUAAUUUAUCAAGCAGUGGUUGAAAAUACACAUCAAUAUCAUUUCCAGGAGAAGAUGGGCCUGGAAUAAUCAUUGACAACAUAAGAUACUCCGACUUCAUGUAGAUCCAUGGUGAUAAAUUAUAGUUCAUCAGCAUAACAAGCCACGUGCUAUGAGAAAUACUCAUUGUUCGAAAUGGAUUGAAACCAUCACUCGAGAGAUCUAACCUAACAUUAUGAGGAUCUCUAGAGAAAUAUGGAUACAAACGAUCAAAAUCCUUCCAUGUCAGGCCAUCAGUGGGAUGCCUUAGAUUUCCAUCAUUUGGUCGUUCAUUAGUAUGCCAUUUCAUUGCAACAGCUGUUUCAGAAUACAUGAACAUCCUCUUAAGCCUAGGCUUUAAGGGAAAGUAUUUUAAAACCUUUGCAGGAAUUUUAGAGCUUGCAUUGGUUGAGGCACCACCAACACUCUUCCAUCUAGAAGUCCCACAUACAGAGCAAAUCUCAACUUUCUCAUUGUCCUUCCAGAAUAACAUGCAAUCAUUAGGGCAUGUAUGUAUUUUUUCAUAAUCAAGACCCAAAUCUCUUAUCAUAUUUUUGGCCUUAUUGAAAGACUCUGGUAUCUGAGCAAAGAGAAAGGCCUCUUUUAUCAACACUAAGAGAUCUGAAAAUGCUGUGUUACUCAACCCAUGCAAUGAUUUAAAUAAGAACAACUAAAUGGUGAAACUCAGCUUACUAAAAUUCUCACACCCAGGAUAUAAUUGUUGUUUUUCUUCCUCUAAUAAUUUAAAAAAUGUAGUUGCAUCUUCAGGUAAUCCCUCUCUAACUCCUUCUCCAUACCUCGAUUCAACAUCUACAUUUCUAAACGUAUCGUGAAGUAGUCCAUCAAUAUCAUCACGCAUAUCAGAACCUUCAUCAUCAUUAAUUGGAUGAUGUGUCUUUCUCGAUGAAGCGUUUUCUCCAUGGAAAGUCUAUUUGGUGUAACUAGGAAGAAACCCUCUAGAAAUCAAGUAAUCCUCCACCACAUCUCUAUAACGCCAAUGUUGAUUCUUGCAGUCUCUACAAGGACAUAAUAUCUCAUUUCCUUGAGCAGCUCUUUCAAAUGCCUUUUCAAGAAAAUAUUUCACUCCACGCUCAAACUCAUCAGACCAUAUUUAACAAUUCAUCCAACUCUUAUCUUCACUAUUCAUUAAGAUCCUACAUAUAUAUAACACAACAAAAUCACCAAAAUUAUGAUUCAUGCUAAGCUAAAAUAUGAACAUUGUCAACCACGUGAAACAGGCAGCCAAGAAACUUGCACAGAUAUUUUAACAAGUUUAACAGACAUAACCAAUCCAUACUAAGAAGACUUCACCAAAUAGAGGAACAAAAUUAUUAGGUUUUUGAGAUUGCAAAUUUAACAACAUCUCUUAUCUAGGUUGCUUAGACUCUUCAAAAAUGUGAACCAACAAUAACAAUAUCAAUGAACUUAAGUAGCAUAACUAGAACUCACAAACAAUCGAUCCAAAAAAACUAAAAUCAAGUAAAUAUACUUACAACAACAACAAUAACACCAUACCCAGUGUAUUCCCACAUAGUGGGGUCUGGAGAGGGUAGAGUGUACACAGACCAUACCACUACCUCAGGUGAAGUAGAGAGGUUGUUUCUGAUAGACCCUCGGCUUAGGACCGAUAAUAGUGUAACAAACACAAAAGAUAAGUACAAAUAAACUAGUACGGUAUGCAAAAUAAACUAACAGUAUAACAGACACAAAAGAUAAGUGCAUAUUGCAAACUAAACUAACACCGCUAGCCACAAGAUAAUACUACAACAGCAACACCAUGAACAAAAACUCCAGACACAGAAGAACUCUCCCCUACUAUUACUGACGCACUCCCUUCCAAUAACCCUCUACCCUAAUCCGCAUCCUCCACACCUUUCUAUCGAGAGUUAUGUUCUCCCUUUCACAACUAAUGAAAUUUGAGCACUUAUCCCACUUAGAGGAGCGGUCGUGCAUAUUUUAAAAGUGUGACCUGGAGGUCAACUGUUAAUGAAAUUGGAAUGAAGACCAUGGCAGAUCAUGACUCAUAUCUCAAUCGAGGCAAUCUAAGUGAUUUAAUCCUAUCUGUUUAAGUCUUAUAGGCAGAGUUACCUAUCACUUGUAUUAAUAGGGGCUAUAUGUACCAAAUGGAAUAGUCUAGGCGCACAAAGUUAUCAAACACCACCAAUUAAGCUACAACCUAAAGACAAAAUUAGAAUGAAAUGGAUGACCACCUACUUGACUUCCAAAUGUAUCGUUUCAAAUCCUAUCCUAUUCCCAAAAUGAGCUGGUUAGCAUCUUAACUCAGGUGAAAGACACUCGCUUUUUGAAACGUUGUGCGUACUUCUACCAAUUAUUUUUAUGUUGUAAAUAGUUUCAUUAAACAAAUUAUUGCUAUAAUAAAUUGAAUUUAUUUCAUUAAAGAAAUAGUUUUCCUUGUACCUAGGAGGAUGUCCUAGUGGUUGCACUGGUGAGGCAUGGGAGUAACAACCUGAAGAUUCCAGGUAUGUAUCCCAGCUACAACACUUGGUAUGAGCCCAUCCGAUCCAUCCUAGGUGGACAGGAUUAACUCCGCAAAGAAUGCUUGUGAAUUGAACAAAUUAUUGAGGUGUGUGAAAGCACAAGAAAUUACAGCAAAAAUAAUUCUCCGAAAAUUACAUGAGCUUCUUUUGUUUAAUAAGGACCCAUUUGACAGAAAAUUAUCAUACGUUUUCUAUUAUUGAACCAAAGUACAUCAAGAGCAGCAAAAAAUUCCUGAUAUCGAUGAAAUCUACCUUGCAUAUAACUCUUAAAUACUGAUUAACCAAUAGGCUAUAAAUAUUCACUAGUUUACAGCAUAGUCCAAAAUCAGCUUGUCUCUCGUUGCUAUUACAGAGAUCAAAAAUGAAUUACCCAUUUAAGUAUUUUCAAAUUAACAGGCUAAAGAUCAUCCUUUCCACAGACAUCAUUUCUCAUCAUCGUUUCUCGUUAAUCUGAAAAGCCACAUAAGUAAGAAUAGCAAUCUAAACAUAGAGACUACAUAUAGACAAAUUAAAUCAACAAUUAAGACUACAACAAUUAAAACUCUAAUCAGUAACACUCAUCUUCCUCAACUUCUGGUUGUCAAUAUAAUGAAUUACGACAUCUUCCCCAACAUAACGACCAUAAUCAGCAAAAUUACAAGGAUAAAACAAAAAUUUCAUGCAAUCAAAUGAACUCAAGAAAAACCCAAAAUCCCAAAAAAUUAGGGCAAAGUUACAGAAGAAUAAAACUAACCUUAAAAUUCCAAAAUUGAAGCAAUUGAAGUGCAAAUUUGAGAGAAAUUGUUGUACAAAAUCGGUCUGCCUUUCCAACACAAAUAGAUUUUUGAAGCGGCUCCAGUAAAUCCCAUAGAGCUCACCACCGGCAGCUCACUAUUAGAUCAUCUCCACAAGAUUGAAUAGUUUGUAGCAACUGUAGCGACUGUCGUUAGCGAUUUUAGCGAACAGUACACCGGCAGCCCUAAUCGUCGAUUGUAACGAGUCUAUCAGCUAAUGAAAGAGUACCCGGCAGUCCUAAUUGUUGAUUGUAGCGAUUCUAUCAGCUAGUCGAAGAGAAAACUUGGCAGCCCUAAUAGUCGAUUAUUGUAGCAAUAUCAGCUAAUCGAAGAGAAAACUUGGCAGCCCUAAUCGUCAAUUACUGUAGCAAUGUCGUAGGUUUAAGGUAAGAGAAAGUUGGCAGCCUAAUCGUUGACUAUACUGUAGCCAUCCCGUAGGUUUAGAGCUAAGAGAGAAAUAAAAUUGUACAAUAUGAAAGUUUAAGCUGUAGGUUUAUUAAAAUGUUUUUCUUUUUUUUUGGAGGAAUGAAUGAAAAGUUUUUGUGAAAAUGGAGGGAAUAAAAUAAGCGUUGCUAUAGCUUAUUUUAUUUAGCUAUUGCAACGCUUAUGGUCAAAAGCAACAACUAUAAUGUUAAUUAUAGCUAAUAGAACAAUAAUUUUUGGCAACGCUCGAGACCGUUGCAAUAGACCACCUAUUGCAACGCUUUUUUAACCGUCGCCAAAAAGUUCGUUGCAAUAGAGGUAAUUUCCAGUAGUGAAAGUUGUGCUUUUAUAAAAUUUUUCCAACUUUUAAACACAAACUAUCCGUACUUUAUUUUGAUAAUUUCAUUAUAGUCAAACUUUCACGAGUUAAUACUUUUAUUAGCCAAAUAAAUAGUUUGAGUUAUUUAAAGUUUUGAUUCUCACAUAUGUUUAUGGGGGGUAAGGACAAGUAAAUUUGAUGUAUAAUCAAUAUAGACUUAUCUUUUCGAUCUACAAUUCAUCAUAUCAUAAAUGUAUAAUUUUAUUACUCUCUCCGUCCCAUUUUAUCCGUCCCAAAUUCUUAAUUUGAUAUCCUAUUUUACUUAUCAAGACAAAAUAAUUUUUUUUUCCAUUAUACCCUUAAUGUAAUUGAUUACUCCUUAUUAUUUGCAUUUUUGAAAAAUGUUGCAAAGAGGAGUACCAUUAAAAAUACACCAUUAAAAAUAUAAAUGGUGCUUUGGUAUUAAUCAUCUAUCAAUAUUGGAACUAACAGCAAGACACAACUAAGAGGGGCAAAAUAAUAAAGUUACAUUACCAAUCAUUAUUUUCUUAAUAGCUGUGUCAUCUCAAUUUGGGACGGGUAAAAUGGAACGAAGGGAGUAAUGUUUAGAUCAGUAGCUAAUGUCUAAUUAUUAGAUAUUGCAUGUGCAAUAACUGUAUAAUUAAUGUAUAAUUACUUUUCUCAUUAUUUAAUAUUUAUACAUGGGUUAUAUAUUAUAUAUACACCAAUUAUAAAGGAUAAACAUUGAGUUGUGUUAUUUAAUCACAUAUACAAAUAUAUUCUAUACAAAUAUAAAAAGUUCAUAAAUCUGAUAUGACCACAAUAUUUUAUGACUUUUUUUUACAAACUUCUUAAGGCUACCAAAAACUAUACUAAAUGCUAUUGUUUCCCUAUUUGGUUCCAUUUGACUCAACCAUUUUUCAGAAAUUCUUGCCUAAAUCAGCCAUAAUUAGACUUCUUAGAGUGCGGAAACUAAUCUAAUACGUAGCCUACUAUUAUUAUAAGAACCAAGCAAUUGAAGAAGAUUGUAGAAUUAACAAUAUUGAAAUAUACUUCUUUAAAUUUUUUCUUUUCAUCUAAUUCAUGUAUGUUGGUGGUUCUUGUAUAACUCUACCACUAUCACUGUAUCGUGGUAUUAGAAUUCUAAAUUUUAAACAAACUAAUAUAUUGUAAAUAUAUUAAUUUUAGGAUAUUACAAUCUUACAAUCAUAAACUAUGUUGCUCUCUAAGAGUAAUGCGUCUAUCCACACUCCAAAAAAAGAGUUAAAUGGUGAUGUAGAGAGCCACGAGAAAAGUGAAGUUGCAGCUAUUAAGGAAAGAAAAAAACAAAAUAAUGAAAACAUUAUCAUCUUUGCUAGCUAUAUACUAAUAUCCUUCUAUAAUACAUACUAAACCAAAGAAAAAGCCAAAGAUGUAUGAAAUUUUUUGUAAAUUCUUACGCACUUUAUCGACCGUUUGCCGCUUCCAAAUUAGUAUAAAUACACUACACUCAAUUCACAAUUAUAUUCAUUCCAUAAAAGAAAAACAGAGAGAUCUUAUAUAUACAAAUUAAGAGAAUUAAAUUAAGUUAUAAUCAUGAAGGCUGUCGCAGUACUAGUUGUAGUUGUGCUAGCCGUGGUACAACUAGCAAUGGUUGCUCGGGGCGCAGUCACUUGCGGCCAAGUGGAUGCUAAUUUGGCACCCUGUGUCCCAUUCCUGACACAGGGUGGUGAACCCGGUGCAGCCUGCUGCAGCGGGGUGAAAACCCUAAAUAGUUUGGCUAAGUCGACUGAUGAGAGGAGGACUACUUGCAACUGUGCUAAGGCUGCAGCAAAUCGAUACCCCAAUCUUAAAGAUGAUGCUGCGCAGUCUCUCCCUAGCAAGUGCGGUGUAACCCUGAACGUCCCUAUCUCCAGGACCAUCAACUGUGACACGUAAGAAUUUAACUUAUAUAUAGCGUAAAAAUGUCAAGUUGCCUAUUUAAAUGAUAGCAUGAAGAAGUACUAGCUAGCUAUAUGUUUUAUACUUGUAUAUAUUUACCAUUAAUCUCUAAUUUUUCUCUUUUAUCCUCUUCUGCAGAAUAAGUUAAAUUCAGCUGCGCAGUUUCGGGUUUAUAUAACGCAGCGGAGAUUCAAAAUUCUGUUAAUUUACUUUGUGUUAUAUGUGUUAAAUAAAAUCAAGGGUAGUUAAACCCUUUGAAGUUGUAAAUAUACUCAAUUACUAUGUAGUAAUUUGAGUAUUUUUUACUAUUUUACCAAUGUAUAUAUUAUGUCUAUAAUAAGAGUUCAAAUUAUCUAUAAACUUGCUCUAUUAUUUUAACUUUUAACGAAUAUUUUUUUGCCUACAAUAAGAUUUUAAAUGUUCUAGACAUAAAUGUUACUACCUUUUUAUUUUGCUUUUAAGGAGAAUCUUCUGUCAAUAAUAUGAGUUCGAAUGGUGUAUACACAAACAUUGUCCUUUUAUCUUUGCUCUUACCAAAUGUCUUCUGUCUAUAAUAAGAGUUCAAAUGAUCUCCAAAUCUAAAACGUUCAUCUUCAUUUCUAAGUUCAUAUAUGAAAUGUUCAUCGUUUACCUUAAACUGAAAUAUAAAAUUUUAUCCAAAAUCACCUUAAUCUUAUCUAAACAUCCGAAAAUUUAAGAUGUUUAGAUUCAUCAAAAAUUUUCAAUAAAAACCAACAAUACUCAUUUGAAAUAAAUGACUCUUUCGAAAACUCGAAAUGGCGACAUGUAACUCGUGAUGUAGUUUCGCACCUAAGUGAUCCCUGCAAGUGCAUUGGCGAAUAAUGUGUGCUCUGCCUCGGUACGUUGGAUGAGCAAGCCAUUGCAAGUUACUUAAUGACCAACUGACUAGAUUUGAUCCAAAGAAAAAUAUGUAACCUGAUAUAGAGAUUUUGUCAUUCGGAUCGCGCCAGCGCAAUCCGCAUCAGCAUACAUACACAAAUUAGAGUCGGGGUUAUGAAAAAUGCGAAGUCCUAAAUGAAAGUGUAAGAGGGACGAUUUAUACUAGUUGCGAUCCAGAAUAAGUUCUGCUUCAGUUCCCUUGGAUUGCAAAUAGGGGUGGACCCACAUAGGUUCAAGUGAGUUCAUAUGAAUCCACUUCGUCGAAAAAUAACAUUAUAUAUACACGUACGUAUAAGCAGUCUUUACAAAUAUACAAGGUAUAUAUAAUAUUUGAACCCACUAUAGACAGCUAAAGUGCUUAGCCUAGGGGUAGUGGAUUCAUAUCUUAAGUAUUACAUUGUGUGUUUGAGCCCCAACAGUGUCACUUUUUUGUUUUCUUUAUACACUGCACCUCUUUUCUUUGUCAUUUUUUUGUUUUUUUUUUAUCCGUAUUUAUUUUUUAUAUAUUAAACCCACUUGGUGAAAAGUCUGGGUCCACCACUGAUUGCAAAGAAUUCUACUAACUUUCUUUAAUGAAUAAAAAUAGUACAAAAUUUGAGUCAACCUUUUUGACUUAUAUUCACACUCUUCUUUUAUUUUUCUCACUUUUGAUAUAAUGCUACAUCAAUAAUAUUUUUCUCUCCUCUCUUUUCUUUUUAUACACAACAAAUUUAUGAAGAAUACAAUAUUUUAUAAAAGUAGAGCAAAAAGCUAAAGAAGGUUGAAACAAGUUUUAUUUCUCUUUCCUUAAUUUUAUUUUUUGAGCUUUUGUUUCUUAUGGUCUUCUUCAGCACAAGAACAAAACCUGAAUUUUGAUUGGGCCUGCCUGCCUUUGGACUAGUAACAUUUAUCACUUACAUGAAUUAGCCUGAGCUUUCUGCAUUGCGUGCUCCAGACCAACAAUCUGGUCACCAGUGACAUUAUGUGCACCACUAUAGUUCCAAAAUCAGUCUUCUUUUUGAACUUCAAAUAGGGUAGAAACACCACCCGUUUAUAGCAAUACUCUUUGCUAUGUCAUUUGCACUUGCAGUAGUCACACACUAAAUUAUACAUGGCAACAUACUCCAAAUUGUUAGAUGACAUAUCGUUCAUUCUCAAGUUUCCAAUAGUGGUGAUAACUAAUUGGUGUGCUUCAUCACCCGUUAAUUAUCAUAACAUAAGCUUGGUUGAUAUUAGGCAACGGAUUCAUCAGUAGAAUUUGACUUCUAGCUUGAUGACAAACUUCAUUUAGUCCUAGAAGAAAUUGAUAAAGCUUCUGUCUAUUCAUACGAGCAACAAAAUCUCUUGCUUUUUCAUAAUCACAAAUAGAUGGAGGUACAAAAGCCUCAAAAAGGAUUUCUCAAUUUAGUGUAGAGUAAGCAGACACAAAUGCAGUACCUUAUUGCAAGAUAUAGUGAUUUCUUUAUGUAAAUUAUACGUUCUUGAUCCAUCUACACGAUCAAAUCUCUUUUUCAAAUUAUCCCAAACAGUACAAACAUUCGAGGCAAACUCAAUUCCAGUCAACAGACACUUAGAUACUGAAUUCAUAAAUCAAGAAAGAACAAUUGCAUUGACCCCAUAAAUUUCUUGUAAAUGCAUCUUUCCUUCAAGUUCCAUCUAUCAAACCUAUCUCGUUUCUAUCAAGAAGAGCAAAUUUGAUUGAACGACUCCACAAUGCAUAAUAUUCAGUUUCAAGUAAUUGAAAGGAUAUAAAUGCUAAGACCACUAGCAUUAGUAGGACUCAAGAAGAGAGAGUGGUCGUAGUCACUAAUAAGUCUACAUAUUUUCUCCAUUUGUUUGUUCACUCGUUGUCUUGAGUUGUAACAAAUCUCAGAAUUUCUAGAAGAAGAAAGAAAACUCUGUUAUGCGAAAGCAAAUCUUGAAUAAGAACUGUGAAUUUACUCCGAAACAAAGCAAUACGAACAAUGACAAUGUUGAUUUCUCAGAAAUCAACACUAACUGCACUUCAAAAAUCUACGAACAAACCAACUCUUAGAGUGGAGUUUUGAGACUCGAAUUGUGCAAGAAAAUCAAAGAGAAAACACCAAUUCUCAUAAUUCGUGUAACAACGCUGACUGAGAUGAUCAUUGCUCUGAUACUAUGAAGGCAUUCAAAAAGCAAGUAAACUGUGUAAUGGAGAAAAAAGAGAAGAGAGUAGAAGAAAAGAUCAUAGCAAUAACAUUGUAAAGAAUAAGUUUUACCGUGUUGAUAUAUGUCCUAUAUAUAUAGAGUAUAUCACUGAAGUUAGUUAUAACUAACUUAACCAAAAUUAAGAAGCUAGCUAGUAGUGGUUACAAUUGUGAAUUGACUAUACUACACCUACUAUUACUAACUAGUAAUAUAUAAUACUAUCAGCUAAGUAUCUUAACAAAAAACCCUUUACAAUUCUCCAUAUCCAAUUCAGAGAAAAUGUCCAGAAUGUAUUUGAUUGAGAAAGAACGCAAUCAUCCGGUACUUGCUAAACUUCAACACGAGAAGUAGUUUAGAUAGACAAAAUUCUUCAAUGAACAUAAUUAAACUAUUAAAUACCACAUACUAUCUAAAAUAUCAUCUGCUCCACUCAAAAAAAAAAAAAAAAAAAAAAAAAAAAAAAAAAAAAAAAAAAAAUCAACGUAGAAGCAGACAAAGAUAAAGAAAGAAAAAGAAAUGGACGUACAAAAUUAGAAGUUGACGAGGCAAAAGAAGGAAAAUGUACGAUAGGUAUUUUGGUGGAAUUAAAUAAUAUAAGUAAAUGGUCAAAUAGAAUUUCGAAGUAUUAAGUAAGGAUAUACUUAGAAAGAGAAGUUAAAUAAUGAUGUGAUCAAAUCAAAUUGACUAGUACAUAAAAUUAAACUUUUCAUUAAUACAUAACCACAGACUUAACAAUAUAAUACAAUAUACUUUAAACAAUAAUCAAAUAAAUAUUGAACAUGUUUGUAAUAACUAAUUUAAUAACGAUAUAAUGUAGUGAUGAUAAAAAAAAAUUGAUUGAAUUUGAGUUGGGUGGAUUGAAAAUUGAUUGAAUUGCAAUCCCACCUAUAUGAAUAUGAGUGAAGAAUAGAUUGGGUAAGACAUGGAUUUAAAAAUGUUUCUAACCGACGUUAAUCUCUAAAGGCCAAAAGUAUCUAAAUCUUUAAUUGAGUUAAUUGAAAUCAGUUUUAACAAUAAAAAAACUACUUUAAGUAUGUGUUUGGUAUGAAGAAAAUAUUUUUUUAUGUUUGAUGAAUUAAAUGGACAUAUUUUCAUCCAAUGAAAGGAAAUUAUUUCCAACAUAAAAUAAAAAAAAAAAUAUUUUUCAAAACCCUUUUUCAGUCUCACCCACUAAAUUCGACCUGAAACACUAUCCUUGACCCCAACCUUAGCUUAGACUAUCUUUUGACCAUGACCUAGGAGCCAAAACCCAACCGCAACUUGAGAUCUAGCUCUCGAUCUCAACCUGGAACCCAAGAGCUAAAUAUCGAUCUCCAUAUAGGACCAAUGAUCUGAGUUAGAAUCUCGACAUGAGACUUUGAAUAGACCCGACACGAGACCUAUGAACUGACAUAAGACCCAGACUAUGCCCUAACUUGGCACCCAACUUCUGGUGGACUUCAUUUAUUCUUGCUUCAAGCUUAGGGAAGUCUGUUUACUUAGACAUUUCGGGAUGGGGAAUGAAUAAUGACGUAGAUCUUCUUAUGAGUCUUACACGAGUGAAGCUUGGGCCUUGCCUUACAACAAAAAAUCUCCAGGGAGUAGAAAAAAAGCAAGAAAAUCUCUCUUGUACUGGAGAGUUUUCCCCAUAAGGCAUCCAUAGGUCCUAAAAACGUGACUUCAUAUGCUUGUAGGGGUCUACUCAUUUGCAUUCAAUCUGAUCCCGAUACAGACUUAGAAGCCCCAGAAGCCGAUCCGUAACCUAACUCUCAACUGCAACUUGGAACUCUAACCUGACUCUCAAUCCUAAAUCAAGAUUCAAAUCCCGGCCUGCACCAGAUGCUAGGAACUAGCCCUAACUUGGGACCUAAAUCUGGACCUCGAAUUCAAACUCGAGUCUCAAUUAUGAACCUAAUCUAGGUCUUUAACUCAACUCCCAAAACUCGAUCAGGGACCCAAAUAGGUACCAAGACCAAACCCAAGACUCAACUCUUGAUCCCUACCUAACAAGUGACUUGAGAUUCGACUCUUGACCUCGAUCUAGUACAUAGAACCCGUUUCUCGAUCUUGACCUAAGACUUAACUCCCCAUCCUGAUUCUUGACCUGGACAUCAGACCCCUUCCCCAAUCCAGAAAUCGAUCGAGACUCGGGACUUAAAUCAUGACCCCUACUAGGGACGACCUAGGACCCGACUUUCAAACUUGAUCUUGACGUCGAUCCUAUAUUCAGGAUCCGACUCUCGAUCUGACCUAGGACCUAAAUCCCGACUCUGACAAGGGAACCCAUCCUUGAAUCGAGUGGGGUGUAUGUAGUCAGUAUGAAGGUAGUCAUCGGUAGAUAGUGCAGGGGGGUGGAUUGGUGAUGCAUUGGUGUGGUUUUUAUUUAUCCAAAAUAUGCUUUUCCUCAAAUUUUUAAGGAAAGAUUUUCUUCUAGUUAUAAAAGUGAGUUUGUGUAUUUAUUCAAUAUUUUUAUUGGUUAAAAUUUAAAAAUAACCUGAAGCUCAUAUUUAUUCAAAAUCCAAAGAGUUAAAUUAAUAUACACUGACGGUGUAGACGUUUUACAUGGUCAGGUAACUUAAUAGGCAGUUUCCAUAACUACUAUGUUACCACCUAUUUUUCAGCUUUUCUUUUUCUUUUGUUAUUUUUAAAUUUUUAACACUCCCUGCCUCCUUAAUUCCCCUUUCUCUGUUAUUCCAAAUAUGCACUUCUCUCUUUCCAAUGUUGAAACCAUCUUCUAAUCCCGGACCUUUAAAUUAUUUGAGAUCUGUCAUCGAUUGAGAUUUUCAAACCAUAUUCUGGAUACAAUUUUAUUGAUUACUAAAAAAAAUAUUUUACAUGAUAGAAUAAUCGACUAAAUAAUAGAAAUACAAUUAAAUCCUUUUGACCUCAUAAUAAAAAAAUUUCGUUGAUAAUUUUUCCAUGAUGAAGUAAUUAUUUCAAAGAGUUUCUUACUCUUAAAAUAAACAAUGUAGAUUAACCACAAAACUUCUCCUUCUCUAUAUUUUAAUUUUUUUUUUUUUAAAAGAGUUAAUGUAUACCAUGUUAGGAUAGAGUUGGUGAUUUCUUCAAUAUGGGUUAAGUUGCAUAUUGUUUCAAUCAUAUUGACGAAUAAGAAUAAAAUAAAGGAGAUAGGGAAUCCUUGGUACAUUUGGUAAACAUGAUCAUAAACAAAUGUAGAGUUCAAGUUACGUUCUACUAUUAUUUUUUUUAAUUAUUUUGAAUGUAAAAGAAAUUAAAAAGGGGCAUACAACUUACCAUAAUUGCCCAUUAAGUUACCUGACCAUGUAAGAAUAUGUCUAUACCAUCGAUGUAUAUUAGUUAAACUCUUCAAUUAAAUAUAAGUGAUCUAACUCAUUGAAAUAUGAAUAUAAUGAACUGAUUUUUAUAAAUAUGAGCUGAAGCCAGCUUUAAGGAGUAACAACGAUCCAAACAAGGUGUUAUUAUAAGUAAUGUGUCUAUCCUCUCCAAAUUAAAGUAGCGUUAAAUGAUGAUGUAGAGGUAGCCACGAGAUUGGUGCAAUGGCACUCAUAAUAAGGGAAGAAGAACCAAAAUUAAUAUAACAUUGUCAUCUUUGCUAGUGCUAGCUAUACAAUGCACAUAUAUAUCGCUCCAUAAUAUAUACAAAACCAAAGAAAAAAUACCAAAAUUAAUAUAUCAUUAUCAUCUUUGCUAGCUAUAUAACAGCAUGUCAUAAUAUAUACUUUACCAAAGAAAAAAACAAACUAGUGUACCAAAAUUUAUAAAUUCUUACGCUCUUUAUCGACUUUUGCCGUUUCCAAUUUAGUAUAAAUACACUACAAUCAAUUCACAAUUAUAUCCAUUCGAUUAAAAAAAAAGAUUUAUACAUACAAAUUAAGGAAAUCAAAUUUUAAGUAAUCAUGAAGGUUGUUGCAGCAGUAGUUGUAGUUGUACUAGCCGUGGUACAACUAGCAAUGGUUGCUCGGGGCGCAGUCACUUGUGCCCAAGUGGAUGCUAAUUUGGCACCCUGUGUUCCGUUCCUGACACAAGGUGGCGAACCCGGUGCAUCCUGCUGCAGUGGGGUGAAAACCUUGAAUGGUUUAGCUCAGUCGACUGAUGAGAGGAGGACUACUUGCAACUGUGUUAAGGCUGCAGCAAAUCGAUACCCCAACCUUAAAGAUGAUGCUGCGCAGUCUCUCCCUAGCAAGUGUGGUGUAUCCCUCAACGUUCCUAUCUCUAGGACCAUCAACUGUGACACGUAAGAAUUUAACUUAUAUAUAUGUUGUUAGUGUAAAUUAUUUUCAUAGUGCUAAGUUACUUAAUUAAAAGAUAACAAGACGUACUAUAUGUUUCAUACUUGUAUAUAUUUACCAUUUGGGAAACCUUUCAAUUUCAUAAGAGUGAAAAAUAAUCUCUAAUUUUGCUCUUUUUUAUCCUCUUCUGCAGAAUAAGUUAAAUUGAGCUGCGUGGUUCCGGGAAUAAUGCCAUUAAUGGAGAUUCAAAAUGCUGUUUAGUUUACUUUGUUUCAUAUGAUAUGUAUUAAAUAAACCAAGGGUUGUUAAACCCUUUGAACGUUGUAAAAUACUCGAUUACUACACCGUAAUUUGAGUAUUUUUACUAUUUAGUGAAUGUAUUCUGUCUAUAAUAGGAGUUCAAAUUUCAAAAGAUCUAUUAACGUUGCUCUAUUAUUUUUACUUUUAAGCAAUGUCUUUUAAUUUGUCUAGAAUACGAGUUCAAAUAGUCUAGACAUGAAUGUUGCCUUUUGCUUUUACGAGUGUCUUCCGUAAUAAGAAUUCAAAUGGGACUAUACACAAACAUUGUCAUGUUAUCUUUGCUUUUAACGAAUGUCUUCUGUCUAUAAUAAGUGUUUAAAUAGUCUGUAGAUUUGAAAUAUUCAUCUUGAAUCCAAAACUUAUAUAUGAAAUGCUCAUCUUUCACCUUAAACUGAAAUAUGAAGUUUUAUCCAAAAUCGCCUUAAAUCUUCUCUAAACUUCCUAAAAUUUGACAUUUAGACUCCUCAAAAAUCCCCAAUAACAUCUAUUUUAAACAUAACUUUUUCAGACACUUGUUUUUUUUCAACCUUGAGGCUCAAGCUUCAAGAAUGGCUAUCAGUGAAGUAUAUAUUUCAAACGUGGGACUUGAGAGGAAAAAAAGAGUUGAGUAAUUUACGUCUCUAUUCAAAGAGAAUAUCAGCAGUUGAAACAAACACUUGUUCCAAAAGGUUUGCAGGACAAACAUGUUCCCUGAUAAUAUAUAUAUUGACAGUGGUACCCAAACAAAUGUCAUGAUGGUAUCCGGGCUAUUUAAACCGCGGUAUCGAAACUAUUUCAAUUGUUGUACUCAAAACUUAUGGAACUUUUUUCGUUAAAUAACUGCCCCAAUAUUAUAAAUUAUAUAUCAAUAUAAUCCCAACUUGUUUGUAAUACUAUUCUUAAUGGAUCCAAACCUCGACUUGAAGACUAAGACUCCUAAUUCCCACUUGGGGCCCAAGAUCUAACGCCCCUACACUGACUCGGAAAAAAUUGGUAAGAAAGACACUUCGCCAAAUACCCACUAAAUUUCUUUUUGAUUUAAUUUUUAGGCGAGGGUGUAAAAAGUGGGGUCCACACGUGGGCCAAAGGACCAUUCCAUCAUUUUUACAACUUUGCAAAUUUAAUAUAAUACACCUAACACGCUCCACUUAUUUCAAUAUAAAAAAAAAACCUUUCUCUUCUUCAAUUCUCUCUCAACUUCCGUUUUUGAAACCUUUCUCCCAAAAACGCCAUUUUCGUUUCAUCUUCUUCUCCGGCUGCUAAGGGUCCGUUGUUGCUUCGCAAGGUUAGUUAAAAUCAAGUUUCAAUUAUUUCUAGAUCCAUUUAAACGGGUUUCUUUUCUAAUCGAUUCGUAGUGAUGUAGGAAUUUUUUUUUCGAAUUUGGUUAGUUAAAAAAAUGAGAAUUUUAUAGGUAACGAGUUUGAUUUUGAAGCAAUGGUUGAGGUUUUAUGUGGCAUUUUUGACAGUUUUUUUCGUCGAUCACUGUUGAAUUUUGAAACUUUUGUUUAGGAGUUUUGGUUUAGUUCUGAUUUUUUUUUUAGCAAGGAAGUAUUGAAUGGUGAGAUAAUUGCUAUUUGAAGAGUUAUUUUGAUAUUUUGAUCUGAACAGUGACCAGUUUCAGUCUGUAGACCCGUGGUCUAUCCGUAGACCCAUGGUCUAUGAAAUGAGUAUGCCCUAGAUUGAAAUCAAUUUUUAGACGUAUGAAAUUCUUUUAAAAGAUGAUUGCUAAAAUAGUAAAAAUUGAAAGAUUAAUAGCUAAUUAGUUUGAUUAGGUGCACUAGUUUGAUUUUUAGUAAUUGUUGUGUUUUGAUGCUGCAUGUUGGAUUUUGGUUCAGUUAUUGUAUGUUUGUAUAGUGAACUGUUUAAUGGUGGGAUAUUUAUUAAUUUUUUUUGGGGGGGGGGGGGGUUNNNNNNNNNNNNNNNNNNNNNNNNNNNNNNNNNNNNNNNNNNNNNNNNNNNNNNNNNNNNNNNNNNNNNNNNNNNNNNNNNNNNNNNNNNNNNNNNNNNNNNNNNNNNNNNNNNNNNNNNNNNNNNNNNNNNNNNNNNNNNNNNNNNNNNNNNNNNNNNNNNNNNNNNNNNNNNNNNNNNNNNNNNNNNNNNNNNNNNNNNNNNNNNNNNNNNUUCUGCUGAUAGAAGUAGAAUAAGAAAAACUGAGGCAGUUGAAAAUGUCUCAAAAAGAAAGAAAAUUGAAGAGGCAGUGUUCGAAUCAGAUUCAGAGUUAAAGGAGAUAAGCGACUGCGUCGAGUCUAGCGAAGAUGUUGCCAAGUGCAGUGUCAGUGGUGACAGUGAAGAGAGCGCGAGAAGUGGGAGAAAUAGUGAUGAUGAGGAUAAUGAUCCCUUGUCUGUGCCAUCCCUUUCAAGGUGCAUUUCCAUGGAGCGGUAUGACCUUUAAACGAUAAUUGACGAGGUCGGGUCUUUUCCAGCAAACAUAUCGGCCAGAUCAAAAGUAGCUACUUAUAGAGAAUUUAAGCAUGUUCUUGUCGACCAGGAAUUAAAGAAAAGAUUCAAGUGGUCCUGUUUUGGACACCUGAGAAACCUGCCGGAACAUCUUAAGUUUAAUGGGCAGUUGGUCUAUUAUUUGUUGUUGCGAUGCGUCAAGAAUGGUAAGAUGCAUCAUGAGAUAUGGUUCUGUGUUAACAACAAGCCUGCCUGUUUUGGCUUGAAAAAGUUUUGUUUGAUCACGGGGCUAAACUGCUCAUUAUACCCCAGUGGAUAAAAAAUGAAGGAGGUGUUAGCAAAGGGAAACAAUUUUUGCUUUAAGGUGACGAAUAAAAAAAAUAUCACGACGGCCAACUUGUUACACCUGAUCAGAAGGAAUAAGCUGAAAAAGGACCAGAAAUUUAAGUAUUGUUUACUAUGGUUCUUGCACACCAUGCUGCUUGCAAAAGAUUCGACAAAGGUUGUCGACACAAAAAUAAUUCGAAUCGUCGAUUCUUUGAGUUUCUUCGAGAAUUAUCUGUGGGGGAAAGUGACAUUUCAACUGACCAUCGACUAUUUGAAGAAGAAAAGUGACCUGAAGAAGUAGAGGAAAGUAUUUGAUAAGAAACAAAAGGCAUUCUAUGCUUUAUUCGAAUUUCCCUGGGCAUUCAUGGUAUCUACCAUGAACCCUUUAGUGAGUUUAUCGUAGAUUCUCGUUUUAUUUAUACUCUGUCAUAGACUCUGAGUUCUUUCUUUCACUACUGUACUGCUUAUAGAUUUGGAUCUAUGAGACCUUUCCUCAUCUUGGAGAAUUUGCUAGAAAAUCAAUGGAUGAGCCCUUUCUCAUUCCCUACAUCCUCAGAUGACACACUAUAAAAAGUGACAAGAUAAUCAAAGGCAACCCAUUCAAGUAUAAAUAAAAAGUUACCGAGGUAUGAACUUAUUUUUUAUUAUGCUAUAAUACUACUGCUGUAUUGAAUGUUAUGUAAUUGUUAAUUGAUGUUUUAUAGAAUGUGCAUCCGUACAUCAUCCUUACUAUUUGUGAGACAAAGAUGGAUUACAUGAUUACGUUUAAGCCAUAUACGGACGAAGUGAAGAAUAACAUCCUCGAUGGCUUGAAGAAAGAGUUAGAGGGGUGACUAUCUUUACUUCAAAUGAGGACAGUGAUGAUGACAGGGAUUUGGAUGGUAACCCUGUUGGAGUACGCAUUGAUGAUGAUGAUUCUCCGAGCACCUCUAAAGAUGCAGCGGGCACCUCAUCCCCUGGGGAUCUUCAUAAGCGUAUUACUGUGCUCGAGGAAGCAUUGUUGGAUAUUACAGCCUAUAUCAAAGAGAAACGACUGAAGAAAAAGGAAAAUGAUGAGCGACAACACGAGCGAAGUAACUUCAUUCAAUAAUUGAUGUUGUUAAUGAAUUUUCAGCUUUAAAUAUCAGUAACACUUUAUAAUAUGAUGACACAAUGUUUAUGGAUCUUUGUGAAUCGGAGAGGAAUAAAUAAGGAGAAAAAAAGGAGCGAAAUGGAUGAGUUGACCUUCGUUGUGGCAGAAGAGGAAAAAAAAAGAAGAAAAGAAGGAUGAAGAAGAAGAAAUGAAAGAAGAUAAGAGCCAAGAAAAAAGUGGAAAAGAAGCAGCUGCAAAAGCUGAAAAAAAAGCAACAGCAGAUAAAGAAGGCAAGGAAAAAGAAAAAUCUGAUGAAGAAGCUGACAAACAAGAAGCUGAGAAAGAAGCAUCAGAUGAUGGAAAAGAAGAAGAUGAGGAAAAAAUAAUUGCUGCAGGUGAAGAAAGAGAAGAAGCUGGGGAAGAAAAGGAAGCUGAAGAAGCACCAUAUGUUGCAGAUGUUGAUACAGAAGGAGAAGAAGGUGAGAAUGAAGAAACAACUGUAGUUGUAGAGAAAAAAAGAUCUGAAGCUGACCAAAAAGAUGUCAUGGAUAUCGUUGAUAAAAUCAACAGUAACAUUUGUGCUGAUGAGGAACAUAGGGAAAAAGACAUUUGAAUGUUAAUAUUGUUAAUGUGUUAUUGAAUGAUGAGUAGUUAGGAUAUGACUUUUUUUUUAUUUCACAAAUAUGAAGGUUGAAGGAUUUGGUGGUAGGAUAUGACAAACAUUCUUUUAUUUUAUAAAAUUUGUUAUGAUUCUGCACUGAAUCUGUUUCUAUCAAACUGAUUUGUGGCAUGGAAUUUGAAUAUGCAGGGUGUUGUCAUAGUUGGUACAGUGUAUGCUUGAUAUCAUAGAAUGCAUACUUAAUCUUUCGUAUACUGCAUGCAUAGUCUAUCAUUACCAUACUGCUCGAAUUUUAGUUCACAUGUUGUUUGAUCGACCAUGAUUCUAUCAAAAAUAAUAUUAACAUUAUAGUAAAAUAGAAGUAUUAUUAUUUAUUCAAUAUCACUACAUUCAUGUGACACUUUUCCAACUAGCAUUAUAGUACAUAACAUCAUUUUUAGGCCAUUCUCACUUUCUUCGGCCAAAAUCAAUUUUUAUUUCAGUUGAUACCUCUCUAUUUGCAUGUCAUGUAGCAAUAUUCUAAAGUGAUCCCUCUAUUCUUCGACUUAUUUGAACAAAGUCAUGAUAAAUUCUUUAUUUUCUUCGCAUUGCUGGAGCCUUUGUAGUAGAUUAAAUUUUGCCAAGCCUUGAAAAUUUAAUGUCUCGAGUCCCGGACUCAACCUUGAUGGACUGGUUGGAGGUGAUAGCUCAUCAAGCCAUUUAAAAAACGAGCAUGCACCAUUAUCCUAGAAAAUAAUAAUAAUUACAUAACGAUUAGCUUAACUUUAUAAAAAAGACACACACAGCUCACCUUCUCAAUUGCACAAUUAUAAAAUUUGCAACCUGGAUUUGAAUCCGUGCUUGAUGUCCUCAAGACAGCCGCAUUCCCACAAUGACAAAUUAGCGUAUUUUUAGAAUUGAAUAUUUGAGAUACUCAAGACAUUGUAGAAUUUCUAAAAACAAAAUAAAGUGAAUGAAAUAAAAUAAAGAGGGAUGGACACCUUAUAUAUGAAGUAAAAAUAAAACGUUAACACUGAUGGAUUAUAAAAGUAUCUAUUUAUUACCAUUGGAACAAUAAUUUUUUCUUUUGGAACUAGUGGUGACACUUAAUAGACUGUCGUAGAUCAUGACCUAUGUCAGCCAUUAACGAGAUACCAAAGUCUAUCGUAGAAUCUCGUAAUCGAUGGACCCUAAAUUAUAUGUUAAAUAAAAAAUAUUACAGUAAAAAUAUACUUGUACUUUGAGGGUCCAUCGAUUUGGUUGGUCUAUCGUAGACUUAUGCCUUAAGGAGUGGAUCGAUUGAUCUCCUAAUUAUACGUAGACCUCUACUAUAAACUAACACUUGGAUAUUGUUUAAAAAUGAACAAAUAAAUUAAAAAUAAAUAUAGUGUGGGUUUGUACCACAUAGAAAGGAGUGUAAAUAAGUCACAUAAACAUAUUAGAGUUUAUACAAAUUAGGGGUGGUGAAUUAAGGAAUGUGUGGAUAGGUAUUGGUCGAACAAACAAUAUCCUAAGAAUAAUGGUUGUCAAAGCACAAGUAUGUUUUGAGGAUGAUGAUUGCUCAACCACUAUCUCUUCCACAUACUCUUUUGAUUUGGGGGUGGUGAUUGAAGAAUGGUGAUUGAAGGAAUAUGUGGAAUGGGCAGUCAUCAAACAUAAUCAACAUCCUCAAAACAUACUUGUGCUUUGACAAGCAUUACUCUUAGGAUAUUGUUUGUUUCGACCAAUACCCACCCACCCACUCCUUAAUUCACCAUCCCUAAUUUGUAUAAGCUCUAAUAUGAUUAUGUGACUUGUUUACACUCCUUCAUAUGUGUAUAAACCCACACUAUAUUUAUUUUUAAUUUAUUUAUUCAUUUUUAAACAACAUCCAAGUGUUGGUCUAUAGCAGUGUACAUAGAACUAUGUGGUCUAUGAAUAAUCAGGAGACCAAUCCAUGCACUCAUGAAGGUGUAAGUCUACGGUAGACCAAGUGGGUCGAUGGACCCUCAAAGCACAAGUUUAUUUUUUACAUGAAUUUGACAUGAGUCAACAUCGAUGACAGUUUAUUAUGUGUCACCAACAGUUCAAGAUUGUUUGUUUAACCACCCCCAAAUUAUGUGAUUAUGUGUUUAAAGGUUUUUUAAUUUAAUUUUUUUUAUUUCAAUACCCCCAAAUCAUGUGAUAAUGUUUUUAAACUUUUUUAAAUUUACUUAUUUUAUUUAACUAGCCCCAAAACACAUGAAUUAUCGAUUUAAGUCCUUUUUAAUUUAAUUAUUUCCUUUCACCAGCCCCAAAAUAUGUUAUUAUCUUUUAAAAUCUUUUUAAAUUUAAUCAUAUUCUUCACCAGCCCCAAAUCAUGUGAUUAUUUACUUAAACCUUUUUUAAUUUAAUUAUUUUCUCUCAAACUGCAAGCCACUCAUGGGUCAUCAAUUCAUAUAGUCUACGGUCGACUACCAUGUUUGGUCAAUGCGAUACUAAGUCUACGAUCGACAAUAGACUAUAUAUGUGAUCUGUAUUAUCCUACGUGAAUUCAAUCAAGGUGAUCUACAGAUGCAUUAAUUGAACAUGUAAUAAAGCAAACUCAAAAAACAACAAUAACCAAAACGAGGGCAAUAAAAUUUGAAAACAUAAAUACUUAUAUUAAGAUUGGUUCAUUGCAGAAAUUUGGGAAUCAUACAUCCAUUGGCACAACGACCAGGACAAGCAAAAUAAGAAAAAAGAAGAAGAAGCUUUCUUCUAACAACAAUCCUACCAAGAAAGUUUCUUCUGCAAUGAACAAUACAAAAAAAAACUUAAAUACAUAAAGUAAAAUAAAAACCUAAACUAAAUUUAAGGGGAUGGUGGGAGGUUGAUGUAGUCAUUGCCGUUCAUGUCAAGACUCUCCAGAAUUGCUCGAUGAAAAUGAGCAAUACGUCGGAGCUCACAUUCUAAGUAUGCUCAAUCUUCUUCCAGUCCGUAGAAAAGCCGAUCAAGGUCAUUACACAACAACAACAGAUCACAGUGAUGAGGCGAAACUCGUCUGAUUGGGCGAAGAGGAAUCUGAUGACCAGUCAUGUUUUCAAUUUUAGUGAAGAAGAUGAGGGUUUUUGGAUUGUUGGGUUUAGGUACAAUUGAAGGGUUACAUAGAAAUAGUCACUUUAUUUAUAGACCUAUAGAAGACGUCCUUUCAUAUUUCCACCCAAUGGUCAGUCGACGCGUGUUGCAAUAGAAAAUGCUUGUCUUGCGUAUACUAGUAAUUUUUCUUGAGAACAGACGUUUCUGCAGCUUUUCAUUAAAUGGGAAUGGGAAAUAAUGAUUUAUUGCAUCGAUUGGAGAGAUAAGGCGGUAAAAAAACCAACAUAAUGUGUUAGAUAAGUAAUUAUAUAACCAAUACAUAAUAUUUAUAGACCGUGUGAACGAUAUAUCAUAGAAUUUACACAGUCUAUCGUAGACAAGACUUUAAGUGGAUUACAACUGAACGUUAAAUUCUACAGAAAUGAAAAUUUACUCCCCAAAAUAGUAGUUUUACAACUGAAGUAAAAAAAAGGUUGUCUACGAUUUGUUGGCCAUUCUACAUGUGGUUCUUUUGUGCUCAAAUUUCUUGCAUAUUGAACACCUAUUCCUCCUUUUGGACUUUAAUGUCUCACCGACUCCCUUAGUGCGUUUGACUUUCUUCCUUUCGAGUUUGCGAUCGUAGGGGGUGGAAAAAUCUUAGUGUCUUGCACUUCCUGUGGCACAGUCCAUUUGGCCUCUGGAGGGACAACAUUAAUAGCUUCCGAGUACACUAGGAGGUAAAUUUCAUCUUUAUAAAUUGGAAAAAAAUACUCAUAGAUAGAGUUACCAUAACCUACGCCAUCGCCAUACUUUGCUUGCAAAGCUUCCAUCGCAUGUUCGCACGACAUUUUCACCAAGUCAAAUUUUCGAUAAGAAUAACUCCUCUCCAAUAGAUUGACCUUGGCAGUAACGCUAUUGCCAAACACCGUGAAUUGGUCGAGACCCCCAUUUGCAUUAGUCACAUACAAGGAAUCGCUCACACUCUUGUUAUCCCUUAGGAUCCUUUCCGCACAAGGCACACAUUUAUUAUUUUGACAAGCGACAAAGGCAUGCCGCUUCCUAAACUUUUCACCAAAUUUUCUAGCAAUUGAAUUGAAUAUGUAUGACACGGGGUACUCCCGUUCAUCCAUCAACACCAAGUUGAGCGACUCGACAAUGUUUGUGGUCAUCACAUCGUACCUAUUGCCAAGGAAGUGUGCUCUACUCCAUUUCUCAAAACUAUGCAUAUUUUCAAAGACAUGUGCUGUCUUGCUAAACUCAUCAACAAUAUAAGCCAUUUCUGCGACAUAGAACAGAUAAAGAUGUUCUCCACAGUGCUGAUCAUAUUUUUAGAGAUGUGCCUCAUGUAAAGUCCAUGAUGUGCACGAUUGUAAAAAUUAUAGAAUGAAUUGGCAAUGCUAAUGUGCCCAUCGGAAAUGAUACAUAGAUGUGAUUCAUCUUUUACGAUAGACUUUAACUUUUGAAAGAAGAAGGUUCAAGAAGCAUUGUUCUCUUUAUCCAAGACACAAAGGCAAUUAAAAAGAUAUGAUUUUCGGUAUCUUGUGCAACGACACUCAGCAACACACCCCCAUACUUUUCAUACAAAUGUGUGUCAUCGACGGCAAUUACCUUUCUCAUGUGGGAACAUCCCCGUAUGCAAGCUUCGAAUGAUAAGAAGUAGUAAACGAAUGAUCCAUUCAUCCGGUUUACUAUGAUAGAGUAGGAAGACCCGAGAUUCAAUAACUUUACCAUGUGGGAAAAAGCCGACAAGCAAGCAUAUCCGUGCUCUGGUGUCCUGCGAAUGAUGUUCUUCGCAAUUACACUUCCUUUCCAACUCAUCCAAUAGCUUGCGUUAUAAUGCAUCUCCUUAAACACAAUACUUUGAAUUUUACUUAUGCUUAGACCCUUACCAUACCGAAAAUAAUUUACGCAUAGUGAAACAAUCAAUUCGAAGGAGAUUCUAUUAUGCCUGCGGCUGGAGUGUUCAACAUCGCACGUGUGCAACCCGAAAACUUGUAUAUGCAAAAUCUGUUCGAGUUGUAGUACUUUUUUGCCCGCAACAACCAGCCACAACCACGAGAUAAGCAUUUUGCCUUCAUGAAUUUGGUGCAGCUCUUCUCUAUAUAAUAAUUAAAAGACUGCCUCGCUGCUUCUAUGUCUAGUAGCAUUUUUAGAUCUUUCUUAUCGACAAAUGUUUGACCAUAAUAAAAGUUGGUUCUGUCAGUGAAAAAGUGUCCUGGUUGUGAUCCCGUUCCACAGCCUUCUUCAUCAUCUUGCAAGUCCGAUAAAAAGUCUUUCAUAUGCAUAGAAUUAUCUUCCAUAUUAAUUAGAUGAUCGUCAUCAUUCUCAUACUCAUUCAAAUCGUCAUCGACUGUCGGGCACCGAGGUGGGGGCGGUGAUGAAUUUUCCGGUCCUUCAUAGGACCUCUCAACUAUAUUUAUUCUCAAAAUAGGCCUAAAUCCAUCUGCAUCUGCAUCCAUCAUAUACGUCAGCACACGUACAUCAUUAUUUAUGAUCGUAGGAUUCACCUUUUCCCUUGAAUGCAUUAGAUAACUAAUCACCACCUCGCUUGAUGAGCAAUCUAGAUCCCCGCUCUACAUUACGCUUGCAACGAAUUCAUCGUACGAACUGAUGCGGUGAACAGGAAUGAGCAUUGGCAUCUUGGUAAAAGAUCUCCAUUUCCAACAUUUAGGAGUCUCCACCCAUUCUCCCAUGAAAUCACCAGAAACAAGAACAAAUUAUGCAAUAGACAUCCUAGAAUUAAGAUUUUGUCGACGUCGACUACUUUUGUGGUUUAUGUCGGGUUAUAUGCACAGUCAAUGAAUGAUGAUAAGUGGCCGAUGAUUGGGCAGGUAUUCGUACGAAAACCUUGAAAUUGUAAAUAUUGCUUCUAAUCAACGAUUGUUGGGUUGAUGGAAUAGAGAAAUGAACUUGGAGUCGCGUGAGCUGCUGUAAUAUACUUUCUAAAAUGGUUUUGAGUAACGUGAGUGAUUUAAAGCUUUUUAACAAUGGUGAAAAGUGUGUUUGAGAGAAAGUCUACAUGCGAAAAAAUUCUCUCUCUAAACAUUUCCCCAACGGUCUUCUCCUAACGAGCAGAGCGUGAAUCGACGCGCCUCCUUCAUGGAAGCUACUCAGGCCGGUCUUCCAGUGCGUAUUGUGCAGCCCAAGGACCUUCCUAUGGAGAAUCGACCGCCGGCAAAACUAAUUGAAAAAGUAACCUACUCCACAGCUCUUACUGUUAGUCCUAGUUUGAAUAUUAGCUCUAAUACUUCUACUGUAAUGGCGAGACAGACCACACAUAAUGGCAAACCAGUUGUCAUCUUUAAAGCCUCUGAUUACUACGGCGUGAUGGAGGAGGAGUGCAGAUGGAUGCUGGUCGGAAAAUUCACAAUGGGUAGACCCAAAAUAAAAGUUAUUAGAGCAAAAUUCAUUGAACAAACGCCAUUGAAAGAGAAGGUAAGAAUUGGGACUUAUGAUUUCCGGCAUGUGUUCAUAGAUUUCAAUACUGAAGCAAAUUAUAACCUUGUUUAUUUUCAAAGUUUUAUGAUUAUUUUUGGAUCCCUAAUAAGGAUGUUCAAAUAGUCCCUGGACUUUGACUCAAACGAGGAAACAUAACUUGCGCCAAUUUGGGUUUUGCUUCCCGAAUUACUUUUUUAUGUCUUCAAAUGGGACUACUUAAAAUAAAUUCUGGAACAAAUUGAAACUCCGAUGAAAGAAGAUAUGGCAACUGUCUCUAGAACAAGACCUUAUAUGGCAAAAGUAAGAGUCGAAGUGGAUCUUACGAAGCCGCUCCCUGAUUCUGUCUUUGUGGAUAUUGAAGGGGAUGGAUUAGGUCUCAAGGGUAGAGAUCAAAAGUUGGAGUAUGAAGGUGUGCCUGCAUUUUGCAGGUUUUGUAAAAUGUAGGGUCACGAUAUUGCAAGAUGUAAAGCGGAAGCAAGGAAAAAGGAGCAAAUGAAUAGAGACAACAAUAGAAAUGCCCCGUCGGCUAACAAUGGACCAACAAAUAAUAGCAGUGAGCAGGUGAAUGACAAAACCAACAUAGACGCACAAAAAACAACAAUAAUGCUACCGCACAGAAUGCUAAUGCUGAGACAAAAGAUGAUGCUUUUAUCCCAGUUCGUAAUAGAUGAAACUGAUGAAUGCAGCAUAACAAUAGAUUAAUGAUAAUAAUCAAGCUACUAUCAACCAUCAAGAAGAAAAAAUGCAAUAAGGGGAAGAAAUAAAAAAAGUUGCUCAUGAAUCAGAAAAUUCAAAAAUGCAGUCUAAUACUAAUCCUAUUCUGGAAGAAAAUGUCCAUAUCAAGGAACAAGAAUUAGGGUAAAAUGAUGCACUAAAGCAGGCUACUACUAUCAUUAAUGAAGAGGUGGAGUUGAAAAACAAAAAAUACAAGAAGCGAAAGAAAAAAGAAGCAUAAACCGAAGAUUGGAAACUUUUUGAAAGUAAAAAACAUGCUCUGGAACAAUCAUAAGCCAAGACAUGUUGAAGGAAGGAUCCUUGAGAUUUUAGAGAAAGAAGGAAAUGUUAUAGCUCCACUGGGUCUCUUUGACAAUGAAAUAAUUGGGGUUGCCAACACUCGAACAAAUCACCAAGGCAAAAGAAAAUUGGACCCACAAGUCCAUGAAGACAAUGAUCAACAUGACGCCAGUGAAUACAACUCAAGUACUAAAUUAGUAUUCCCCUGAACUGUCGAUACAGAAUGAAAACAACAUGAGGGAAUUCAACUCAUAGUAGACUUGGGCACGAUUGUGACUGAACGUAACAAGGAUAAGAAUAAAAAAUAUGGACCAUACAUUGACAACAACUCUAUUUAUGAAUCGGGAGAGGAUACCAAUAUCGAUCACACUGAAAUUGAAUCCUCUGAUGAAAAGGUAGCAAAAAGUAUCCUUAAAAGGACUGAAGGAGAAGAAGAAUAGGUGACACAAAGUCUUGUACAAACUUUUGCACCAACUCCCUUAGACCACGAAGAUCCAGUCAUUAAAGAAAAAGAGGAAAUACUAUAAAAACAUAGCCUCUCUCCCAAAGGGUAUACGAAGAAACAACAAGGCAGAAGUGUCUCGACUAAGAGUACUAACGCCAUUCAAAAUCAAGGUAACCAACAACAUCAACCCAGUUUUAAUGAUAAACAUCAUAAAUUGGAAUAUUAGGGGUAUGAGGUCUAAUGGUUCUAGCGAAAGACUUAUUAAACUAGUCAAGAUUCACGAAGCCGACAUGGUUAUUCUCCAAGAACCUUUUCAUCCAUUUGAUCAUAUUGACAUAUUCAAAAGGUAUUUAGGGUUCGAUCAAGCUGUCUCUAACACCACCAGUAAAAUUUGGUGUUUCUAGAAUUUUUCUACAGGUUGCUCUAUCGUUGAUAGUAGCAGGCAACAAUUAACAAUGAAAGUGGAGCACAACAACCAAAUAUUCUAUCUUACGAUAGUUUAUGCUAGAACCAAAGCGGUUAAAAGAAAGAAACUUAGCUGCAAGAUGACUACUAUUAACAAUUCUAUUAGUGGACCAUGGUCUAUUUUGGGUGACUUCAACUCUAUUAUGUCCCCUGGUGAGAAGAGAGGUGGUGUCCCUUAUGUCCUCAGUGAGAGCACAGAUUUUAUUAAUUGUAUGAAUAAAUGUGGACUAACAGAUUUGGGCUUCACUGAAAACCCUUUCACUUGGUGCAACCAAAGAAGAAAAAGAAAAAGAAUUAGUAAGAGGCUAUAUAGGGUGUUGAUUAAUAAUGCUUAGGCAAAUGUUUUUCAUCUCAAUAAAGUAGAUCAUCAUGCCAAAACAGGAUCAAAUCAUGGCCUCAUCACUUUUGAGAUUGGCAAUACUAUGCAGGAGGCUACCAAGUACUUUAGGUUCUUAAAUUUUUGGACAGAAUAUCCGAGAUACUUUGAUCUUGUGCAAAACAUCUGGAGUAUAAAAGUACAUGGUAAUUCCCAAUGGAUCCUUCAAUAGAAGCUCAAUGCUAUUAUUAAAGGGCAAAGCAAGUGGUCUAGAGAAACCAUAGAAGAUGUCUUUACGAAUGUAAAGCAACUGGAAAAUGACAUCAACUCCUUUAAACAAGACUAUGAAGCUAACAACUCUGACACGGCAAGGCAGGCCCUUCAUAAAGCUCAAGCUGAAUGCAUCCAGUAGCUGAAGAAAGAGGAAUGCAUUCUUUGGCAAAAAUCCAAGAUUAAGUGGGCCGAAGAGGGUGACUCUAACUCCAUGUAUUUCCAUAGUGUCAUCAAGGAAAAAAGAAGAAGAUCAAGCAUUCAUAAGAUUAAAAACAGUCAAGGGCAGUGGAUUGAGGGCAAUGAAGCAAUUGCUCAUGCUGCUAUUAAGCAUUUUAGCAAUCUUUUUGCCCAUAUUGACACCGAUAAUGACCUGACCAUCCUCGACAAUGUACUUUCUAUUGUUACUGAUGAGGAAAACGAGGACCUAUACAAACUACCUGAAAAAGAUGAGAUCAAACAAGCUGUAUUUUCAAUUGACCCCAAUAGCUCAGCUGAAUCGGAUUGGGAAUUUAUUAAAAAAGAUGUGCAACUUUGUCCAAAGCUUUUUUUUUGGGUUCGAAACUAACCAAGUUUUACACGCACACAAAUUUGGUUCUUAUUCCUAAGGUCACAUCUCCUGUCUCAAUAAACCAAUUAAGACCUAUUAGUUUUUGAAAUGUCUCCAACAAGAUUAUUUCAAAGAUUAUUGUCGAAAGAUUAGCAAAGAUUCUCCCAAGCCUGAUUUCGGAGAAUUAAUCUGGCUUUGUCAAGGGCAGACCUAUUCCUGAAAAUAUACUCUUGGCACAAGAGAUAGUUCAUGGGAGCAAAAAAGAUAAAGAGAGAGGGAUCAUCGUCAUCAAAUUGGACAUGUCAAAGGCAUAUGACAAGCUCUCUUGGGCUUUCCUCACUGUAGUUCUCAGGAAACUCAACUUUGCUAAACCUUUUAAAGAGCUCAUCCACAGAUUAUUAGGCAAAAAUUGGUACUCCAUUCUUAUUAAUGGAACUAGAAAUGGCUUCUUCGGGUCAACUAGAGGACUCAAAUAGAGAGACCCUCUCUCACCAUCUCUUUUUAUUUUAGUUGUUGAAGCUUUAUCUAAAUCUUUUAAUAGACUCAAUGAGAACCCACAAUUCAUCGGCUUCUCUAUGAGUUCAAGAGGUCCAAAGAUAAAGCACUUAAGCUACACAGAUGAUUUAAUUCUUUUUGUUUCCAAUGAAAGGUUUUCCAUCAAUCUCCUCAUAAAGGUUUUGAACUACUAUUAGGACGCCUCAGAACAACAAAUCAACAUAGAAAAAAUAUAUUUCCUAACUUAAAAUCACAGGGACAAAAGAGGUGAUAGGAGUUUGAGGAAAUGGACUGGAUUUAGACAAGCACAAUUUCCGUUCAAAUACCUUAGAUGCCCAAUAUACAUGGGGAGAAAGAAGGUAAGCCAUUUUGCAGACCUUGCUCACAAAGUUCUUAGCAAAGCUGGAGGCUGGCAAGGUAAAUUUCUCUCCUUUGAUGGUAAAGCUAUUCUCAUUAAACACGUGCUUCAGUCCCAAACUCUUUACUUGUUAGCAGCUAUGAUUCCUCCUUUAACCAUCUUAAAACAAAUAGAGAGGUAUUUAUCUAACUUCUUCUGGGGGAGAAAAAGAAGGCAAAAAUAGUUAUCACUGGUAUUCAUGGGAAAACAUGAGCUAUCCAUGUGAAGAAGGUGGAGUUGGAUUCAAAAGAAUUCAUGAUAUUUGUAACGCAUUUGCUGCUAAAAGGUGGUGGAGAUUCAGAGUGGAGGACAACCUUUAGACUAGAUUUCUCAGGACCAAAUAUUGUAAAAGAUCUAACCCUCUCUCCAAAGUCAGGAAUUUCACAAAUUCUAAUAUCUGGAGAAACCUAUUAGAUACUAGAGAUAAAAUUGAUUCUAAUAUUUUUUGGAAAAUUAAUUAUGGUAAUAGCUUGUUUUGGUGGGACAAAUGGUUGGAUACAGGCCCUUUGAGGCCUCACUACAAUCUCCCUCAGAAGCCCGACAAUUCAAAAGUGGGUGACUACUUAGUUAAUCACAGCUGGAGCAUGAACAUUUUGUUGAGAUCCACCCCUCUUCCGGUGGCUAAUGAAGUUAAUCAAGUAAAUAUUGGUAUCCCUACAAAGUCGGACCAAGCUAUCUGGACUCUCAACUCUCAGGGCAAUUUUACUUGUAGAUCUACCUUUCAGAGUUUGAGACAAAAAAAAUCUCCUAACCCAGAGCUAACUAAAAUAUGGCAUAGAGAUUUACCCUUCAAAAUCUCUUUCACUGUGUGGAGGAUAUUGAAAAAUAGGCUUCCACUUGGUGAAAUUACAAAAAAAUUUGGCACUAACUCUUCGUCUAAUUAUUGUUGUUGUAGGUUUACAGUAGAAGAAACUAUGAACCAUUUUUUUUGUCACAAGCAACAUUGCCAGAAGGGUGUGGAAUCAACUCUCUAACCCACUUGGCUUUCACUCAAGAGGCUCCAACAUUUUAGAAACUCUAAAUGAUUGGUGGAAUAGACCUCAAAGAACAUGGUUCAUAGGUUCUUGCUGCAUAUCACCCCAAUGAUAACGUGAUGGAAAAUAUGAAAAACUAGAUAUGAAAAGAAGUAUGGUAAUAAAUCUAUUUCUACAUAUAGAAUAUGCCAACAAAUUUUUUGUAAGUUCAAAGUCACUAUAGGACAAAAAUUUAGCCCUAUGGAUUGGAGCUGGAACUGGAUCAAGAUAUGUCAAGUCGUGGAAUGCUACAUGAAAAACUUGAAAAGCAUAAUGGUGAAAUGGGAGAAACCAAAACUGGAAUCUUGGAAGCUAAACACUGAUGGGAGCUACAUAGCUAACCAAGGUAGAGCAAGUGCCGGCAGAGUUGUUAGGAACAGAGAUGGUCAAAUGUUGAUGGCGUUUGCAGCACCCGUACAAUUCUUGACUAACAAUUUCUCAGAGACGUAAGUUGCACUGCAUGGAAUUAUAUGGUGUUGGUCAACAAAAUUUUCAGAAACUCUCUAUUAAACUCGAUCCAUUAUUCGUAGUAAACAUGAUCCUAGGAAACUGCAGCAUCCCAUGAAGACUUCAAGAAGCUAUCCAUAAAUUAAGAACCAUAUUUAAGCUCAUAACAUUACUUUUCAACAUUGCUUAAGAGAAGCCAACAAAGUUGUGGAUCUACUGUCUAAACAUGCUACAACACUCACUGAGGAAGAAUUUUCCUCAGGGAAUGCGAUCUCCCAAGAGAAGUGAUGGGUGCAUUGAGAAUGGAUAGAAUGCAAGUUUCAAGUUUUAGGAUUAGAGCAGAAAAACACUCAGUUUGGAUCUUCCAUGGAUCUUCCAUCCACCUUGAACUGUAAUGGAAGAGUCUAAUAAAGGCUUAUAUAGUCGGAAGACUCUUCCCUUUUUCUUUUUUCUUUUUUGGUACUAGCCCUUUGCACCAUUGGUUUAUAGUCAUUAGUGUCUUUAGGCCUAGACUAUGUACCUUGGCAGGUAUUGGUAUAAUGUCCCCCUCCUUUGUAUCUUUCAUUCAUCUAAAUAUACAGGGUAGGGGUCACGCCAAAUCCCCCACCACCUCAGGAGAUGUAUUCUGGGUGGAUGGAAUUAAUAUAAAAAAAGUGUGUUUAAGAAUAUAGGAAACAAAUGGGAUAACAAUGGAUGCAAUGAACAUGUUUAUGAUUUUUGUGGACUGAUUUACAGCUUAUCGCCGGAAAAUAACGCCAAAAAAGUGGCGGAAAUCGAAGCUUUUUGGAGGGAAAAAAACCACCUUCCAUUUUUAGCUUUUGAAUUUUUUUUAAAAAAAUAUUUUUAGAAAACCUAGAUAUUUUUGUAUAUAUAAUGGUGGAUGAUGGAAUGAGUUUGAAGUAUAUUAUUAGAAACUUAUGGGUGAAUUUAUUAAGUUGGAGAUAUUGGAUUAAAGUAAAUUAUUAUAAAAUUUGGGACUAAAGUUCUUAAGUUGAAAAAGUUGGUGGUGACGUGGAAUUAAGUGGGUAUUUGACCAAUUUUUUCAAACUUGUGGCUAUUUGGCAAAGUAGUUUUGAUGACCAUCCUUUUUGAGAAACUUGCCCCACUAACUCCCAACCGAAUCUCGGACCCAACUUCCAAUCACUACACUGACCUAAGACUUAAAUCCCAACUCUUGACCCAAACUUGGGAUUCAAAUCUCAAUUUUGAUCUGGGAUCCAAAACUCGACUCUCGAUGCUCUCAGGUCCCAUCGCGGGACUCAAGACCCAAGUACCAACUCUUUGACUCCAAAACUGAGUAUUGGAAAAAAUAACUUUAUCACGUUAAUAUAUUAGAAAUCUGCUACCCACCGCUAGCCAGGCAGAGUCGAGUAAAGUGAUCGAAAAGCUUCCGCUAGUGAAACGAACUAAGCAUACCAAGGUGAUAACGUCAAUACUGAUGAAAGCCUUAAUUUUGAUACCAAAAGAGAUAACAUUGGGGCAUAAUCAGGGACAUAAAUGGUGACCUGCCUUUUUCAUCUCCAUACAAUGCAACAGUAAUAACAUGCCAGAAGCAUUUGUGGUAAGGCGUAGAGGAAAAUGGUGUAUCCAACGUGGAUAUACUCUACUAGUUACUCGCUUGAACUGGACUUUUUGUUAGUUGUCAAUAUGUUAAUUGAGAAGAAGACCAACAAUCGUAAGCUUCAGCAAGUCAUUCAGAGAACUGUCAAGAUGAUGGAAUAAAGCACAUAUUUAGAGAGGGAAAUCAAGGCUUGUAGAUUUCUUGGCUAUUCUACAAUUUUUAGAAACUUCCAAGAAGUGCAAAAGGUCCAUUUCAACUAGAUAAAUGGCAAAUGUCAAGCUAAGUAUGAUAAAGCCAAUUUUUAGUAAAUUGAUUGUACAUACUUGUCCAGAAGGAGUAGUGUAAGUUUUCACUGUGUGCCUUCUUCUGUUGUUCAGGGUGAUUGCAUCACCUCUUUGUUGUAAAAGAAGUAUGGUCUAGCCCUCCUCUUAUUUUGUUCAAAUAAUACUACCCAGGCUUCACUGGGUAAUUAACUGGAUUUAAAAAAAGAUAGAAUCAAGUGACAGAUCAUAAUCAUGUAAAACAAAUCACAUAGAAUCGAGUCAUAGAUCGAGGGCACCGCAAAAUAUCAUAUGCUGUGAGAAAUUAUACAUUGUAUUAGGAAGAUAUCUUAGCCCGGAUCAAGAUCAACCAUCUCAUAUUAUUCGUUGGUGUUACGUAGUUGACCCUUAUAUAGCUCCAUGCUUUACCCCUUUAUCAUUUACUAUCACUUAACUAGAAGUCAAUUAAGGGGUUUAAAUGUAUAAAAUACGGUCAUGGGAGAUAUGGACCCCUAUAUAAGAUCAUAUAAUAAUCAAUAACAAAAAAAAAAAAAACACAAUUAUAACAUAUAUUUCAUAGCAAUCCAAUCUCGGCCUCCUGCAUUCUGAUGAUACUAAUCGAUUAUUUUCUUGUCUUAAAUAUUGUUAUAUUUUUCUAUUUAUUAUCUAACGGCUCACUAAUUUGUUCAGGACUAGCAACUUUAGCCGGUCCUCCUUCAGGCCAUUCAUGAUCCCUCUUGAUCACAUUCAGCUUCGGAUUUAUCAACCCUCAGUUAACUCUUUUACUGCUUGUGUUCACUUUUAUUUCACUUUACACUAUUGUACUUAGUUUUGCUAUGCCCGAUCGAAUCAGUACCUGUUAUCCUCGAAACCUCACUAAAAAGUCAAUUGUAUUGAUACAAGUAUUGGAUAUACAAGUGAUCGAGAUAGUCAAGAGAUCAAGAGAAUCGAGCUUGAGAUGAUUUGGAGUUUAAUUAGUGGCUAGACUAUUUUUACUGUUUCAUUACUUACUGUUCACAAAAUCUGUUAUAGUUGUAGCUGUUAGUUGCUGUCACUGUCACUGUAGCAUUUCCAAUUAGUAGUUAGUUAGAGAUAGUUACUCUCAAUGGUGUCUAUAAAUACUUUCAUUUGUACUCUAUAGAUUCAUUGAUUGAUAAUACAAAAUUCUCUCUCCUUAAACCUCUCUUCUUCUCUAAUUAGCUGAGUUCUCGAAAGUUUCAUCCCUGAUCAGCUAUAGUCGUUUAUUGAGCUUAGCUUCUUGAGCUACGACUCUCGUUUACGUGCAUCAAUUGGUAUCAGAGCAGUCCGAUUCUUGGCAUGAUUAUGACUGAAACAAGAAUCAAGAAGGAUCAACAACAGAGAUGGAUGACAAGCUUACACAGAUUCAAGAACAAUUGCAGAAACUCUUGGAGGUUAUGACGAGUAUGACGGAUAGGAUUACACAGACAAAUAAAGAGUUGAGGGAAAUGAAACAAGCACUGGGCAACGUGAUGCAGCAUGAAAAAAAAGUGGAACUUGGUAGGGCUAAAGCUUCUAUUGCUGGAGACUGUUCCAGAGAUCAAGCACACUUCAAUACAACUAAGGAAAGUCAAACUAAUGGUAGUAAAUUUCUCUCCCAAUGUUCUAAAUUGAAUUUCCCUAUGUUUUUUUGUCAAGAUCUGAGAACAAGGUUGUAUAAGGAUGAUAAAUUGCCCACAGGUGAAGUAGGGAUGUCUUUUGACAAUUGGGUUCUCUUCUUCUUGUCAAUCAAGGGGACUCUGAAGCAACAUAGAAAGCAAAUAUUUCACAGGAGGAAAUGUGCCCUAUUCCUCAGAUGUUGCUGGAACCCAGACAUAGAAAGUAUAACAAAGUGAAACCUCUCGUGAUGAUAGUUGGCUCACAGGGUACUCCUAUAGGCGAAGAUAAAUCAUUGGGUGUGGAGGAAGAGAUUGCUAACGUAGAGAUUGGGAUGAACACUGAACAAUAUGAACCUAUUAACAGAGGAAAAGAGUGCACAAGUGAAUCUAAGGUACCUGAUUUGGUUGAUAUAGCCUAUAGAACUGAAUUGAAGAAUUAUAUGCAUAGCUUUAGUACGUAGAUAAUAAACAUUGUGAUUGCAUUUCCUAAUGAGAUAAGUGACAAAAUGGAUAACAAUUACGCUAUUGAGGAGGACAGGGAAGGGAUUGGUGAACCAUGGAAAAAAGUUAAUGAAGAGGGGAAAGAAUCAAUUCUAUUGAUUUCUCUCUCUCUUCCGCUGUUAAUUUAAUCACUGAAUUGGAUGUUGUAACUGGAUUACAACUUACCUAUGAUAGCAAGCUGGAAGUCAUGGUUGUUUUAAAUUUUAUGAAGAAUAGUGGUCUUGUUGCACCUACUACAGUGGAAAAGAUUGAAAUCGAUUUUUUCAUGUGGGGAGAAGUUUCUUUGAUGGUAAGUUCUUCAGGGAAGAAUCUUUUCUCAGGUGACAAUGUGCCGAUAAAAAGGCCCCAUGAAGGUCACCAAGACAAAGCUAAUAUCAUGUGCAGCAAAAUAGAAGCCUACAAAAAUGAGUUACCAAUCAUUACCAUUGUUGUUUGGCAUGAGGGAAAAAUGUGGAGAACUGCUGGGCAUACUCAGAGUCUUAAGAAAUAAGGAGCUAUAGCAGCCUUGAAAAGCUUCAUGGCUGCUUACCUCGUAGCUUUGGAUAGUAAGGGUUCUCAUGCCGUUACAUAAAGACAUUGUGAGAAACUAACUGAUUUUGAUGUGGCUUUUAGACAAGGGUCUACACUUCCUCUUGUGGCUUCAUACAAAAUAAUUCGGAUAGUUGAUCAGAGUAUUUUGUGGAGCUUUCUUCUUUCCAUGCUUGCUCUUGCUAAUUUUGAGAGGUUGGAAAAUGGUGAAAGGAAUAUUGUAGCUUCACUUAAAGAGAAGCAAUGUAGUUACUAUGUUGACUAUAAAAGUAAAUUGAGACAGCUGAAGCAUAGUCUAAAAUUCAUGAACAAGUUGUGCAAUACUAUUAAUAUGGAGAGGCAUCGACUUAGUUGCAUAUUAAGGCUAAUCAUUGUACUUUCAGUUCUUAGUAUUGUCUCUUUUACAUGGUUCAUUAUAUAUGAUCUUGGAGAGAAGAUGCAACAAUAGUUACUAAUGGUGAUGAAGAUGCAACAACAGUUACUAAUGGUGAUGAAGAUGCAUAGCCUACCAGAUGGGUUAACUUUUGCAAUUCGUAGUAAAAUUGAUACAACCAAAACUACUUUUAUCAGUAGGGUGAUGAAGAGAAGAUAUGGCAUCAAGGAUGUGUUUCUACCUUGUGACUUGCUUCAAGAUAUACUGACGGGAAGGGAACACUUGCAUUGUAGUGGAAGAUUAACACAUUUCAAAGGUGCUAUUUUACAUCAAAUUUUGGAGGAAUUUCUCAAGGAUAGUAACCUCUUCUGUGGUGAGGUAGUUGACAAGGCAUUUGGAAAACGGGGUAGAUAUAUGAGGAGGAGACUCAAUGUAGCCACUUUAUUGGUCCCUAAGACUACUGAAAGAAAGUUCUUUGAUAUUGAGUUAAAGGAUAUUGCCCUGUGUUGGUUUUCUCCUUGUUGUAUGACUUUGUUAAGCAUGAGUUUUGGAAGCAUAAUUGCCCAUGGCAAAGGAUAUCCUUGAAAGAAGAAUUGUCAAAAGAGAUAAGAAGGUUGUGUGUCAGGUCCUUAUCAAAUGGUCUGGCAUAGAUGUUGUACAAGGCUAUAAGCUGCUUAGGAAUUCUUGUCUGAAGUGCAACAUGUUUCCUUCUUCUUGAGGUCAAGAAUGUUCUCUAUAGAGGGGUAUUGAUACAAGUAUUGGAUAUACAAAUGAUCGAGAUAGUCAAAGAGAUCAAGAGAAUCGAGCUUGAAACAAUUUGGAGUUUAAUUAGUGGCUAGACUAUUUUUACUGUAUCAUUACUUACUGUUCACAAAAUCUGUUAUAGUUGUAGUUGUUAGUUACUGUCACUGUCACUGUAGCAUUUCCAAUUAGUAGUUAGUUAGAGGUAGUUACUCUCAAUGGUGUCUAUAAAUACUUUCAUUUGUACUCUACAGAUUCAUUGAUUGAUAAUACAAAAUUCUCUCUCCUUAAACCUCUCUUCUUCUCUAAUUAGCUGAGUUCUCAGAAGUUCCAUCCCUGAUCAACUAUAGUAGUUCAUCGAGUUUAGCUUCUUGAGCUAUGGUUCUCGUUUACGUGCAUUAUGUACCUUUUUUAGGGUAAACAAAUGGGUCCAGACUGACUCCAAAUUUUGAUACAAUACCCAAAACUCAACUCCAACUCGUGACCUGGGACCCGAUCCUCGAGUUGGGUCGGGUAGGGUGGGGUGGAGGUAGGCUGGUAGGCAUAGGUGGAUAGUGCAAGGGGGUGGAUCGGAGACUGUGUUUUUAUUGAUUCGAAUAAAAUAUUGUAUUUUUUCCUCAAAUUUUUAAGGGAAAGAUUUUCUUUUAGCUAUAAAAGUUAGUUCGUAUAUGGAUACCCACAUUUUAUUCAUAUUUGAUCAUAUUCUAAUGGGUUAAAAACUUAAAAUUAAAUUGAAAUUUAUAUUUAUCCAACUAAAAUAUAAGUGAUCCACUCAUAAAAAUGUAAAUUAAAUGAACUACUUUUCUAAAUAUUAGUUGAAAUUGUCAACUCUAACCAUGGGUAGCAACGAUCGAAACAAAUAAGCACAAGUAAUGUCUAUCCACUACUCCAAAUUAAAGUAUAGUCAAAUGCUGAUGUAAAAUAGUUCUAUAUCACUCGUAAUAAGGAAAGAAAAAACUAAAGUUAAGAUAAAAUUGUCAUCUUUAGCUACACAAGGCGCGCGCGCGCGCACACAUAUAUAUAUAUAUAUAUGUAUAUAUCAUGCCAUUAUGUAUACUAUACCAAAGAAAAACCCAAAAUUAUCAUCAAGCUUUUUGUGAAUUCUGACGCAGAUUAUCGUUUGCCAUCUCCAAAGUAGUAUAAAUACAAUACACUCAAUUUACAAUUAUGUUCAUUCCAUAAAACAAGGUCUACAUAUACAAAUUAAGGAAAUUAAAUUAUCAUGAAGGCUGUUGCAGUAGUACUAGUUCUACUUCUGCACGGCUAGAACAAGAAGGCGGAAUUACUUGUAGUCGAGUAGAUGCCAGUUUGGCACCCUGUAUCACGUUCCUGACACAGGGUGGAGAGCCCGGUGCAGCCUGUUGCAGCGGGGUCAACACCUUGAAGGGUAUACCUGGGUCCACUAAUGAGGAGAGGCUUGUUUGCAAUUGUGUUAGGGCUGCAGUGAAUCGAUACUCCAACCUUAAAGAUGAUGCUGCACAGGUUCUCCCCAGAAAGUGCAGCGUAUCGCUCAACUACCCUAUCUCCAGGACCUACAACUGUGACCCGUAAGAAUUUAACUUAUAUAUACUAACAACAUGAAAUAAUUUUUAUUGUGUUAAGUUAUCUAAUUAAUUAAGGUAACAACAAGUAAACCGUCCAUAUUAAGUUAGAUUAGUAAUAACUUAGAAAUUAGGGUGUAUGACCUGCUACAACUCUUUAAAAUAUCAAGUAUUGAUAUUAUAAAAUUAAAAUUGUUCGCACUUUUAAUAUUUGUAGCUUAAAUCUGACAUAUAUUUUAAAUAGUUUAGAUGUUUCUACUAUUUAAAUUUUAUGCUCAGUCAAAUUCUUCAUGUACAUAAUUUCUAUUUACUAAUUUUGCUUUUUUCUAUCCUCUUUUGCAGAUUCGCUUAACUAAAUUACUAAACCAGAUGGGAAUAGUGUUUCGCAAUGGUGUUGGUUUAGUUUAGUUAUAUCUACAUAUAUGUAUUAUAAAUAAACAAAGGGUUGUUAAACCCUUGAACAUUGUAUAUACUCAAUAACUAUGAAGUAAUUUUGGUAUUUUACUAAUUAGUUAAUGAUAAUGUUGUCUAUAAUAAGAGUUCAAAUGAUCUAUUGAUAGAUGUUAGUACUCUUUUGUUUUUGCUUUUUAACAUAUGUCUUCUGUCGAUAAUAAGUAGUAUUAAAAUGGUCUAUACAAUAUAUGUAACCGUUGUCUUUUGUCUCUUCUUUUUACAGAUGCCUUCUGUCUAUAAUAAGAGUUCAAAUGGUUUAUAAAUUUGAAAUGUUCAUCAUCAACCUUAAGCCGCUCAAAUCUGAAAUAUUCAUCUCUUACCUUGAACUCAAAUCUAAAAUUUUAUUCGAAAUCAACUUAAAUUUUCUCUAAAUAAAACUCAAUAAACUUUGAGAUUUAGACUCUUCAAAAGGUCCCCAACAAAACACAAUAAUACCCACUUGAAAUAAAUUACGUACUCCUCUGCAAAAUAUUUUUUAUAUCCAUGUUAUGUCAAACAUUUAACAUUUUCGUUAAGAGCUCUUGUUCAUCCUCUUUUUGUGACUGUAGGCAAUAUGAUCAUCCUACGAUAACAAUUGAGAAAUUAAUUAGAGAUUAAAAUUGCUGAAUUGGAUAACAAUGGAGAAGCUAGGGAUAUCGUCAAUGGCUAAACUAGAAAAGUUUUCCAUCUUUAUUAGGGAGUGAUUAUUGGAUAAAAAAACUUUAUUCUUUUGUCGGAAAAGGGUACGAAAGGAGAGAAAACUGAGGAGCUUUUUGAAGGAAGAAGUUUAUUUUUAUGUCUAAUUUGAGCUUUUUAAUUGAAAACGUUACAGAUAAACAUAGUUUAGUUUCGGGCUUGUUGGUGACGUAGCAAACAGCUACGAGUUGAGUUGUAGUUAAGACUUAAGACUUGGUUUUUUUUUUUUUGGAAUAAGAUGGAUUGUUCGAUUAAAAAAAAAAUUUAAAAAACAUUGGGGAUAUAGAUUUUUUAUUUUUUUUUUUCAAAAUUUUUAGGGUGGGAUGCAAGUCUUUUAAGGGGUCGUUUGGUUGGAAAAUUAUUAUCUCGGGAUAAUUAAUUCUGGGAUUAGUUAUCCUGGGAUUAUCCGGGUAUAACUUACUCCAUCAUCCAUAUGGGAUAACUUAUCCAUCGCUAUGAUGUAAAUGGUGGGAUAAGUUAUUCCGAUAUUAACUAAUACCUCUAAUCAAACAUGGGAUAAAAUAAUUUUUCAUUUUAUCCCAGAACUAUUUAUCCCUUAUACCUCACAUCAAAUGAUCCCUUACCCUUAAGACUUUGGGAAUGAGACUCUGAUAUUUUUAAAACAUUGUAGCUGCCAUGCAAAUCUAAGACUUUGGAGAUUGAAGACUAUUUUAUAUUUUUCAACACUUUAAUACUAGGGUUGAUAACUUUUUAAAUUCUUAAAAGAACGACAGUAUAAGGCUAUAAGCACGUAGCCUAUUAUAAGAACAAGUAACGCGUCAAUAUAAUCCAGUCCAAAUUAGAGUUAAAUGUUGAUGUAGAGGUACUAGCAAAAACCAAAAUUAAAAUAUCACAUUGUGUCAUCUUUGCUAGCUAUAUUAGGCAUAUAUUCAAUGCAAAUGCUAUCUAGUUUAGGUAGAAGUUACAGGACAAGUAAACACAUAAUGAAAAACACGGAAUAUGUAAAUACAAUGUAAUGCUAUAUAUGAUGACGUGAAUGAUUGAAAGUCAUUGCAUGAUUUUUUAUAAAUAUCUAACGAGUCUCAAUAUUUUCAAAGUAGGAUUCAUGGAGGGUUCACAAUCCGUUUACUAUCUCAAAUUUCUACUAAUCUCAAUCUCAUGUCUCAAUAUAUCCGAUCGACACACCCCUCAGUUGUAACGCCCCGCAUUUUGGGCUAGAAUAAAAACCAUGAUUUUGAUGCGUUGCUAAUCCCGAAGCCAUAAAAUCCUAUGUCAAUACGACAUGUUAAUUAUUGUGUAGCAUGUGAAUCCGCUCAAGCUUGAAUUUAGACCAUAGAGGUCCUUCAACUCAAGGACGAGUUGAAACUAUUUCGGUCGACUAAGUUUUAGUGGACGUUGUAAAGUGUGUCAGCUUCCAUCGACCAUAAUUCUUUGUAUAUGUCGAAUUAGGAAGCCUACUAUAUGUCAAAUGAUAGGUAUUCGAGUUAGCUUUGCAACAAUACCAAUUUGGCUACCCGAGCAAGAAGUUAUGGCCCUUCAAAGUGAUAAGCGUCGCCUAACCAAUCGCCUAUGGCCACUGGAAAGCAUAGGCGAUAGCCUAGGUGGCGCCUAUGUAAACAUAGGCAACGGGAUGGGCGGCGCCUAUGUAAGGAAUUCUGGNNNNNNNNNNNNNNNNNNNNNNNNNNNNNNNNNNNNNNNNNNNNNNNNNNNNNNNNNNNNNNNNNNNNNNNNNNNNNNNNNNNNNNNNNNNNNNNNNNNNNNNNNNNNNNNNNNNNNNNNNNNNNNNNNNNNNNNNNNNNNNNNNNNNNNNNNNNNNNNNNNNNNNNNNNNNNNNNNNNNNNNNNNNNNNNNNNNNNNNNNNNNNNNNNNNNNNNNNNNNNNNNNNNNNNNNNNNNNNNNNNNNNNNNNNNNNNNNNNNNNNNNNNNNNNNNNNNNNNNNNNNNNNNNNNNNNNNNNNNNNNNNNNNNNNNNNNNNNNNNNNNNNNNNNNNNNNNNNNNNNNNNNNNNNNNNNNNNNNNNNNNNNNNNNNNNNNNNNNNNNNNNNNNNNNNNNNNNNNNNNNNNNNNNNNNNNNNNNNNNNNNNNNNNNNNNNNNNNNNNNNNNNNNNNNNNNNNNNNNNNNNNNNNNNNNNNNNNNNNNNNNNNNNNNNNNNNNNNNNNNNNNNNNNNNNNNNNNNNNNNNNNNNNNNNNNNNNNNNNNNNNNNNNNNNNNNNNNNNNNNNNNNNNNNNNNNNNNNNNNNNNNNNNNNNNNNNNNNNNNNAUAUUGAUGACUUACAAGUCGGGUAUGACGAUACCCUACAGAAUAUGAUAUGCGAUUGAAUAAGAUGAAAUUUGAAUGCAUUGAUUUUACAUGAGAAAGGUGGAUGCCCGAAGAAGGCGUUUGAGACACAAGUGGCUCAUCGCUGGAAGAACAUGUUUGCCGACACGGAAUAUCGGUACCAUGCUUUAUGGUCUUGCGUACCUGAUAUUAUAUUAUUUCAAAUUGGGAUUAUGAUUAGGAGCCGUGAUUUGUGGUCUUGUGCACUACCAUAUUUGAUUUGGGUCGAGACACCAUGCUUUGUGGUCUUGUGUGUCUCUCCCUCACUUAUACUCUAAUCUCGGCGGCAACCGAGGUUUGACAAUUGGUGUAAAUUAUGUAGGUUAUUCCACCUAGCUCAGUUGCAUUUCAUUAUUAUUGAGAAAAACUAUUGCAUUACACCCAUGUGUUUUCAAAUGAUUUGAUACGAAAUUGCUUUAUAAUGGCUCUCAACUAUAUUUUGUAAAAUAUUAUGUUUGGCUUUGAUAUCUCUGCGUGCCAGUACUUUUGUGCUUACCCCCUCCCCUCUCCAACCUCUCAGGUUCAGAGGCCCAGUCUAGGGUUCAAGAGAAUCAAUAGAACUUUUAGACAGAGCUGUAGAGACAAGUGGUGAGCCUUCUAUGUUUCGAUGUCCUGCAGUCCUUUUAUCUUAUAUUCAGUUUUGGGGGUCUGCUGGGGGCCUUGUCCCAGUUUUCAGAUAGAUAUUAUUUCAGUCAUGUAGUAGAGAUUUCGCAGAUGGUUUUAGAGAUGUUGAUUUAGAUUGUGGGACACUAUUCCCCAUUUUCGUUUUCAUAUGAUUCUUGACCAUGUUUCCGUUAUAUUAUGUUUCUUCCGCAUUACUUUGAUCAUAUGAAUUAGGUUCAUGAUUACCAGACAGAUAGGGGUGUUUCGGGCCUCCAUAGUUUGAAAUGCUCGUCACGGCCAGGCCCUGGUGUGGGUUGUGACAAACUUGGUAUCAAAGCACGGUUCAUGGUCCCAGGGUUUCUGCAAAAUCGCGUCAGAUAGAGUCUUAUUUAUAGGUAUGUAGCGCGCCACACUUAUAAGCAGGAGGCUGCUAGGCAUUUAGGAAAUGUUUCCCUUCUUUGUGAUUUAGUUCGUGCUUCAGAGUCUGAACUCCCUAAUCAAUGAUCACUUGUGUUUCAGAAACACAGUUAUGCCUCCACGUCGUAUCGUCGAUCAGAAUGCUCAGGCAGAUGAGGUUCGUCUCACCCAUGGGAUGCGGACCCAUAACAGGUCUUAUACUCCAGAAUUUGGUCCUACUCCAGGAGUCCCUCCAGUCCCGACCAGUCCACCUCGGGCUCCGCGGACUAAUGCCAACCGUCCUCCAACUGCUCAGGGAGAUAUUUCAAAUGUAAAAUUCAACUGAUCUAUUCAUAUGCUGACACAGUUAGUAGCUAACCAGGCUCAAUGAUCGGACGGAAGAUGUUGGGUCUGGAUCUGUUACAUCUGAGGCUACUAGAGUUAGACAUUUCAUAAAGAUGAACCCACCUAAGUUCACUGGAACCAAGGUGGAGGAAGAGCUAUAGGAGUUCGUGGAUGAGAUGGAAAAGAUCUUUAAGUUGAUGCAUAUGGAUGAGGUUGAAGAGGUGGAACUAGCAACCUAUCAGCUCAAGGACAUUGCGAACCAGUGGUAUGCCGAUUGGGAAGAUGAAAAAGGUGAAAGUGUUGAGCCCACAGUUUGGGGCGAAUUUGUGGAAGCUUUCCCUGAUCGAUUCUUUCCUCUGGAGUUGAAGGAGGCCAAAGCGGAAGAGUUUAUAAAUCUGAAGCAGGGAAGUAUGAGUGUCCAGGAGUACACUUUGAAGUUUAAUAAACUAGCCCGCUAUGCACCAGAGUUGACUAGUAAUAUGAGGGCCCGGAUGAGAAAAUUUACAUCCGGCCUUACUGAUGACCUAGUACUUGAGUGCCAGGGGACUAUGUUGAAUAAGGAGUUAGACUUUGCUCGACUAACCAUUUAUAUACAUCAAGUGGAAGAGAAAAAUAAAAAGAUUCCUGAAUCUAAAGAGAAAGACAAACAAGCUAAAAGAGCUAGAUCUGUGGAUCAGCAACAGAGUCAAUCAUAGAGUGGCAACUGGGGUAAUAAGUGGUCGAAGAAGAAGAAGUUUUGGAAUAAUUCACAGUCAGCAGCCAGCGCCCCAGCACCCAGACCACCGAUAGAUAAACAAACUCAGGGUUUUCAUACUCCUCAUGGGUCCAAAGCUCUAGGUACACAGUCUCAGGGAAGUAUGGCCCAGCAGCAGCGCACUCAUCCGCAGUGUGAGGUUUUACGGAAGGAAUCAUCUAGGGAAGUGCUGGUUUGAGGGGAGAAACUGCUAUACUUGUGGCAAAGUGGGUCAUUUUCAGAGAGAUUGUCCAUCUGCUGGAGUAAAUGCGAGGGGGGCUAAGUCCCAAGCCGCCUCUACAGCUCCUUUUCCUAAGGGUGUCCUUUCAGCUGCCGAAAGCGGUCGCAACCGGUUAUAUUCUUUGAAUAACCGCCAGGAGGCGAAAGCUUCACCAGAUGUUGUCACCGGUAUGUUACGAAUCUUUUCUCGUGAUGUUUAUGUAUUGCUUGAUCCCGGGACUACUUUAUCCUACGUGACCCCUUAUGUGGCUGUUGGUUUUGGGUUUGACCUGAAGUUAUUGUAGAACCCUUCUUUGUUUCUACUCCUGUAGGUGAUUCUGUUGUUGCUAGAAGGGUAUAUAGAAAUUAUGUCGUGUCUGUUCAUAGUAGGAAAACUGUGGCAGACUAUAUAGAACUGGAUAUGAUAGAUUUUGAUGCCACCCUUGGGAUGGACUGGAUCCAUUCGUGCAAUGCCACUCUUGAUUGCAGAACCCGAAAGGUCAUUUUUUCUUUCCCGAAUAAGACACCAGUUAUAUGGGCAGGGAGUUCUGUGGAACCUAGAGGUCACUUUAUCUCUUAUCUUAGAGCCCGAAAGCUUAUCUCCAAAGGUUGUAUGUAUCAUCUAAUCCGAGUAAAAGAUUCAAAAGUUGGAAACCUUCCUCUACAGUCAGUCCCUGUAGUGAAUGAAUUCCCAGAAGUCUUUCCCGAAGAUAUCCCAGGGAUACCCCCUGAUAGGGAGAUAGAUUUUGGCAUUGAUGUGUUGCCAGACACUCGUCCUAUUUCUAUUCCGCCAUAUAGAAUGGCUCCCGCGGAACUAAAGGAGUUAAAGGAACAGUUUGCAGACCUCAUAGACAAAGGUUUUAUUCGUCCUAGUAUUUCCCCAUGGGGUGCACCCGUGUUCUUCGUGCGAAAGAAGGAUGGGACCCUUUAGAGGUGCAUAGACUACCGUCAGUUGAAUAAGGUCACGAUUAAAAAUAAAUAUCCUCCUCCUAGGAUUGAUGACUUUUUUGACCAGCUGCAGGAUGCCAAGUAUUUUUCAAAAAUAGACCUUCAUUCGGGUUAUCAUCAGUUAAAAUUUAGGGAGUCAGACAUACCCAAGACAGCCUUUCAAACCCGAUAUGGUCACUACGAAUUUCUAGUCAUGUCCUUCGGGUUGACUAACGCCCCUGCAGCCUUCAUGGAUCUUAUAAAUAGAGUAUUCCAUCAGUUUCUUGACUUGUUCGUCAUUGUAUUUAUUGAUGAUAUUCUGAUCUAUUCUUGCCAAGUGUUUUUCAAAAAUAGACCUUUGUUUGGGUUAUCAUCAGUUGAAAGUUAGGGAGUCAGACAUACCCAAGAUAGCUUUCCGAACCCGAAAUGGUCACUACGAAUUUCUAGUCAUGUCCUUCGGGUUGACUAAUGCCCCUGCAUCCUUCAUGGAUCUUAUGAAUAGAGUUUUCCGUCAUUUUCUUGACUUGUUCGUCAUUGUAUUCAUUGAUGAUAUUCUAAUCUAUUCUAAGAGUAAAGAGGAACACGCCAAUCACCUCCGAAUUAUCCUUCAGACCCUUAAGGAUCAUCAGCUGUAUGCCAAAUUUUAUAAGUGUGAAUUCUGGUUAGACGCUAUUGCCUUCUUGGGGAAUUUUAUGUCCAGUGACGGGAUAAGAGUGGAUCCCCAGAAAGUUGAAGCAGUGAGAAAAUGGCCCAGACCCACGACUCCAACCGAUAUUUGGAGCUUCUUGGGUUUGGCGGGGUAUUACAGAAGGUUCGUAGAGAGUUUUUCUUCCAUAGCUGCUCCGCUUACUAAACUAACUCAGAAAAAGAUAAAGUUUGUGUGGUAUGACUUGUGUGAAAACAGUUUUGAGAAGUUGAAGGACAGACUACUGCUCCUAUUUUGACCCUUCCCGAAGGUGUAGAUGAUUUUGUUGUUUAUUAUGAUGCGUCCCGUGUGGGACUUGGUUGUGUAUUGAUACAGCGUGGUAAGGUGAUAGCUUAUGUAUCUAGGCAGUUAAAGGUGCAUGAGCGCAAUUACCCCACUCAUGACUUAGAGUUAGCAGCCGUGGUGUUUGCACUUAGAAUCUGGAGGCGCUAUCUCUAUGGAGUGCAUGUUGAUAUUUAUACUGACCAUAAGAGUUUACAGUAUGUUUUCUCACAGAAAGAAUUGAACCCCAGGCAGAGGCGUUGGAUAGAGCUUUUGAAAGACUAUAAUAUGAUUCUGCAUUACCAUCCGGGCAAGGCAAAUGUUGUAGCCGACGCCCUCAGCAGGUUGUCUACGGGCAGCCUUUCUCAUGUAGAAGAAGGAAAGAAAGAGAUGGUGAAUGAUAUUCACCGCCUUGCAAAUCUGGGAGUGUGACUCUUAGAUUCCGAAGAUGGAGGGGUGAUUGUUCAUGAGUUAGCUAUGUCAUUUCUUUGUGCUAAAGUUAAGGAGAAGCAGGUUGAAGAUCCCAUCUUGAUGAAAAUCAAGAAAGAUGUGGGUCAACAAAAGGUUAUGUCGUUUGAAAUUGGUGGCGAUGGUAUUUUGAGAUUUCGGGGUAGGUUGUGCAUUUUGAAUGUCGAUGGGAUACGGGAAAGAAUCCUUAAUGAGGCACACACUUCGAGGUAUGUCAUUCACCCAGGCUCUACUAAGAUGUACCUUUAUCUGAAAACCUUGUAUUGGUGGAAUAACAUGAAACGUGAUGUAGUUGAUUUUGUGUCCAAGUGUUUGAACUGUCAACAAGUGAAGGUAGAACACAUGAGGCCAAGUGGUACUUCCCANNNNNNNNNNNNNNNNNNNNNNNNNNNNNNNNNNNNNNNNNNNNNNNNNNNNNNNNNNNNNNNNNNNNNNNNNNNNNNNNNNNNNNNNNNNNNNNNNNNNNNNNNNNNNNNNNNNNNNNNNNNNNNNNNNNNNNNNNNNNNNNNNNNNNNNNNNNNNNNNNNNNNNNNNNNNNNNNNNNNNNNNNNNNNNNNNNNNNNNNNNNNNNNNNNNNNNNNNNNNNNNNNNNNNNNNNNNNNNNNNNNNNNNNNNNNNNNNNNNNNNNNNNNNNNNNNNNNNNNNNNNNNNNNNNNNNNNNNNNNNNNNNNNNNNNNNNNNNNNNNNNNNNNNNNNNNNNNNNNNNNNNNNNNNNNNNNNNNNNNNNNNNNNNNNNNNNNNNNNNNNNNNNNNNNNNNNNNNNNNNNNNNNNNNNNNNNNNNNNNNNNNNNNNNNNNNNNNNNNNNNNNNNNNNNNNNNNNNNNNNNNNNNNNNNNNNNNNNNNNNNNNNNNNNNNNNNNNNNNNNNNNNNNNNNNNNNNNNNNNNNNNNNNNNNNNNNNNNNNNNNNNNNNNNNNNNNNNNNNNNNNNNNNNNNNNNNNNNNNNNNNNNNNNNNNNNNNNNNNNNNNNNNNNNNNNNNNNNNNNNNNNNNNNNNNNNNNNNNNNNNNNNNNNNNNNNNNNNNNNNNNNNNNNNNNNNNNNNNNNNNNNNNNNNNNNNNNNNNNNNNNNNNAUCAAAGUGACAGACUCCUUGUCUUACGAAGAAGAGCCCGUUGAAAUUUUAGAUUGCCAAGUUCGAAAGCUGAGGAGCAAAGAGAUAGCCUCGGUAAAGGUACUGUGGAGGAAUCAGAAAGUCGAAGAAGCAACUUGGGAGUCAGAAAAUGACAUGAGAAUUAGAUAUCCCAAUUUGUUUACUUCAAUGGAGGAGGAGACAGAAGGUACUAUUCCUAUCUUGUCUUUCCUAGUCUGUUAUUAUGCUUGAAAUCGUGUCUUUCUGUGUCCCGCAUCAUCAUUCGGGGACGAAUGAUCCUCAGGGGGGAUAAUGUAACGCCCCGCAUUUUGGGCUAGAAUAAAAACCAUGAUUUUGAUGCGUUGCUAAUCCCGAAGCCAUAAAAUCCUAUGCCAAUACGGCAUGUUAAUUAUUGUGUAGCAUGUGAAUCCACUCAAGCUUGAAUUUAGACCAUAGAGGCCCUUCAACUCAAGGACGAGUUGAAACUAUUUCGGUCGACUAAGUUUAGUGGACGUUGUAAAGUGUGUCAGCUUCCAUCGACCAUAAUUCUCUGUUUAUGUCGAAUUAGGAAGCCUACUAUGUGUCAAAUGAUAGGUAUUCGAGUUAGCUUUCCAACAAUACCAAUUUGGCUAAAAUCCAACACUCGAGCAAGAAGUUAUGGCCCUUCAAAGUGAUAGCCACUCUCAUAUGCUUAACUAUAUAUAACUGGAAAUGCGCUAAAAUUAAAAUAUAACUUUACCUUUCGUUCUUUCCUUUUCAUUGACAAUUUCUUUUUCAUUCAAACUCCUAAUUCUCCAUUCCAUUGCUUUUUCUGAUACUCAUCUUUACCUUUUUCAUUGCACAAACUUUGUAUAAAUCUCUAUAAUCUGUAUUCAAUUAGCUUCAUAUAGUUUUUCACCAAUAAAUGUUAAAUCGUCCUCAAUAAAUUCAUAAACAGAUAAAGGAUCGUCUUUCACCACUUUCUUGCUUGCUCUUUCAUUUGAUGGACCCGAUUUUCCUACCAUUUUCAACAAAAAUUUCAAAAUCAAAUAGAGGAUUUCGAAGCAAAGUAAGAAUUUUUAGGUAGAUUAUACGGUAGAAAAGUGUAACAAAAGAAGAUUUGUUGAUAUCAAACUAUAGAGUAAAAAUAUACUCCUGUUUCUAUCUUUUUUUUAAAUUGUUAUUUGUCUUAGCCAGGCGGUUAAUAGAAAAUAGCUACUAUAUAUGUUUGCACCUACUGUAUCAAUGUGGUAUAAAAGUGUAUCAAUCUAGUAUAGAAGCGUAUCAAUUGGAUAUAUGGACACGACAUAUGUAUGCAUAGAUUCCCCUUCUAUUUUAUUAUAUAAGUGUAUCAAUGUGGUAUAAAAAGUAUCAAUUGGGUAUAGGAUCCCCUCUUUUUUUGUAAAAAGUGUAUCAAUGUAAUAUAAAAGUGUAUCAAUUAGGUAUAGAAACUGCAUGUGGCAAACUGGACCAAUGACUAAAAGAGGAAAUAAAUUGGGCUGACUGGCUACGGUUAUCCACAUUUUCAAAUUAUAAAUUAUUUUUUUCCUUUUUAAAAUGGUCAACCCAUGUCCUUUCCUCUAAAAAUAUUGGGGAUAGAGAACUUUGUGAUAUGUUCAAAGUUUUUGGGCUUGGGAAUGCAAGUCUGUUAAAACUUUGGAGAUGAAGAGUGAGGACUUUGAUAUUUUUCAAAACUUUGGAGUUGAGGUGUAAACCUUCUAAGAUUUGGAGAUGGGGAUUAUUAAAACUUACACGCACCUGGUGUAUGCAUCAAGUCAAUACAUACAUGUCAUGUGUUUGAAUUUAAAGUUCAUGUUAAUUACUUAACCAUGGUAAAGAACAUUAGUUUGGUGUAUACAUCGGGUGCGUGUAAGUUUUUACCGGGACUAUUUUAUAUUUUUCAACACUUCAAUACUACGGUUGAUAACUUUUUAAAUUCUUUGCUCAUGCCAUGAAGGGCGUCAAUUUCACUAAUUUUUCGUUAUGUUUAUUUCACUAAUUAAAUUUUCAAAAUGACCUUUUAGUUGAGAGAAUCACAGUAAGCACUUAGCUUAUAAGAACAAGUAAUGCAUCAGUAUAAAUCAGCCCAAAUUAGAGUUAAAUGUUGAUGAAGAAGUAAUGCGUCAGUAUAAAUCGGUCCAAAUUAGAGUUAAAUGUUGAUGUAGAAGUAAUGCGUCAGUAUUAAUCAAUCCAAAUUAAAGUUAAAUGUUGAUGUAGAGGCACCUAGAAGAAAACCAAAAUUAAUAUCACACAGUGUAUGUCAUCUUUGCUAGCUAUAUAAGGCGUACACAUAAUAUAUAUCAUGUCCUAAUGUAUACAAUACCAAACCAAAGAAAAUCCAAAAUUAACAUUUAAAUUUUGUAAAUCCUGACGCACACUUUAUCCAUCGUUUGCCAUCUCCAAAUUAGUAUAAAUACACUAGACUCAAUUUACAAUUAUAUUAUUCCAUAAGAAAAAAUUACCAUAUAUACAAAUUAAGUAAAUUGAAUUAAGCUGCCAUGAAAGGUGUUGCAGUAGUACUAGUUCUAGUUGUGCUAGCCGUGGCUCAGCUAGCUAUGGCUGCACGGCUAGAACAACAGGGCGGACUCGCUUGUGGUCAUGUAGAUGACGUUUUGGGUCCCUGUUACUCGUUACUUGAAGGUCUUCGACGUGGCAGGCUUGAUUCAGCAUGCUGCACUGGGUUCAGAACCAUGAUUAUUAUAGCUCAGUCCACUGAGGAUAGGAGGUCUGCUUGCAACUGUGCUAAGGCUGCAGUGAACCGACGAAACUCCUCGAUUAAUGAAGAUCAAUCCAGGGCUCUUGCUAGCAAGUGUGGUGUUUCCUUUCCCUUCUAUAUCUCCAGGACCAUCAACUGUGACACGUAAGAGUUUAACUUACAUAUAUUGAUGAUAUGAAAUAGUUUUCAUAGUAUUAAAGUUAGCUAAUUAAAAGAUAACUACAUGUUUUAUACUUGUAUAUAUUUCAGAAGACUAAAAAAUUAAUAAUCACUAAUUUUGCUCCUCUUUAUCUUUUUGUGCAGAGUAAGUUAAAAUAGGCUGCAUGGUUCCGGGAAUAAUGCCAGUGGAGAUUCGAAUGCUGUCAUAAGUUUACUUUGUUAUGUAUUAAAUAAAAUAAGGCUUGUUAUAAACCCUUGAACGUUGUAUAUAUACUCAAUAACUAUGUGAGUAUUAACUUUACUGUUUUAUAUAUUUUGUGCUUGUAUAAUUUUACAAUAACUACGUGUUAAUGUAUUAAUCCAAUACGUUGUUGAUAAGAUUAAGCUAACAUACAGUUACAUAAAAUAUGAACUCCGAUUCUUAAUGUUACGAUCCAUAUUGUCUGCUUUGAAUCUAGGCCCACAAAUUUUGAAGGAAAAUUAACUUGGUGAUUUGCACAUAAUUAUAAGACAUAUCUUCUUCUAGGAUUCAUAUGUAUUACUAUCACCAAUUACCAAACAAUUUUUUAUAAGAUCACUUGUGGAGUCUUAUAUAUUGUUCACAACAUGACAAUAUAUAUUGAAACCUAUAGCUCCACUUGUCUUCAAUCAAGAGCUUCAUCACCGCUUAUCCAUUAACUCCCCACUUCAUUUAAAUAAAUAUAAUAUUUAUUUUUAUAUCAAUUGCUACUAUUUAAUAAUGUUGUCCUGGUAUAUAUAAUCUUAUUAAUUUACGUAAGACAUGUAAUAGUAUGACAUACAAUAAAGAAAAAGGAAGAGGAAAACGUUGAGGAGGGAGAGAGAGAGUAUGAAAGACAAUUGGUUGUAUUUCUUAUGGUAAAUGGAGGUGCUAUAUUUAUAGAUAUAGUGGUUAAUAGGCUUAGAAGGUUGACAAGUGGGCAACCACUUGUCCAAAUAUUUGCCUGCUGCAUUUUGGCAAGUAUCUUUAAUCAGCCAUUCUUCUCAAGAGUUGGCCAUUUGUUCACUUUACCAUUGCCAUUCACGGCUUAAAGAUUGCCUUGAGGAACAACCACUACAUGUCAAUAUGGCUGCGAAGAGCUCAUACAUUUUCUCUACAAUGAUCACCUACUUUAUACCUAUGUUGUCUGAUUGCAGCCCCCCAAACCUCCCAGCGGCUCAAGCAUAUUCGUAGCCUAAGAUGAAAAUCAAACGGAGACCUUAAAAUUUUAAGAAAAAAUAACUUUCUUUUAAUAAACUCUAUUUUUCAAAAUUAUAUAAUCGAUUUUUUUUUAAUUAUUCUUUUUUGAGUAAUAAUAUAAUCAAUGCAUUUAAUCUUUCUUGAGACAUAGUACUAUAGAUAUAUGAACUUCUUCUAAUAAUUCUUUCUUUUUAUAUAAAAAAUAUUAUUGUAAAAAAUAAGGUCCCUCAGAUUUAGAACCGCCGCCUAUUUUUUUUUAGGAUGUAGAGCCGCCCUAACCCCCAAACCCCAAAUCUAGCAUAGUUUUCGAGAGGCAAAUUAAAUGGUAGAUGCGCUAUCAAAAGAAGGGGUCUAGAAUAUUGGAAGCUAACUCUUUUGUGCAUAGAUCAGUUUUAUCUUUGUGUGGGGAAAGAAAAUUGGGAGCAAAUAAAGUGAGAAACACGAUUUAUUAGGCUAAUUAGGCCACUGCUUGCAUCAGAUAAUUGCAAUAUUAGUUACUGUACUAAUACCUCCACCCCACACAGAGCCUCCCACUAAACACAACUAGCGGAUGUUCCGCCCUGCCCCUAUGCACCGAUGAUGCAUUAGUUUCUAUUAAUGUAAAUACUAAUUCGUUGUCUAUCAAAUUGUUUUUUAGCCUAGACCCGCAUUCGCAAAAUAGCCCAAGAUCAUAUUAUUAUUAAGUGGUUAUAUGUGAGAUUUGGGUUGAUAAAUAGCACUUAUGGGUAGAGGUGAGUGUUCGGUAUUCGGUUCAGUAUUUUCAAAUUUUGGGUUCGAUAAUCUAUAUUUGAACAUAGAUACCACAUACCAUACUUAUAAACAUCGGUUCGGUAGUUUGGUAAUCGGUAAAUUAAACUUCGGUUCGGUUCGGUACGGUAUUUGGUAAUACCAUAUUAAAGUUGGAGAUGUGCAAAUGUAUGUUUAAACUUCAAAGAGUAUAUUUAAUAGAAACCUUAUUUAGUAUUCUUUUUGUUGCUUUUUGCGAAUAUAUUACCAAGAUUCUUUGGGAUGACUAGUACUAUUGUGUAUUGGGUUGGGUUAGACAUAUAUAUAUAUUCGAUAUACAGUAAAUGCCGAAUACCAAACGGUAUUAAUAUCCUGUACCAAACUCAAUCCCGAAUACCGAAAUAAUGAAAUUUUACUCCCAAAUACCAUACCAAAUAUCGAAUUACCGAAUAUCAAUUACCAAAUUUUUUAAUUCGGUUCGGCAAUUCGAUUUUUGGUAUUUUAUGCCUAGCCAUACUUGUGGGAGCAAAAUAGGUUAUGCAAAUUGUGAUAAUUGCUUAGGCAAGGCAAUGAUUCUUAUCUCCAAUUCUCUCUAGGCCUCUCAUCCCCUUCUAUUGUUAUUCCUUUUCUUCAUACUGUAAUUUCUCCUUCCGUAUUAAUCAAAGUUGAUUAGUUUUAUUCACUUUGUGUAUUGAUCAUUAAGUUGAGAAUUCGAAUUCGUUACACCGGGUUCGCUGAAGCACAUAGAACUUCAUCAAGAGGCCGCUCUAAGGGUAAGACUAUUAAAGUGUUUGCUUUAGGCCUUUAAAAUUUUAAAAUUUCAAAAAAAUUUAACUUAUAACUUGAAAUAAUAAUGAACAUUGUGAAAUAUGCUUAAAAAACUAUCUUACAAAAAUAUAAAAAAAAGAGCUAUCUAAUUUUUAUUAUAAAUAUUUUAGAACUUCAAAUUAAAUAACUUAAACUCCAUAUUAAUAAUUAAUGUUUUAACAACUACAUCAAAGUUUAUGUAUAGCAAACAAAUAGCUAACGUCUUAUUAACUAGAAUGAAUCUUUCUUUUAUUAAUAAUCAUGUUAUAUGUGAAGUUAAAGGUCAUAGUCUUUUAAACAUACUAGUUCAACCGAACGUGUAACCUUUGAUUUUUUAUAAUUAAAUGAUUUUAUCUAUUGCGAAGAUUUUUAAUGAAGUGUAAAAGUUUAAAUCCCUUUUCAAAAAUUCUUCACACUUUAAUAUAAUAAUUUAAAUUAAACAUAUAUUUUAGUGUUAGCAUGUUUAUAUGAAAAAUAUCACCUAAUAUUUUUUUGCCUCCUUUGAAAUUUAACCUAAAAUUUCAUAGUUUUCCUCCAACUUUAUUCACUACUAGGCGAUAUGCGACAAUGAAAAUAACUCUAAUUCAAUAGUUCUAUAUUUGAUAGAAACAAAAAAGAGAAAUCGAUUUAAUAGCAAUAACAGUAAAUCAGGAAUGAAUUAAUAUAACCGAAAAGACUAAUCCUCAUAUCUGAUUCAUCCACUCUGUUAUUAACCCCUUCAACUAACAUACCAAACUCAAAUAGAAUAAUCAAAAAUUCAACUAACAUACCAAACUCAAAUAGAACAACCAAAAAUAAUGGUGUCGUACACUAAGCAAACAACAAAAUGCAAUUACAAUAUUAUACCUGGUCAACCACAAACUAAACUAAUCUUUCGAAACUAAUCUUAUUAACUAUUAUAAGAAAAGUCUUUCGUCAAUGUCAGCUCUCCCCUACAUAUAUGUCUCAUAUAUAAAAAAAUUUUGUCCAACUAAAUGACUUACUUUCAUAGAAAAUCAACUUCAAUUAAGUAAUUCAAACAACCAAAUUCAAAGUUAUUUGGACACUUAAAAAAUAAAAUAACAAAAUAGGCAAAAUUUGCAAUCGCCCUUCCUUCAAAAUCGUCCACUACGAUCAACAUGAUGCAGGUAGUUUUCCAGUUGAAUUGGCAAGUCGUAGUUAAUAACAAGUUAAGGGAGAUUUGCUGGACAUCAAUACCACGAGAAAGGAGAUCGGUUGUUAUAAGCACAAGAGAUGAGCCAUCUCGUGUGUUCUGAUCCAUGUCUUCGAUGAAUUGUAGAUAACGUGUGAUCACAGCUACGCAUGCAUCUUCCGCAAGCUUUUUGUAUGUUUGAGAGUAGCAUCUGUCUUUAACAAUUGCUUUUCAGUUUUUCAAAAGCUUGAAUUCUCCUUUGUUGUGCAAUUAUUAUACAGCAGUCACCAUCCUAUAUAAAAAUUUUCAAGGUAUCACACUUGCUAUGGUAACGUGUAAAAGACACAAAGCAGAUAGGAAGAAACUAUAACAAACCUCAUUCUCCAUGCUCUUUCCUUCCCUUAGUUAAAAAGCCGUAGAUGAAAAACUACUAAACAAAGAAAAACUCAACGAAUUAUAAAUCUUAUUAAGGAGAACUUAAUUGUUUCCCAUACGAAAUUAAAGAAGUCACGUUACAAAAUAAACUUACCAUCUUAAACUAAUGAAAAAAAUAUUAGUUCCCAUAAUAAACUAAAGAAAUCACAUUACAAAAUAAACUUACAAUUUUAAAUUAAUGAAAAACGAUUUUAUUUAAAGUAAAGACUUUUAAUUGUAGACACAUAAAUUUAUUGGAUCAAAUUCAUAUAAAAUUUGAAUUUGAGCCAUAUGUUAUUGGGUUUAAACUUAUUUUGGGUUAAAAAAAAUAAUAAGCCUAUUUUAUUCUUCAUUAAGGUCCAUCUAACUUUGAAGCCCAAACUCAUCAAGUGACGUGGCAUCCCAGUCAAAUCCAAAAUCAAUGAGACACCGCCAUAUGUACAAAUGAUGUGGAAAUCUCAUUCAAAUUCAACAACCAGUCAAAAGAUGUCACGUGUCAAAGUGACAUGUUUCGACCAAUCACAAGCAACUAGGCCUACCCCCACAACUAUAAAUAGGGGGUAACAUAACAUUCUAAGGGGAAGAAAAAAAAAAGGAGGACAUUCUGCAAGCAUUGGAGGAAGUUUUUGCAUUGACUACACAGCUCUUCAAAGAAUUGACUAACGGAGUUCUGCCCGGAAUCAACUCGACAAGACGAAGUGUUGUCAAAAAAUUCUUGGAGAUCCAAACACAUUUCUAGGAGGUUCAAAUCAUCCUACAUUCGAGAAUCACGCUGCAAAGGCCCUCGAAUCACGAAAAAACUUAGGAGAGAAGAAUCGAAAGAAUAACGGAAUUGUACCUGCAAAAUUCAUUAAUAUAAAAUUAUUCUUUUUGUUUAUUUUAUUUUUGCUUGCAGUUAAUUUUCAGUGUUAACAAAAAAUUAUUGCGAACAAAUUGACACGCCCAGUGGGACCAGUUCUGCUCUUCAUCUCUUCCUCCUACAAGUCAAAGGAAAUCACAUAUUCAACUACUACAAUAGACUUCAGAAAAAUCAAUGAAGUUUCGUGCAAGAAGUCUACUACUGCCACGUCUACUGAGAUUAAACUUGUUGGCCCCAUCAAUUGACGCGAUCUUAAUGCUUGUGCUUUGGAUGGAUCCCAAUACUUCACCAUUUUGGAGAUGACAAAAAGGAGAAAAUCUCAAAUUUCGGCAGUAACUACAACCCCCGGGGGUAACUUUGCAUUUAUUUUAUCAGAUGAACCAUCUAAAACUGGCUGCAACUUUAGAAAAUCUAAAAACUUAAUGAAUUCUCCAACUUCAACGAAAGUCAACACCUUUAUGGUUGAUGCAAUUGACUUGGACGGGAUGUUUGCAAUGAUGGAGAAAAUAAUUGAAGCCUUGAAGAAGUCCAUUGAUGAGAAAGAUCAUCAAAUCGCCCGACUUAUGAGCAAGUUAAAUCUCUACAAUCCUAGAGAAUUAAAUUAUAAUCUAACACCACGAGAAAAAGAUGAUGGUGAAUCUCUCAUCAAGACAAGUGACAAUUAUUGUGAUGAUCGAUCUGCUUCAGUGGCUACACUAACAAUUCAACAACUGCAAGAUAUGAUUGCAAACACCAUCAAGGCACAAUAUGGCGGUCCGUCAUAAAGUUUCGUAGGAUACUCAAAGCUGUAUUCUAAGCGAAUCGAGGGCUUACCGAUGCCAAUUGGAUAUCAACCGCCAAAGUUUCAACAAUUUCAUGGAAAGAAAAAUCCAAGGCAACACAUCGCUCAUUUCGUUGAGACUUGUAGUAGUGCUGGUACACCUGGCGAUUUUCUUUUCAAGUAAUUUGUUCGCUCCUUGAAAGGCAACGCUUUUGAUUGGUACACAGACUUAGAGUCUAGAUCAAUUGAUUGUUGGAAGCAAUUAGAAAGUCAGUUCAUAAAUCGUUUCUAUAGUACCCGUCGUAUGGUCAACAUGAUGGAGUUGACAAACACAAGACAAAGUAAAGAUGAGCUUGUAUUGGAUUACAUAAAUCACUGGUGAACAUUGAGCUUUGAUUGCAAGGAUCAACUUUAUGAAACUUCCGCGGUUGAAGUUAGCAUUCAAGGGAUGUGUUGGGGCCUUGUGUAUAUCCUUCAAGGAAUUAAGCCUCAAACUUUUGAAGAAUUAGCUUCGCGCGCUCAUGACAUGGAGCUAAGUAUUGCAAGUCAUAGAAUGGCGUCACCUACUUUUUAUCCUAGAAAGGAAGUCACGAAAAUCAAAGACUCAUCUGAAGACCAAAUUAGGUAAUCUAUAAUGACAACUGUGAGUUUUACGAAGUCCCCUACAAGACAAAAGUUAAAAGAGGAAGCUUCAAAGCAACAAAUGCGAGAGGUAAAAAAUCAACCAACCUUGAAAGAGUUACAAGCAAGGGUAUAUCCUUUUCUUGACUCUGAUGUUCCUGAAAUUCUUGACGAGUUGUUAGCCAAAGAAAUCAUUUAACUUCCUAAGUCAAAGCGACCCGAAGAAUUAAACAAAGUCGAUGAUCCUAAAUACUGUAAAUUUCACCUCAUUAUUGGUCAUCACACCACAAAAUGCUUCAUCCUGAAGGAAAAGAUCAUGAAAUUAAUGCAAGAGGGGAAAGAUCAUCAUUGAUGAAGGCGAUACAGUUGGCGCAAAUCAUGUUAGCGCCAAACUUCACCAUAUGAAAGGAUCAAUUUCAAGAGUUCUACAAUCCACGUGCUCUGUGGCAUUACCAAAAGGUGAAGGAAUCAUCAUGCUACAAUUUGGGAGCUUUGAUCCAAUUGAGGUUCCUACCACGAAGAAAAUAACAAGCAAAUCCAUGCAAAACAACUUCUCCAAUAGUAAAAAAGGUGAUACUUGGACAUUGAUCGCUCAUAAAAGAAAAAAAUAUCAAAGGACUUCUAAACUCCAACUUCUAAAAGUCGGCACAAGAUCAAGUGCAAAUCUUCUUUAACCAAUGGGAGCAAUAAUUAUCAAACUGAAGUGCAAAAAUACUCCAUUACAAAGGGUUGGAAGGAAAGUUACAUUACAAGAAUUCCUCCCCAAAAUGCUACUCGAUGCAUGAGCCUAAACUGCAAGUCAAGACGCUUCUCGACGCACGAGCCUAAACUGCAAGUCAAAACGCUCCUUAAGGUACGAGCUUAAACUGCAUGUCACUCUUGGCCCGCAUGUGUCUAAAAUGUGAAUGACUCUAAAAUAAAAAAAAGAAGGAAAAGUAUGAAGCUUGAAUACAUAUUUGGAGUCCUUUGAAGAUGUCAUCUUAAAGCAAAAGGAUUCUUUAUUAUCUCUCAAGCAAUAAAGUCUUCUCGACAAGAAAAAGACUUGUGGUACUUUGAAUAAUGCUCUAGUCUGGCCUUCAACAUAUUACUAAAGUGAUGCGACCCAAAGCUUGAAGUAGAUGAUAAAAUUCAUGAAGUAUCCAAAAUUUGAGAAGAAAUAGAAUAUCACAAGAUUUAGGCUGCAACUUUGGAAAAGUAUCUGAGAAACUAUAGAGGUUAUAUUUUGAUGGAUUUCACGUUUAACAUAGAUUUGUGAGUCUACAUUCCAAUACAAAAAACGAAACCUGAUUCCGAUACUUUCAUGUCAAGAUAUGAAAUUUAUCGUGACGCUGCGCAAAGCUGAAAUAACCAGCGAACCAAGAUUAGAAGGCUGUUUUUGAAGCAAUAUUUGGGAAAAUUCGGAUGCAAUAAUUAUGAUUUCCUCGUGAGACGUAUCUCUGUGAGUUUACUUUCUAAUGCAAAAAACGGAACCUGAUUCCGAUACUUUCACGUCAAGAUAUAAAAUUUAUCAUGAUGCUGUGCAAAGCUAAAAUAACCAGCGAACGAAGAUUAGAAGGCUGUUUUUGGAGCAAUAUCUGGGAUGAUUCGGAUGCAAUAUAAUUGUGGUUUCCAUGAGAGACAUAGCUCUGUGAAUCUACUUUCUGAUGUAAAAAAAUAGAACCUGAUUCUGAUACUCCUACAUCAAAAUAUAGAAUUUAUCAUGACGCUGCGCAAUGCCCAUAAAAUAGGACAUUGAAUUCCAUUUUUAUGAAUCAAACAACUCAUAAUUUUGUUCUCCCAUCGGAGAAUAAAUAUUUUUGUGGACAUAUGCCUGGUACUUGCUCACCAAAGUCAGAAGAGCCUACUCCCUGUGUCAAUAUUAUCAAGCUGGAUGACACCAUGUACGUGCUCCUUGAAAAGAAUGGGAUGCUCUUACUCGAAGCCUCUUUAUCGUCGAGCCCCACGGAUGAGAUGCACGACACGCUUGCUUUGCAACGAUGGACUGCAGACACUCAGAAUUUCAUCAUCACAAGGUCGCAAGAAUGACACCAAGUACAUGCUCACUGAAGCUACAAUAGAAAACUUUCAGCGUCGUCAAGGAUAAAAUCAAAUCAUUCUAAGUGACUUUCUUAUCAAGCAGUAAGGAAGUAGUGCACUAAAUAGUUCAACAUCAGUCAUGUCUACCUUUUUGGUCUGACAUCAAGACCAUUUGCAUAAGCCUGCACAAAAAAAAUAAAGAUGUAACACAUCUACAGUGUUGACCGGAUGAAGCUUCUCGGUUCUAUGCGGAUUGAUGCCAACUAUGUGAAACUUCAAUCUGGUGAUAAGUGUCGGUACCUCUAUGCGGAUUGAUGCCAACUAUGUGAAACUUCAAUCUGGUGAUAAGUGUCGGUACCUCUAUGCGGAUUGAUGCCAACUAUGUGAAACUUCAAUCUGGCGAUAAGUGUCGGUACCUAACGCACGAUGCUUCAAUUUGGCAUGAUCAACAUUGGGAGAAACAAAUACCUUUAAAAUCACGAGAAUGAAAACACAUUCAUGAGUACUUCAAAUCUCGCCGCCAAGUUUCGGCAAGCCUACACGUCGACCAACCUUGAAGUAGGAGACAUCUGUAGACACAUAAAAUUUAUUGGAUCAAAUUCAUAUAAUAUGAAUUUGAGCCAUAUGUUAUUGGGUUUAAACUUAUUUUGGACUAAAUAAAAUAGUAAGCCUAUUUUAUUCUUCAUCAAGGUCCAUCUCACGUUGAAGCCCAAACUCAUCAAGUGACGUGGCAUCCUAGUCAAAUCCAAAACCAAUGAGACGCCACCAUAUGUACAAAUGAUGUGGAAAUCCCAUUCAAAUUCAACAAUCAGUCAAAAGGUGCCACGUGUCAAAGUGACAUGUUUCGGCCAAUCACAAGCAACUAGGCCCACCCCCACAACUAUAAAUAGGGGGUAACAAAAGAAAAAAAGGAGGACAUUCUGCUAGCAUUGGAGGAAGUUUCUGCAUUGACUACACAGCUCUUCAAUGAAUUGACUAACGGAGUUCUGCCCGGAGAUCAACUCGACAAGACGAAGUGUUGUAAUACAAUUCCUAGAGAUCCAAACACAUUUUUAGGAGGUUCAAAUCAUCCUACAUUCGAGAAUCAUGCUGUAAAGGCCCUCGAAUCACGAAAAAACUUAGGAGAGAAGAAUCGAGAGAAUAACGGAAUUGUACCCGCAAAAUUUAUUUAUAUAAAGUUAUUCUUUUUGUUUAUUUUAUUUUUGCUCGCAGUUAAUUUUCAGCGUUAACGAAAACUUGUUGCGAACAUUAAUGAAGAGCAAAAAGUUCAAACAAAAUUUCUAAUGUCCUUUACACUUUUGAUAUAAAUGAGUGAAUAAAAUUAAUUAGUUAAAUUUAAAAGCGACUACAUGUGGUCGCUUUUAUUAAAAUUUAAUUAAUUAAUUAAUUAAAAAUAGCGACCACUUAUUAAAAUUAAUUAAUUAAAUAUGUAUAAUUUAAUUAUAUAUUUCUCCUUUUACUCUCAUUGGUCUCUUUCUUCCCCCUCCGCCAUUGCAGGUAGAAUGAACGAAACUUCCUUUGACAAUUUGGAGGAAGACGUCGUAAUUCUUAUACUUGAGACUUUUUAGUCCAAGGAUUUAUUUUUUUCCCUUGCAGUUUUGAUAGAGGCUCGUCCUUGGCCACAACCUCUAAGGGUAGCUAGAGUCGUAGUGACAUCAGGCAAAACUGGUGUUUCUCUUGUGUUUUCAAAACAACAACAAAACAACUCUGAAUUAUCAUAAUAUCAUUUUUAUAUAUAUUACUACUCCCUCCGUUUUAUUUUAUGUAUCGUCAUUUUCUUUUUGGUCCAUCCCAAAAAGAAUGUCAUCUUUUCUUAUUCGGUAACUAUUUAAUGAUAUUAUCACCAUCUUAUGUCUUACUAAAUAAGAAAAAACAACUAAAAAGUAAACAAUAAUGUAACUUUAAGAGGAGCAAUUUUAUAAAUUAUACAAAGUCAUCACUUAUUUCAUAAACUCUGUGUUCAGUCAAAUGACAAUACAUAAAAUGAGACGGAGGGAGUAAUAUAUAUAAUUGUGAUCAAGCAAGUAGCAGCUCGUCGUCAUGGCUGCUUGUCGACCAAAGGGUAGUUUUGGUAUAUUUAAAAUGUAUUGCUUUGAUUAUGUUGUAUCAGAUGUUGCGCCCAUUUUUUCUUUCUCAAUUGGCCAAAAAUGCCACAAUACACUUAUUUAUUGAUUUUUCUACGUGCCUCAUUGCCUAUUUUAUACUGCUGAAAGUGUGGCUAUUUUAUAUGUGCAACUCUUUCAAAUUCACUCAUUCAAAAAGUGGGUUCCAGUAAAUUUUUACAUAAAUUUUGUGCUUUUUCUGAUUUUUUUAUUAGCAUUUUAAUAGUUGUCUCAGUAGUAAUUUUCAUAACUAAAUAUGUUUGUGAUUGUUGAAAUGUUGUGUUAAUUUAAUAUGAAAAAAAAAAAAAAAGCACAAUGAUUAAAUGAACUCCUGCAUUUGUUCAAGUUUAUAAAAUGAACACUUUUAUAUAUUUUUUUGUUAUUUGAAUCUUUUAACUCGUUAAAACAUAAUAUUUUAAAUUUUUUUAACCAUUGAUCGAGUAUAUGUGUCAUUAAAUUAUUGAGCUGAAAGAAAAUUAAUAAUAUUUAACAAAAAAGUAUAUGAUAUGUCCGUUUCAGCUGCUUCAACGGUAAUUUUACUAUAUCACUCCUAAUUAAUUAUUAUAAGUCAUCUAAGUAUUAAAAAAUAAUAAUAUCUAAUAAAAAAAUAAAAUAGACAUAAAUUGAUAAGUUAACUCUUGAUAUUUUAAAUUAACUCGACAUCUUAUAUGAGGUCCACUUAAAUUUUUUUCACAAAUAUUUUUAUAGUUGUGUUAUUUCACUUUUAAUUAGUUAUUAUGAGUCAUUUAAGAAAUGUUUGUUUCGCUACUUCAAUCCGGUUGACUCUUAUGUAUUAGAAAAUUAAUCAUGUUUAAUAAAAAAAGUAAAAUAGAUAUUUUUGACAUGUCUGUUUCAGCUACUUCAACCGUAAUUUUACUAUAUCACCCUUAAUUAAUCAUUAUAAAUCAUCUAAGUAUUAAAAAAUUAAUAAUAUUUUUAAAAAGGUAAAAUAGACAUAAAAUGAUAAAUUAAGUGUUGAAGUUUUAAAUUAACCUGACAUUUUAUAUGAGGUCCACUUAAAUUUUUUUCACAAGUAUUUUUUAUAGCGAUUUUGCGAUAUCAUUUCUAAUUAGUUAUUAUCAAUCAUUUAAGACAUGUCUGUUUCGCUACUUCAAUCGUGAUAUUUGAUUGACUCUCAAAAUUAUAUAGUGUCACUUAAAUUGAAAUAGAAGAAAAAGUAAUAUAAAUUAAUAAUAAAAAAUUUAAACUAUUUUUAAAAUAUAAUUGACAAUCAAUGCCACAAUAGUUUGGACAAGGAGAAUAUUAUAAAUUAUAAUAGCUAAUAGCUUAAAAUAGUAAAUUAUAAUGUCAAAAAAUUAUUUAAAUUAUAAUAGCUAACAACUUAAAAUAUUUUUAAAAUAUAAUUGAUUAUCUAAAUUUUAUUCUUGUCACAUAAAUUGAGAUAAAAAAAAUAACAUAUAUUGGACUCAUCCCAGCACGGGUCCUUGAAUAUCUAAUAUUUAUAUACUUAAAGACCUCGUAUUUAAAUUUGAUUUUAGAGCACUAAUUUUAUUGAGAGGAUGGUAGCUUCUUUCACUAAUUCCAAUUCAUGAAUGGCAGAGAAAACCUCAGAGGCAGCACGAUUUUUUGUAUUCAUAUAGUUUUUUUUUAUUUUUUUAUUCAAGCACUCCCCCUGUUUCAUUUAUGGAAUUCAGAGAAAGGGGGACUAUACCUUACCCCUUGAUAUACAAUCAGAGAUAGGUGGUGAUCCAAGGAAUACCGUGGCCUUACACUAGGCACCUGUCUUUUGUCUAGCAAGUAAGGUCCAAGGACCUCAUUAGGUAAUUCUGCGCAAUGAGAGGAGUAUCUAAUGUAGUGGCUAAUUUUGCUAAGCAGUCUCUAUAACAAUGAGUGAAAACCAUGUCAUUAUUCUCGAUGAGCGCACCGAUCUCCUCAAUAAUAGGUUUAAGAAUCAGAUUGUUGGACGUUUUGUUCUCAGCCACGAUGCUAGAGUCGAAGUUCAAUGGUACAACAUCUAAGAUUAGCGUUCUUGAUCCAUUGAGCCGCAUACUUUGCUGCCAGAGGUUCAACCACAUUGUGCUUUUGGCAUUUUACUGGAACAGCAUGCGCAAAGAUCAUAUUCCCAUCCCCAUCUCUGGCAACUCCACCAAUGCCUGCCUUGCCGUUCUGCUCCAUAAAGCUUCCAUCUGUAUUGAUCUUUAUCAUUCCCGCUUGAGGCCUGCUCCAAAUAACUAAACUUCUACUGACUUUCUCGAUCACUUCGCAAAGUUGAUUCCAAAGAAUUUGAUGCUCCAUUCUUCUUGGGUACAAUCUGCCGUAUCUACAAGCACAUCUGACCUUCCACAUCUCCCAGCAAAUAAUGACCGGUAGUAUUUGAACGAUCAGCUUGUGAAUAGUAUUCUUGGUUGGAGUACUCCACCAAUCUUUUAGAAAAAUUCUUGCAGAUUUUCUUUGAUAACUGAUGGAUGCCCAAAAUAUUUCCAAAGAGUUUGUGCAACCUCACUCUCAAAAAAGAAAUGUUGAACUGCACAACAAAGACAAUCGGUUGGCAUCUCAUCAACAAACCUGCAAACUGAGCAAAUGGCAAUUUAUUUUUAAUAAGUCUCCAAGAAAGGAAAGAUAUUUUAAAAGGAACUAUUGAUCAUCUGGUCAAUUUGCCUGUGAACUCCGAUGUUGUUCCAGGCUUCUUUGUUGGAAAAAAUUCCAUCAGCAGCUGGUUUCCAGAUGAUGUAGUCAUUUUUGUUAGGAGCGCCUAUUUUAAUAGUGUAUAUGUGCUGACAGAUCCAAUCAGGGAGAACGUCAUGAAGUUUUCUCAUAUUCCAUCUCUGAUUGUCAAUGAAAUUUCUGACCUUGGUCCUUAUAGAAUGGUUAUGUUGUGGAUAUAAAUGGGCAAUAGCAUCAAGUCCAGUCCAAUUGUCUCACCAAAAACUACAUUCUACAUUCUGAAUAUUCCAAAUCAUAUUUGGUUCUGCUUUUGUUCUUAUUUUAGUCAAAGUGCUCCAAAUAUGAGAGUUUCCAGAAACCCAAACCUUGUUUAACUGGAUGGGCUCUAAUGCAGUAUUUUGCUUAGUGAACUUGGACCAAAGAGAAUCCUGGCAUCUGAACCUCCACCACCUUUUUAUGUUGAGACUCUCACAAAUAUCAGCCAUUUUUUCGUAUUCCCACUCCUCCUUCCUCUUUAGGAAAGCAUAAGUUCUCCCAUGAACUCUAGUGGUAGUUGUUCUCCCCAUUUGUGGAUCCCCAAAAAAAUCUGACAAAAUGUUUCUCCAUAAGCUUUAUAAUGCCCUUUGGGGGACUUAAAGUGGUGAGAGUGUAAAUUGACAAAGACUGAAGGACAUGUUUAAUAAUAAGCACAAUUCUUGCCCCCAAACGAUAACAUGUUACUCUGCCAUCCAUUCAACCUUUUGAUAACCUUGGAAAGCUAUUUUUCAAAGUAUUCCACUCUCUUUUUACCAACAUAAAUCGGGCAUCCCAAAUAAUCAAAAGGAAAUUGCUUACCCAGAAAGCCUGUUGCAUCUCUUAUUUUGUUGAUUCUGCUUGGUCCAGUCCCGGGGGCUGUAAGGAAAAAACACUUGUUGCUCAAUUCAUCUUCUGGCCUGAACAUCUCUCAUACCAAUGAAUUUGUUUCAUCACCAUUUUAAUGAAUUUGGUUUCGCCACUGGUAAAUAUUACAAUAUCAUCUGCAUAAGACAAAUGGUUAAUAAUAGGACCUGUAUUAGACAUAGAAAAAGGCAAGAAAUGUUCACUAUGAAUUAGAUUAUUAAGCAGCCUAGCUAAAACUUCCGCACCAAUUAUAAAAAGAGGAGAGAGAGGAUUUCCCUGUUUAAGGCCCUUAGGUGGAGGUAAAAAACCUAUUUCUGGUUCUAUUAAUUAUAAUGGAAUACCAUAUAUUGGAGAUAAUCCUCAUGAUCAUGUCAAUGACUUCUUUAGAAAAAACAAACCUUCUUAAGACAGCAAUAAGAAAGGACCACAACAUUCUGUCAUAUGCCUUAGUCAAAUCGAGUUUGAUGACCACAUUCCCUCCUUUGUUCUUGCUUUUGAGAUUAUGCACAAUUUCCUGAGCUAAUUGAAUAUUCUCUGUAAUAAGCCUUCCUUUAAGAAAACCACUUUGAUUUUCUGAUAUCAUAAGAGGCAACAUAGGAUUAAGUCUUUUGGAAAUAAUCUUGGUAAUAAUCUUACUAGAAAAAUUGCUCAAGCUAAUAGGUCUGAAAUUCAGAGAGGUUGUCUGGGCACUAUACUUUAGGGAUUAGUACUAGAAGGGUGUGAGUGAAGAAUUUGGUCAGUUUUCCUCCGAGAAAGAAAAACUGUACAAAUUCUAUCACAUCCUUUUUAAUAAUAUCCCAACAAGUAUGAUAGAAUUUCCCUGAAAAUCCAUCAGGUCCAGGUUCGCUAUCUGUGCUCAUAUUGAAUACCGCAUCUUUAAUCUCAUCUUCAUCUGAACAUGAAGUCAUAAUCCUGUUAUCAUCAUCAUUAAUGCAAUUGGGAAUACACUCCAAGAUCCUUGGAUCAACUGUAGCACUUUUUAAUUAAAAAGUCGCUUAAAAUAUUUGAUAGCAACUUUGGCAAUUUUAUCAUCACCAGAGACCCACUUUCCCUUCUUAUUUUUGAUUCUAUGUAAACAUAGAUUUCUUCUUCUGUCUCUUAUCAUCGCAUGAAAAUAUUUGGUAUUACUGUCACCCUCCUCAAACCAUCUGACAUGAGAUUUUUGCCUUGAAAAAUUGUUCUGUUUAUUGAGCCAACAAAUAUAUUCUGCCUGCCCUUUAUUCAGUUCCUCCCUGGUAUCUUCAGUUCUCAAAUUCAAGUCCAUAUCCUCUAGUACUUGCAUUUUUGCCUCUCAGAUAUCAGCUUGUUCAUUCAAAUCUCUAAUAUCUUCCUUCCCUUGACCAUUUGGAUAGUCUUUUUUCUAGGAGUUUGAGUUUCUGUUGUAAUCUCCACAUCGAGUUACCUUCAAUGACCUUACUCUAUUCAUUACUCACAAUCUCUAGAAAAUCUUGAUGAGUAGUCCAGAAGUCCAGAAAUUUAAAGUAUUUUAUACAAAUAUUGUUUCCGUUACCACAUCGCAACAACAAAGGUCUGUGGUCCGGUCCGGUCCUUGGUAAGUGUUUAACAAUGUUGGAACAAAACAUUUGAGACCAUCAUCUAUCAUUGAUAAACACCCUAUCCAGUCUUUUCCGAAUUCUUGUGCUUGGUCUCCAAUUGUUGCACUAAGUGAAUUUGGAACCAGUGUACCCCCGAUAUCGAUCAUACCACAAGAAUCCAUACAUUCAGCAAAAUCAUAACUUUCAGCAUUUCUAUGGGGAAAACCUCCCAAUUUCUCUUUGGGGUGGAGAAUCACGUUAAAAUCUCCCCCAAUACACCAAGGAUGACUAAUAAUAGCAUUCAUAGUUGCCAAACUCCUCCAUAUUUCAAUUCUUUCGAUACGAGUGCAUUUUCCAUAACUAGCAGUAACAUAUAACUCCUGGCUGUUAUGGUCUUUUUGAACUUUCAAAGUAAUAUGUUGAUCAUGGUUCUCAAUGGUAGUAACAGUACAAUUCGCUCUCCAGAAACACCAUAUCUGUCCGUUGAUAUUUGUAGUGCAGUGGUUGAAUCCCAAAAAUCUUUUAUACCCUUCCACUUUGUUCAUACUCACCAUCGGUUUUGAAAUAACGAUCAUAUCCAAGUUAUAUUUGUUAGCCAUCCUUUUGAGUCUAUGAAUGGCUUUUCGAGACCUCACCCCUCUUAUGUUCCAAAUGAUUGCACUAAUCAUUAGGAUACGUUAAAAGGUUGGAGUUUUUAUUUCUACCCCUCCUUAAAGGAGGUGUCGAUUUCAUUCUGCGGGAUAUGUUUCUUCUUUUGUGCAUGCUUCUGCCUCUCUUUACUGGAGAGAUGUCAUUUCUAUCACAUGUCUGUCUCAUAUGUUGUUGGGCAUCACUUUCCUUUUCAAUUCUCUCUAUUGAUUCCUCGCACUCUGUUAGAUUUUCAUUAGUAACCUCCAAAUUUUCAUCAUCUGUAUUGCCAAUCACUUCUUGAGAACUGUAUGUGUCCAGCAUAUUAUCAUUUAGAUCCACAACAAGAUUAAUAGCAGGCAUGUUCUUUACGUUGUUAGGAACACUAGUGGAUUCAUCAGGAGUAUUACAUUUUUCUUUAAUGUUAUCUCCUGUAUCCUCCCCAUAUUUCAUCAUCUGUUUUCCAUUUGCUGCAUUUUCUUCAUUGCCGUGCUCAUUUGAGUCCUGUAGUUUGUUGUCAUCUUUUUCAAUCGUCGUGUUCACGAUCUCUAAACUUUUUGCUUCUUCUUUGGUGCUCAUACUCCCCCUUAUUUGUUGAAGGUUGAUGUUAGAAUCCUGCUUCUCCGAAUCGCACGUGAUCUGAUCCUUGGCCAUAUCCGUCCCAAUUUUCGCUUUCACCUUGGUUCUUUUUUUUUGGGACUUUUUUCUUCUUUUUAUUCUUGAUUUUGUUGAGCCUAUUCUUUAAAACAGAGCUCCCAUUCUCCAAAUCCCCUCUGGUCUUGCUUUUUCUUUGCUCCCUAUCGUUCUGAUUGCUCUCAGAAGUCCUUUCACUAUUAACUUGUUGUAAAUCAUGAUCUUUUUGCUGUUGUUUCCUCUUGCUGUCCAAUUUUCCAUUGCCAGCCUUUUCUAGUAGGCAUGCCAAUUUCCAUGGCUUCAUUAGUAUUGUCCUUCUUAUCCUCUUGAUUUUUUGAUUGAUUGAUAGUCCUUGUUGCAGCCUCAUUCUCAUUAGUUCCACUAGAUUCAGCAACAUCUCUGUCUUUAAUUUGAUUUUGCACAGCAGCCUUUUCCUCAUUCUUUUUUUGCUCUAUUUUUCGACACUGCGUAAUAGAAUGCCCCAAAAUUUUGCAACGUCUACAGAACUUUGGCACAUUCUCAUAUUCGAGCUUCUGGUAAAAACCUUUAGGCGGACUGGGACCCCACAAAAAUGGAGUUAAAUCAACUUCCACUCUUAUUUUAGCCAUACUUGGCCGAGAUUUGUCAUGACUAGCAGCGAGAUUUGCCGGCACCCCCAUAGGGACGGGGCGUGAAGCUCAGACGCAAAAAAGUGACCAAAGGUAACGUUGACAACAACGGUCUCAAAGUUGUACGGAGAGAAUUUUCUUUUUCACCAAAUUGAUUUUUGUUUUUUAACUCCUUGAAAUAACAAUAGAGAAAUUGGAUAACAAUGACUAAAAGCUAGAAUUAAUAAUGAUUACACUGAAAAACAAAAUCAGUUCAUGGGAGUUAUUUUUAGAUGAAUUUUCUUUUUUAUCAAAAAAGGAAUCUGAAAGAACAUAAAAAGGGAAUUUUUGGAGCCAAGAAAUUGAUUUUAUUUCUAAUUUGGAUUUUAAAAAAUGUUGGGGAUUUUAUUUCUAAUUUGGAUUCUAUGCAUUUAAUCACUUUGCUGAUGUUAUAAAAAGUGCCUAUUUUAUCAACGGUCUUUAUCAAUUCAGCUUUAAAAAUGGGUUUUUAGACGAGAUCCAAUUAAAUAUCUAGCUUAUUACACUCUCUUUGGAUCAUUGUUAUUUACCACCGUUAUAUAAUUCAUUGUAUCAUAUCUUAUUAUUCUAUUGCAUUGUACGGUAUUGUAUUUAUAAUAUUUGUAGAGAUUGUAUCAUUUAUUAUUUAUUGUUGUUUAAUUAAUAAUAUUUUUCUUGUUUGAUUUGAUUUUAUCACAAUAUAUUGUAAAUGAUAAGCUUAUAAAAUGCCUUAAAUAAUUGUAGAUAUUAAAUUUAUCAAUAAUUAGUAAUAAAAAUAAUAUAAGACAAUUUUUUGAGUAAAAAAUGUUGUUUUUUUUUUUGGUUUCUCAAGGUAUCCCUCAACCCGACAGGUCAAGGACUCAUGCACAAGGCGGGAAUCGAACCCCCGACACUUGCUUAAGCGACCUAGUGAGCUAACCAUUUGACCAAUCAAGCUUGGUUAAAAUGUUAUCAAUUCUACAUUAUAAUUAUAUUAAAGCUAUUAAAUUCAGGUAAACUCAGACAAUUCAACUGAGUGAAUGAACAUAAUUAAACUAUUAAAUGACACAUAUGCUACCCGGAAAUGUGUAGAAUAAAGCAUGCAACUCAAACAAAAUGUAGGAGGAGACAAGAUGAAGAAAGAAAAAGAGAGUAGACUUACAAAGCAAAAAGAUGACGAGGCAAAAGAAGGAAAACGUAGGUGUUUGGUCAUGGAAAUGAUAAAAUAGAAUUAUGAAAUAUUUAUAGGUGUUUGGUUAUGGAAAUCAAUUUUUUUUUUUAGUGAGAGUUUGGAGUUGUGUUUGAUCAUAAAUAUAAAUUGGAGUUGUUUUUGACUUUUCGUGAGAGAAGCAAAAGUGAAAAAAAAGGCACUUUUUCGAAUACAAUUCAAAUUGUAUUUGGAAUUCUUACGAUCAAACACUACAGUUUUUACUAACCCAAUAAGAAAAAUCAAAAUCGAACCAAUAAUAACCCAAUUAAAUUUUCUUAUAAAAUCAUUAAAAACGGUUAAUCCAAUAACCCAAUAACAAUAAAUCAAUAGCAUUUUUAUCAAUUUGAUCUUUGUAUACCCCUACACGUGACGGUUACUCGAGAGCCUACACCACUAGUUUUGUGGCCUCACCAUCUCGAGUCGCUUACCCCGACCAAGCCAAGACCUUACUCCUAGUCCUGACAUAAGACCCCAACCUAGAACCUAACCGGAAACCUGACCCCUAAAUUCAAUCCAGACCUAGAUCCUUACUUGGUACCCAACUCCGAUCCAAAUCCCGACCAAAGAUAAUACAAAUUAAAAGUCAACCCCAAGUAGAGACCUAAAUAUCAACCUUGAGUCUUGAUUUUGACCCCCACCAAGGACCUGAAAUCCAACUUUUCAUCCAAACCUUGACGCUAAGACCCAACUCCUAAUCCCUACUCAAGACCUAAGACUUAGCCCCCUGACCUUAACUCCAUACCUUGUAUAUCCAACACCCAACUCACAAUCGUUAUCCGACUCGACAAUGAAGACCCAACUUUUGACCCUAACCUAAGAUCCAAUUCUAAUCUUGAUCCAGGAUCCAAAAGCUAACUCCCAAUCCUGACUCGAGAUUGGAGACCUGACUCUCAAUUCUGACAUAGGAUUAGGUUUCAUCUCCCACUCGACAAAUCUAAGUCCAUCGACAGACGACACGUAGCUUCCUUUACUUUUUGCAUUUACUUUUAUUUUACUUUACAACGUGAUACUUUAUUUCUCUAUGUGUCUAUCCACUCCAAAUUAAAGUCGAGUUAAAUGCAGAUGUAGAGGUACCCACGAGAAUGGUUCAGUAUCAUUCGUAAUAAAGAAGGAAAAAAACAAAAUUAAGAUAACAUUAUCAUCUUUGCUAGCUAUACAUGGCACAUAUAUGUAUAUAUCAUGCGAUAAUAUUAUACUAAACCAAAGAAAAAACCAAAAUUAACAUAACAAAUUUUGUAAACUCUGACGCAGUUUAUCCACCGUUUGCCAUCUCCAAAUUAGUAUAAAUACGCAACACUCAAUAUACAAUUACAUUCAUUCCAUGCAUUAAAAAAAAGAUCUUAUAUAUACAAAUUAAGGAAAUUAAAUUAAGUUAUAAUCAUGAAGGCUGUUGCAGUAGUACUAGUUCUAGUUGUGCUGGCCGCGGUUAAGCUAGCCAUGGCUGGGCGGCUAGAACAACAAACCGGAAUCACCUGUGGUCAAGUAGACGCCAAUUUGGCACCCUGUGUCUCAUUCCUGACACAGGGUGGCGAGCCCAGUGCAGCCUGCUGCAGCGGGGUCAAAACCUUGAGCGGUCUGGCUCAGUCCACUGACGAGAGGAGGACAGCUUGCAACUGUCUCAAGGCUGCAGCAAACCGAUAUGCCAACCUUAAAGAUGAUGCCGCACAGGCUCUCCCUGGCAAGUGUGGUGUAGCCCUCAAUGUUCCUAUCUCCAGGACCAUCAACUGUGACACGUAAGAAUUUAACUUAUAUGUACAAGAUAGCAUGAAAUAAUUUUCAUACUGUACGUCAAGUUACCUAAUUAAAAGAUAACAUGAACCCUCCAUAAUAAGUUAGACUAGUAAUUAACUUGGGAAUUAGGGCAUUUGACCUGCUAUAAUUGAUGUUUCUACUAUUAGUGAGUCUUACGUACGUAUUUUUUCUCUUACGUGCGUGAAACUAUUAUGAGGUUUUGUACUACUUCUUCAUCCCAAUUUAUACUAUACAUUUUUUAAGUUUGUCCAGGAAAAAAAAACGAUAUCUUUCUAAAUUUGAAAAUAAUUGAAAUUUAAAAUUUCAUUUUACCCCUUAAGGAGAUGAUUAACAGACACUAGAUAAUAACUUUCUAAAGUUUCUUUUUUUUUCUUGAAUUUUAUCCGCAGUCAAAAAUUGUCACCUACAUAAAUUGAGAAUGAAAGAGUACUUAAUUAGCACUAAUUUACUCCCUUACCUAAAUGUUUUAUAUUUAUACUUACCAUCAAACAAUCUCUAAUUUUGCUCUUUUCUAAUCUCGUCUGCAGGGUCAGUUAGUUAAAUCAGCAGGGUGCAUGGUUCCGGGAAUAAUGCUUUGCAAUGGUGUUAAUUAGUUUAGUUAUACAUACAUAUAUAUAUAUGUACUAUUAAAUAAACCAAGGGUUGUUAAACCCUUGAACGUAGUAUAUAUACUCAAUUACUAUGCAGUAAUUUGAGUAGUUUACUGUUUAGCGAAUGUAUUUUGUUUAUAAUAAGAGUUUAAAUGAUCUAUACAUAGACGUUGCUCUUUUAUCUUUGCGUUUAAUCAGUGGUUUAGAAUGCAGAGGCGCUUUACUAGUAAAAUAGUAUAAACAAAAAAAAGUACUUUAUAUGUUUUUGAAAAAAAAUUAAUAGGUUUAAAAAAUUAAAAAUAUGAUUGAAGAAACUCAUAGAACUUCUAACAUGAUUGGACAAGUACUUAUAAUGCAUGCAAUGAUAUAAAAAUUAUUUUAAGAUGUAAAUGCUCUAACAUCUUAACACUCAAACAACAAAAGCAUCACAAUUUCUUAAAAUGUGUUAAUACCAUACCAUACAAUUUAAUUACCCACUAAAGGAAAUUAACUAAUGAACUUUAUUUUAUAUUAUAAUUAAAACUUUAGACAUCACUCCUGAAUAGAAAUAAAAUUACUUUCAAAUAGAGAAAUAACAAGAUAAUUUUGAGAUAUUUGACAAAAUAUAAAGAACAAUGAUAAGUGAAGAUGAAAAAUUAGAAUACAUAUAUUUAAAAAAUAUUAAGUGAUAUUCAACUCAUUGUGUUUUCAAAUGGUAAAUAUAUAUGCAAUAAUACAACUUCUUAUUUGAGUAAUUCUUAAUUUUCCUAUUUCUAUAGAUGAGAAGUUAUCAAGUACAAUUCCUUUAUUAAAAAUUAUGUGAGUCAACAGUGUUAGCUUAUAAGGAAUUUGACAGUGCAUAUUUUAUUUAAGUACGAUAUAUUAACGAAGAUCGGGUCUUAGUGUGUGUUUGGAAGAGAUAUAAUUUAGUUAAAAUAGAUUAUAAGUUGUUUUUUGCUUAAAAAUGUGUUUGGCAAUUUUUGGAAGUGCUUUAAAAAAAGUUAUUUUUGACAUUUUUUAAGCCAAAAACAAGAAGCUUUAAAUCCUAACUUUUUUUUUUGGAACUUAUAAUCUAUUUAAGUUGACCAAGUAAAUUACCUUUGUAUCCCUUGUAAUUAUUCCUUAUUCCAAUUUUACCCUUUAUCCCUAAUUCUCCUUCAUAGAACACUUCACACAAACACUUUCAUUUCUCUGAGAAAAUCCACGCCGCUGCCAAACCAAUGAUGAAAUUAUUUGACCAUAUUUAUUUAUGUUUAAUAAAAACAAUAUUGGUGAGUGACAUUUGCGAAUCUUCCAAGUGGACUCAUUUACGUGAUGUUUAUUAUUUUAUUUUUGACAAUAUAGUCUAAAAUACUGGUUAAUCAUUAAAUUAUUUUCCAUAUUUCGAAUAGACAUAAAACUCUAAUGCAAUAAUUUAGGAAAUAAAUCUAAAUAGUAUAAUUAGUUUAUUUACACUCAAUUUGAUCAUUUUAAAAUUGGAGAGGAUCCAUUCUAGGGCACAAUAAUGGAUAUGAAAGUAAUGUGCAUUGGGUGUGGCUUUGUGAUAUGAUUGUUAAUGAUAUUUGUAAUGCUUAAUGCUUGAACUAAUUAAAUAUUUUCACCUUUUGUAUUUAUGGCGAAUUUAACUCUAGCCAUAUUAGUACCUUUUUUGUAUGAAACUAUUUAUCUAUUAAUGUAAUUAUAAUGAUUAGUAAAAUAUAUAUAUUUUGCUUAAUAAUAAGCUCGACAUAUAUAUUAAUAUAAUCCUCGAAGGUUAAAAGCAACAAGUCCAGUUUAAUAAGAAAUGGAAGUGUCGUCACAAAUUGCACCUUAAUGAUACGAAAUCUUAACGUAACCAAGAAGAAACAAAUAAUCUUUUAAUAUAUAACUAUUUUUUUCAAAUACAAACAUUCAACACUUAAACUUUUUUAAAAAAUAUUUUUUUAGCGCACAAAUUAAUAGUCAUUCAUGAAAAUAUUUUUUUUAAUAUAUAUAUAUAUAUAUAUUAAAAUAUAUAUUAAUUUUCAUUUGAAUCAUUUGAGCAACAAAAAUUAAUAAUAAUCAACUCUAUAUAUUACUAACAAUUAUAACGAUAUUUCAGUUAUUUUGACAAAAAAAAGUGCUUAAAAACAUUAUUUACCAAUCACAUCAAUUACUUUUUUUCAGUUUCAGCACUUUUAUCCAAACACUUAACUACUUAUUUUUAAAAUAAGUUCAUCACUUUUAAAGAUUUUUUUUUCAGCCACGUUUUUUCAGCCUAUCCAAACGGACUCUUAUGCCUGUUUAUGACGAUCAAUCAGACACUUAUGACGUAUGUUUUACCAAAACUAAGUCUCACACGUGAGACUCGAGAUAUUUUACCAGUGCCACACUUCGAGACAGCCCCAAAUGAAUUUCCAAAACUAUUUUCUGAAACACUAUUUUUAACGAAUGUCUUCUGUAUAUAGUAAGCAUUCAAAUGGUCUAGGCAUAAAUGUUACCUUUUAUUUUUGUUUCUAACAAGUGCCUUCUGUCUAUAAUAAGAGUUAAAAUCGUUUCUACAUAAUUUUUUUUUUUUUUUUAAAAAAGACAGUUUGAUGUACUAAAACUUCCGCUAUGCGUAGGGUUCGGGGAAGUGCCCCACCAUAAAGGUAUUGUGUUAGGUUCAAAAGCAAGAAGACGUCAUGCGGAAGCUAUUAUUUGUAAACUAUGAGACGAUAAAUCAGACAACAAAAAAAACAAUACUAAAAAGCAUAAAAUUAUUAUAUGUUUUGACCAAUUGGACUACAUAUAAUAAAACCUAAUAUUAAAAACAUAAAAAUUAAUGAGAGAGGAAAUCUCUCUCUAAACAAAUUAAAACUCUUAAACGACUAUACUGUGGAUGCUACUGUGUUAUGGUAUGAGAAGAGAGGGUCUUCUAUUUAUAAAGUUCCAAAAUCUUUCCUCUUAUUAGCCAAAUAUGGAAAAGUUUUAUAGUUUUCUUUUAGGAAAAUUAAAAGUAAUUAUGGUAUUAUUUUUAUUUUUCUUUCAAGAAAAGUAAAACUUAAUUUUGGAAAGAAAAUCAGGGCCAAAACCCUAACAUAUUGUACGCAACCUUACCUUGCAUUUCUGUCUGAGGUUGUUUUCAAGAUUUGAACCCAUGACGUCACAUGGUAGCAACUUUACCAGUUACUCCAACGUUCCCCUUCAAAAUAUUUGUUAUUAAAGUUUCUACAUAAAUAUUGUUUAAUAUAUUUGAUCUUAUGGAGUAUCUACAUAAAUAUUGUUAAAUGCUUUUGAAAUAAUAUUUUUUUACUUGCUUAUCAAAGACUAAAAAGUAAAUUAAAUCCACCUGUUUUUCAGAAAAAAUAUUUUCUAGGAAAUCAUUUUCCUUCCUACCAAACACAUCCAUAAUCUUCUGUAAACGUACUAAAACUUUAGAUUUAAACUCUUCAAAAGUUCCCCAAUAAAAUCCAAUAAGACUCACUUGAAUUAAAUCACUACUUCACAAACCUAUUUCUCAAACUUAAAAGCUCAAGUUUAACAAUAAGUCAAUAACCAUUCUCAAAUUCACACAUAAUAGAAAGGAUCUCAUAGAUUUACUAAAAUACCUUAAGCUAAAUAAAAGUUAUCAAUGAUUACUAUUUAAAAUAAUUUAAGACAAUUUUAUGGUGCUAAUUUGUCACAAAUCAUGCUUUAUAAACAUAGCUAUUAAAUUAUUCUUGCAUAUUCAGACAAAAUUAAUGAAAAUGGGAUUUAUUGAAAACAAACUCAAGCCAAAUCCAAACACAAUUAAAUUCAUGCACCUAAGUGAAAGAACAUCAUUAAACUAUUACAUAGCACACACGCUACCUAGCUAUCCCUCCAUUCCAUUUUAGUUAUUUUCUCUUAUUUUUCAUAAGUCAAUUUGACUAAGUUCCAAAGUUAAAUUAGAUUAGAUUGAUUUAAUUUUUUAAAUUAAAAUUUAGAUGUUCAAAAACUACAUGAAAAGUAUUAUAUAUUGUAAUUUUCCCUUUUUUUCAUUUGAUUAAGCAAUACAUUUUCGGAAACAGUCUUUCUACUUUUCCGGAGGUAGUGGUAUGGAUUGCGUACAUCUUACCCUCUCCAGACCCAUCCACUAUGUGAGAAUACACUAGAUUUAUUGUUGUUGAUUAAGCAAUACAUCUUCAAAAUUUAUGUCGUUUGACUGUAAAAAAAAAACAGAAUGAUCCACACCAAAGAAAGAAAAACGAAGCAUGCAACUCAAACACAGCGUAGAAAGAGACAAAGAUGAUCAAAGAAAUAAAGAGUGGACGUACAAAGCAAGAAGAUGACGAUGCGAAAAACGGAAAACGUAGGCUAAGAUAUGAUCGGGUGGAGAGGAGUUACAGGAUAAAUUUUACAAUAGAAUUAUGAAAUAUUAAAGAGAGAUAUAAUUGAAAAGAUAAAUCAUAUAACGACAUGUUACAUAAAAUCAGACUUUUUAAUAUUAGAAGACCAACUUAAAUAAUACGAUGCAAUUAAUAAUUUUAAAUUACAAUCAAAAUAAACAUGAUAUAUAUUUAUAAUAACUAAUAAUGAUACAACGGGUAAAUUAAACGAUCCAAACAAGGUGCUAUUAUAAGAACAAGUAGUGUGUCCAAAUUAAAUUAGAGUUAAAUGGUGAUCGAUGUAGAGGUACCCACGAAUACGAUGGAGGUGCAGUAUCCCUCGUAAUAAAGAAAGAGAAAACCAAAAUUAGCAUGACAUUAUUGUCAUCUUUGUUAGCUAUAUAAGGCACAUAUCAUGCGAUAAUAUAUACUAAACCAAAGAAAAAUCCAAAACUUAAUGUACCAUUGUCAUCUUUGCUAGCUAUAUAAGGCACAUAUCAUGCAAUAAUAUAUGCUAAACGUAAGAAAAAACCAAAAUUAACAAAACAUAUUUAUCCACAAAUUCUUAGGCACUUUAUCCACCGUUAGCCAUAUCUAAAUUAGUAUAAAUACACUACACUCGAUUUACAAUUAUAUUCAUUCCAUUAAGAAAAGGUCUAGUAUACAAAUUAAGGAAAUUAAAUUAAGUUAUAAUCAUGAAGGCUGUUGCAGUAGUACUAGUUCUAGUUGUGCUGGCCGCGGUUAAGCUAGCCAUGGCUGGGGAUGAACAGUGGGGAAUCACUUGUGGUCAAGUUGACGCUAAUGUAGCACCCUGUGUCUCGUACCUGACACAGGGUGGUGAGCCCGGUGCAGCUUGCUGCAGCGGGGUAAAAACCUUGAGUGGUUUGGCUAAGUCUACUGAUGAAAGGAGGACAGCUUGCAACUGUCUUAAGGCUGCAGCAAAUCGAUACCCCAACCUUAAAGAUGAUGCUGCACAGGCUCUCCCUAGCAAGUGCGGUGUAGCCCUCAACGUCCCUAUCUCCAGGACCAUCAAUUGUGACACGUAAGAAUUUAACU
rnacentral:lncRNA from 1 species